rnacentral:lncRNA from 1 species
GAUCGGGAGAAAUCUUUGUUGGCUUGGCCGACACCGACGCGGUGGCGCCUGAGGGUGCCGCCGGACCUUCUUGGAGGGCGUCGGGGCUACCCUUCCUCUCUCCUCGCCGUGUACCGGGGGAAACCCUUGGCAGCAGCGUCGUCAUCGUCGCGUCCCUUCUUGGAGGUGUUGUUGGGUACAUGCACUUCGGAGUCUCGGAGCUUGGUGGGUGAUCUCCGGUGGACGCAGCGGUCACGAGGCUUCGUCGUUUUUGUCGAUCCGCCGUUAUCGGCAUUUGUUUCUUUUCUUUUUUCUCUUUCUUUUCUUUUUGGGCGUGUUUGUGCUGCUUCCGCCCCAGCCCCUAUCGUCGGUUGUAUCGGUUGGUUGCUUUGUAAUACAAAGCGGGGGGAAACCCUUUUUCGUCAAAAUGUCGCUGAGAAUAUAGUUACAACUGUUCGUACUGUAGUGGUAAUCUCACUAUUUUUAUACACAAGAUGAGCUGAACUAAAUCUACUACAUUCCAUCUCUUCAACCAAACAUUAAAAUGUAAUCAUUCCAUUCCACUCAAUUGUCUGCACCAAACACACGAACGGAACCAACCCGUUCCUAUGGAAUGGAACCAUGACAUUCCAUUCUACUACGUUCUCAAACCAAACACACCCUAAGCAAACACGGCAUAAUGAUGACAACCGUCACCGAUGGCACUAAGAGCAACUCCAACGUGGCCGACCCAAACGGACGACGCAUUUGUCCGCUUUUUGUCUGUUUGGGUCGGCCGCCCGUCCGGCGUCCGCCCAGUUUUGCAUUUGGGUCAGCAGUGCACCCAACGCGCCGACCCAUUUCAUGUCCGCACUCAACUUUUUUAAAAAAGGGCCCGCGGCCGAUCAUGCCAGCGACCAUGUCUCAUGCCGGCACCAUGCCAGCGCCGGCAUACAAUGUCGGCUUCAGAAAAUAUCACCACAGUUCAUGCUGGCGCAUUCGCCAGCCGGCCGGCACACAUGCCAGCACACAAAAAAGGGUGGGACAUGAGUUCGACCACGCCAUCGCGGCUUCCAUGGUCAUGCCAGCACAUAUGCCGGCAUAUAAAAAAGAUGGCGCUCGCCGCCAUAGAUCACCCGUCGUCGAACUUGAGCAUGUCGGCCUGCAUCUUCUUGAACCACGGCCUCUUCCUUGGCGACACGGUGUUGAGAUCCACCUUCAUGAUCUUCGCCCCAGUCAUCAUGCUCGCGAGAGCCACUUCUUUCGCCUUGGUCUUGGCGUUGGCGGACUCAAUCUCUAGCAUCUUGGCUUGCUUCUCCGCCUCUAACCCGAACAUCUUGGCUUGCUUCUCGGCGUCCAUCUCAAGCCUCCUCCUUUGGAUCUCCAUGAAAGCGUCCAUUUGCUCCGCCUUGAAACGCCGGUGCUCCUCCUCCCUUGAGUCCUUCUUAUUCAUCAUGCCCUCCACGCUUGCGAUCAAGGCGUUGGAGGCCACAUCCCACUUGUCCUCCUUCUUGGAGUUGGUCUUCCCCCACGGCCGUGCCGGCUUGCCCUCCCCAACAUCCUCCACGGCUUGCUUCCCCCCACGCGACUUGAGUGCGGCAUAUUGCGCCUUGAACUUCUCCUCGUCCUUGAUGACCCGAAAGCAAUGGGAGAGGUUGAAGCACUUGCCAUUGUGUUGAACCUUGAAUGCCUCCAAAGCUUGAAAUGUGUUGGGGAUAUAACUAUUGAGUAUAAACCGCCCAGGAGGGGCCAGGUUAUACUCAUGGCGAUUUACCGGUAUUGAAGCCCAUGAAGACAUAGAAGAUGGCGACUUACGAAGGAGAUUUACUAAGAAAGCCCAAAGCCCAAAGGUGGGUUAGGGCCCAUAGAUGUAAACCGCCAUAUGUGUGUAUGACUUGUAUUGUAAGGUAUGGAAGAGUAGAUACCGAGCCGGACUCGUUUAUGAACCGGUCGGGAUUUUGUGAGCCGCGGGGCGUCAACCUAUGUAUAUAAAGGGACGACCCGGCGGCGGUUUUGGGCAAGAGAGAAGAGAUCGAAAGCUAGAUCAAGCGUAUUCGUUCUCUGGUAAUCGAAACAUAAGCAAUACCAACCUCAACUGGAUUAGGCUUUUACCUUCAUCGCAAGGGGCCGAACCAGUAUAACUCCUUGUGUCUUUUGUCCCGCUUAACCCCUUUAAGCUAAUCUCGUUGCGAUGGCUCCACGACUAAGUCCUUGCACUAGGACAUCUGCCGUGACAACCCCAUGACAGUUGGCGCCCACUAUGGGGCUAUCGCACGAUGGUUUCGAGUUCUUGAAGGGCAGCUUCGAAGGGAUCAAGUGAUACGUUGUGGGCCUGAUGACCAAGAGUCGUCGCGACAAGCUCCACAUCGACGAUGCAGGCUGGGGCCCUGAGGCCAGCACAAUUGAGUAUGGGUACCGGGUCCCCUUCGAUGGAAUCCACGUCUUCAUCGACAAGAUCGGUGAACCGGGCCCUGAGCCGGACAUCUGCACCGACAUCAUCGAGACGGCUCAGUGUGCAUGACCCGCCUGAGUUCGACCCACUGGGAAGCGUGCCUUCGUUGGAUGUAUCCACGGGGCCGAAUUGGAAGGAUCUAUAUCUGGUGGUGAGAUGGCCAUCUACUCCGAUGGUGAGUCGUCCACAGGCGAAACCAAUUCGAUGUAUCAACUGCAAGACGGACAGCUUGGGGGCUAUUCCGAUGGCGACAGUAUUCCGGACUCCCAUGAGCCGCUAAACAGAGUGGCAAUCUUCAUGGCUGGCACCCAGCCGGUUCUCGGUUCAACAUCCGUCGCAGCCAUGACUUCCAGUGCGGCAGCGGAACUGGCAGCUGGUGCUGGCGGGUCAGCUCACCCGUCGACUCAAGUUUUAACAGAUCUGUUGGAUGAUCUGGCAACUCUGAUGGAAGUGGAGGUAACCGCAGACAACUAGGAACAACAUAAGGUGGAUGUGGCUAAAUUGCGUGAGGAGAUAGCACAAGCUAAGGCGGAACUAGAAGCGGAAAACACUAGGAUGGCUGCAGAGCGGGCCGUCUUAAAUGCCCAGGCACAGCGAAUUCAAGCAGACUCAUAACGGCUUAUGGUGGAUCAGAACGCUUCAAACAAAGUAUGGAGGAGAAAACGCCAGAGUCGUCUGCCCUCGAUUUAUGAGUCAAGGAACCUCUUCAACACGCCCGGGGCAGGGGCUAGUAACCCACCAGUGAUAAACCAUACAGUUGAGGCGCCAGGGGGUGGAGCGUCGGGUCAGCCGCACAUAGCAAGUUCUCCGCAUAUGAAUAACACCUCGCCUCAGCACGUAGUGACGCCGUCGGGUCAUUAUUCCACCCCUCUGGACAAAAUGAUUGCUGCAGCUACACGAUUGGCGGCUCUGCCAGUCGAGGGUGAGACUCCAACAACGAUUGAAACUAGAAGGGCCAGGGAGCUUCUUCAAACGGCUUUGGUACAACAGCAGGCUUAUUCCUAUAGUCGUGACUGGAUUCAUUCGACUCCUCGUCCAAACCGGAGCUACAGUAGGCACAUGGAUUCCCCAGCAGUGUCAAGCAGCACUAGUAGAAAACAGGGCUUUCGUUUGGGCCUGGCCAGCCCAUUAGUCCCGGUUCAGUCAUGAACCAGGACCCAUGGGGGAAUUCGUCCCGGUUCGUGAGCCCAGGGGGGCGUCCGGGGCCUCGUGGGCAUUGGUCUCGGUUCGUAUGGACCCAUUUGUCCCGGUUCCAGGCACGAACUGGGACCAAUGGUCCUCUCUCCUGGCCCACAACCAUUGAUCCCGGUUCGUGGCUUCAACCGGGAUAGAAUGCUUGGCUUUAGACCCGGUUUCUACCAUGAACCGGGACAAAUGACUUACCUAUAUAUACCCCAUCGCCACAGCAGAGCACUCCACAGUGCUCUGUUUUUUUUGGCCGGCGAGGGGAGGGCAUUUGGGUGCUCUAGCUCACCUCCUAUGCACAUGAGGUGUUCGAUGAAAUGUCCGAGCCACACUAGUUAAUCUUUCUCCUCUCAAAACUCGAGCUCCGAGCUCCAUUUUCCCCGAGAUUUGUCUAGGUUUAGCGGUCUAUCACGUCCCGUCCCCGUCUUCACCUCCGUCGAUCGCCCGCCCUGAUCUCGUCGCCAGCACCACCGUGGUGAACCUCUUGUUCUUAUCUUCUUUCUGAAAUAAAAAAAUUCUUACUUUAGAUAGAUACUUGUCUAAUUUUCUUACUUUUAUUAUUCCUUGUUAUUAUAUAGUGUGAUGGUUUUGGUAUCCGCCCCCAUCGGCCCUCGUCAUGUCUAUGAUUCGGAUGUGGUAUAUAUUAUCUUUUGAUAACCAUUUGAUUCAUUUAUUAUUUAUGACAAUUAUACCGACCAACGUGACAUAUUUUAUUUAUCUAGGAGGUGGUUGAACCAGAAAUUCCAACCGACCCUAUUGUCGAGAGGUUAAAUUUAGUUGAAGAAGAAAACAAUUACGUGAAGGAAAAAAUAAAAAAAUUGAGGAGGAGAAGAUGAUAUUGGAGUUGCAUGUUGCAGAUGUCGUCGAUGAUCACAAGAUCAAGAUGGAUGCAAUGCGACUGAAGAUUAGAAAGAUUAGAAAGUAUGCCAUUCAUACCGAGGCUUGGUAUCAUUAUGCAGUUGGAUCAGUUGUUACCUUGGUUGCGAUUAUGAUCGCAUUUGUUGUUGCAUUGAAAUGUUUUACAUAAUUUCAAUGUAUGGUUUAAUCAGAUGCUCUGGAGAGCUAUAUGUUGUUCAAUGAGAACUAUGUAUGUACUUCGGUUUUAAUGUGAUGAUGAACUUCUAUUAAUUUGGUCACUUAUCUAUUCAUGAGAGGGUUGAAAAUUGAUGAUGUGGCUUUGAAUGGUGCAUUUUGAACACAGAAAAACUAUGGAGUUCAAAUAAGUUCAAAAAAUGAAAUCCCUUUGUAACAGACGAGUUUCCGUAUGUAACCCUGAUACUUCGAAAGAGAUUGUCCGUUUUGUACACGAAGUGCAUCCAGUUUUUGCCGUAACCCUCUCUACUUUCUUGCACAUGCUAUGUGGGUGAAAUGAUGAUACCAUGCCAACUUUCAACCUUUUCAGAGUUCAUUUCAAAUGCUUUUCAAUUUCAUGGUCUUAUAGCUCAAAAUAAUCAGUAAAUGCAUGAAAAAUAACAAAUGAAGUCAGAAAGGGUUGAAAAUUGAUGAUGUGGCUUUGAAUGGUGCAUUUUGAACACANNNNNNNNNNAAAAAAUCAGUAAAUGCAUGAAAAAUAACAAAUGAAGACAGAAAGGGUUGAAAAUUGAUGAUGUGCCUUUGAAUGGGGCAUUUUGAACACAGAAAAACUAUGGAGUUCAAAUAAGUUCAAGAAAAUGAAAUCCCUUUGUAACAGACGAGUUUCCGUAUGAAACCCUGAUAUUCGAAUGAGAUUGUCUGUUUUGUACGUGAAGUGCAUCCAGUUUUUGGCUUAAGCCUCUCUACUUUCUUGCCCAUGCUAUGUGGGUGAAAUGAUGACACCGUGCCAACUUUCAACCUUUUCAGAGUUCAUUUGUAGGCUUUUCAAUUUCAGGGUCUUAUAGCUCAAAACAAUCAGUAAAUGCAUGAAAAAUAACAAAUGAAGUCAGAAAGGGUUGAAAAUUGAUGAUGUGUCUUUGAAUGGUGUAUUUUGAACACAGAAAAACUAUGGAGUUCAAAUAAGUUCAAGAAAAUGAAAUCCCUUCGUAACAGACGAGUUUCCGUGUGAAACCCUGGUACUUCGAAUGAGAUUGUUCGUUUUGUACACGAAGUGCAUCCAGUUUUUGCCGUAAGCCUCUCUACUUUCUUGCACAUGCUAUGUGGGUGAAAUGACGACACCAUGCCAACUUUCAACCUUUUCAGAGUUCAUUUGUAGUGCUUUUUUCAAAUUAAGGGUCUUAUAGCUCAAAAAAAUCAGUAAAUGCAUGAAAAAUAACAAAUGAAGUCAGAAAGGGUUGAGAAUCGAUGAUGUGGCUUUGAAUGGUGCAUUUUGAAAACAGAAAAACUAGGAGUUCAAAUAAGUUCAAGAAAAUGAAAUCCCUUUGUAAGAGACGAGUUUCCGUGUGAAACCCUGACACUUCGAAUGAGAUUGUCCGUUUUGUACACGAAGUGCAUCCAGUUUUUGCCGUAAGCCUCUCUACUUUCUUGCACAGGCUAUGUGGGUGAAAUGAUGACACCAUGCCAACUUUUAACAUUUUCAGAGUUCAUUUGUAGUGCUUCUCAAUUUCAGGGUCUUAUAGCUCAAAAAANNNNNNNNNNGUGUCUUUGAAUGGUGUAUUUUGAACACAGAAAAACUAUGGAGUUCAAAUAAGUUCAAAAAAAAUGAAAUCCCUUUGUAACAGAUGAGUUUUCGUAUGAAACUCUCAUACUUCGAAAGAGAUUGUCCGUUUUGUACAUGAAGUGCAUCCAGUUUUUGCCGUAACCCUCUCUACUUUCUUGCACAUGCUAUGUGGGUGAAAUGAUGAUACCAUGCCAACUUUCAACCUUUUCAGAGUUCAUUUCAAAUGCUUUUCAAUUUCAUGGUCUUAUAGCUCAAAAUAAUCAGUAAAUGCAUGAAAAAAAACAAAUGAAGUCAGAAAGGGUUGAAAAUUGAUGAUGUGGCUUUGAAUGGUGCAUUUUGAGCACAGAAAAACUAUGGAGUUCAAAUAAAUUCAAAACAAUGAAAUCCCUUUGUAACAGACGAGUUUCCGUAUGAAACCCUGAUACUUCGAAAGAGAUUAUCCGUUUUGUACACGAAGUGCAUCCAGUUUUUGCCGUAACCCUCUCUACUUUCUUGCACAUGCUAUGUGGGUGAAAUGAUGAUACCAUGCCAACUUUCAACCUUUUCAGCGUUCAUUUCAAAUGCUUUUCAAUUUCAUGGUCUUAUAGCUCAAAAUAAUCAGUAAAUGCAUGAAAAAUAACAAAUGAAGUCAGAAAGGGUUGAAAAUUGAUGAUGUGGAUUUGAAUGGUGCAUUUUGAACACAGAAAAACUAUGGAGUUCAAAUAAGUUCAAAAAAAUGAAAUCCCUUUGUAACAGACGAGUUUCCGUAUGAAACCCUGAUACAUCGAAAGAGAUUGUCCGUUUUGUACACGAAGUGCAUCCAGUUUUUGUCGUAACCCUCUCUACUUUCUUGCACAUGCUAUGUGGGUGAAAUGAUGAUACCAUGCCAACUUUCAACCUUUUCAGAGUUCAUUUCAAAUGCUUUUCAAUUUCAUGGUCUUAUAGCUCAAAAUAAUCAGUAAAUGCAUGAAAAAUAACAAAUGAAGUCAGAAAGGGUUGAAAAUUGAUGAUGUGGCUUUGUAUGGUGCAUUUUGAACACGGAAAAACUAUGGAGUUCAAAUAAAUUCAAAAAAAUGAAAUCCCUUUGUAACAGACUAGUUUCCGUAUGAAACCCUAAUAACAAAAAUGAAAUCCCUUUGUAACAAACGAGUUUCCGUAUGAAAUCCCUUUGUUUUAGAGAUCAUAAAUAACUUUUUUGUUACAAACUUUAAUAGCAAAAAGAAUUAUCAUAAAAUGAAAUAAAUAAGUAAUUUGAAACAAAAUAAUAUAAACUUUAAUAAACUAUAUAAGUAGAAACAAAAUAAAAUAAAAUAAAAUAAACUUUAAUAACAUAAAUAAAAUUUAUGAAACUAAAAUUAUCAAAGUAUUUUCUGUUCAAAACAUUAUAAGCAACCUCUAGUAUUAUUGAAACUAAAAUUAUAUAAAUUGAUGCAACUAAAAUUAUCAAAGUAUUUUCUGUUCAAAAUCAUUAAAAGCAAAAAAGAAUUUUCAUAAAGAACUUUUUUUGUUAGAAACUUUAAUAGCAAAAAGAAUUAUCAUAAAAUAAAAUAAAUAAGUAAUUAUAAACAAAAUAAAAUAAAAUAAAUAAGUAUUUUGUUGUAAGUAGAAACAAAAUAAAAUAAAUAAAGCAAAAAAGAAAACAAAAAAACUAGGAAAAAAUAAAAAAAUUGCCACCUACUGGGCCACUAGGCCUGAAUACGACUAGAAACCCAUCCAUGGGCCACGAUUCAGGCCCGCAGAAGGCCCAGUAGGCCCAUCAGACAUAGCAGUCACAAUUAGGCCCGUAAGCGUGCAAUGGAGAGGAGCUCGAGAGGGGUGCAGCAGUGGGGCUUAUAAACCACUGCGCGCCCCUCUCAACUAGCGAGGUGGCACCAACCGGGACUAAAGGGGCUCACUGGUACCAGUUCAUGGCACCAACCGGUACCAAUGCCCCCUCUUUAGUCCCGGUUGGUGCCACCAUCCGGGACCAAAGGCCUCUACUUCCCGCCCUUUGGGCUGCUGAAAAGUGACCUUUGGUCCCGGUUGGUGGCACCAACCGGGACUAAAGGGUGCAUUGGUCCCAGUUGGUGCCACGAACCGGUACCAAUUCCCUGGGUAUAUAAGAAAACACUUAGCAGUUUCGACCAAAUCCAUCACUUCUUCUCCCCCGACGCCCCUGCUCCUCCUCGCCGUCGCCGCCCGACGCCCCUGCUCCACCUUGCCAUCGCCACCACCACCGACGUCGUCAGGCUGCUCAACGUCGCCGCUGCCGUCGCUGACGCCCUCUGCCCCGACGAUGGCGUCGACCCUCUCGCCCCUGCCAGCCCCGACGCGCCGCCCACCGUGCCCCGCCGCCGCCUGUGAGCACCAGCCUGCUCCCGCGCCCCUACCCUGCCACGCCAGCGCCGGCGUCGGCCCCUCCGCCGUGCGCCUCCGCCCUUGCGUCGUGCUACUAUUAGAUUUUUAGAUGUUUUUUAGAUGUUUUUAGAUGCUAUUUAUAGAUGUUUUUACAUGUUUUUUAGAUUAUUUUAGUUUAUGUUUAGUUUUGUUUUAAGAUUAGGAAAAUUUCAGAUGUGUAGUUAUAUUUAUUUAGAUGUGUAGUUAAUUUAGAUGUUGUAAUUUGUUCAUAAUUAUUGUGCACUUUUGUAUAGAAACUUUAUUUUUUUCAUAUGUACGAAAAUGUAGAGUGAAAACGAAAACAAACAUAUAAGAAAAAACAAAGGAAAAAAUGAAGAAGGAAAAGAAAACCGCCCGGCUCGGCCACCACCGCAUUUUCAUAAAGUGCUUCCACCGCAUUUACAUGAGGGGGGGCGUUGGAAAAAUAAGAAGAGGAAGAAGAAGAAAAAAAGAUGAGAACAAGAAGGAAUAGAGGAGUGGAAGACUUUUUUUUCUUCUACUUCUCUAUUCCUUCUUCUUCUCCUCUUUUUUUUCUUCUUUUUUAUCGCAAACUAGGGCAGAGGGUUGAGGGUCGGGAACUAGGGCAGAGGGUCGAGGGUCACCCUCUCGACCGUGAUAACUUAUACCACGGGAGCACCCCCCCCCCCGGCCCUCUCGCUCGACCAAAACUCUCGAGGACACCCAAACCCUAGAAAAAAUGAUGUCGGNNNNNNNNNNNNNNNNNNNNNNNNNNNNNNNNNNNNNNNNNNNNNNNNNNNNNNNNNNNNNNNNNNNNNNNNNNNNNNNNNNNNNNNNNNNNNNNNNNNNNNNNNNNNNNNNNNNNNNNNNNNNNNNNNNNNNNNNNNNNNNNNNNNNNNNNNNNNNNNNNNNNNNNNNNNNNNNNNNNNNNNNNNNNNNNNNNNNNNNNNNNNNNNNNNNNNNNNNNNNNNNNNNNNNNNNNNNNNNNNNNNNNNNNNNNNNNNNGUCUCCUACCCCCUCCCGUCGCGCCCCUACCCGACAAACUCUCUCGAGGCCACCCAAAUUUACCAAGUUAAAAGAGCAUUGUCAUCGAGGCCACCCCAAACCCUUGAAGCGUUGUCGAGGCCACCCCAAACCCUUGAAGCAUUGCGGAGGCCACCCCAAACCCUAGAGAAGCAGCGUCGAGGCCACUAAUAUGAUUCCUUAUUGUGAUUAGCUAGCUAGUUCUACGUUUGCCACUAAUAUAUAUCCAUCUAUCAUGUUUGAAUAAUAAUUGCCAUGUUGUAAAUAUUUGCAGAAACUAUGGAGCACCCCCGAGAUGAAGCAACAAAAGCGAUGUUGGGGGACAUAAUUGCAAAAGGAAGUGAUGCCAUCUUGUCGCUCAACGACACCGAUGGUCUAGAAGGACAGGGUGAAGAAGAAGGCUAUGAUUAUGAUGGCUCCAGUGACCCAAUGCCGGUACAAUAAGGAGACCGUGAUGACGGCUCCAGUGACCGAACCGAGUCCGGCCAGGUAUAUAUAUUAGUUAAGCCUGUGCUGACUAGCUAAUUGAUGCAUUCAUUGUUUUCGUAUGUACACAUAUUAAUUAACUCUCGUCUUUCUUCUUUUUUCUAGCCCUCCGGAUCGAGCACAACUUCGGUAAAGAGAUGGGGCCUGAAGAAAAAAUUGCGCUCGGAUGAAAGGUUUGAGAUCACAGCAAUCGCGCGCGAUGGCAAGCCGAUUGAACCCAUCCGGACAAAGGAAGCAUUUGUUGCUCAGUGCGGGGUUCUUGUUAGGGACUAGAUCCUGAUCAUUAUCCACCAAUGGUUAAAGCCUAGGAAUGAAGACCCUGAGGUGUCUUAUGUGUACGAUAUGCAGAAAGAUGAUCUUUGGACAACACUUAAGGCAAAUUUCACCCUACCACCAGAGGAGGAUCCGGAGAAGCCAGUUAAAGAGCAAUUGAUCAAGUCUCAUGCUCUUAAGAAGAUGGCAGAACUAUUCAGGAGAUGGAAAAUGAUCUGAAAACAUCAUUUGUCGACGAAGAAAAGACACCAGAAUUCACCAGACGGUAUGAGAAGAUCAGAGAUCACUGGUCCGCAUUUGUGGCCCACAAGACACCGGACAAGAGUAAGAAGAUGUCAGCGACAAACAAGAAAAAUGCUGUGAAGAAGAAGCAUCACCAUCGCACGGGGUCAGGUGGCUACCUCAAAGCCCGACCGUUGUGGGCCAAGGCUGAGAAUGACCUGAUUUAUAAAGGGGUCGAACCAGAGACAUUGAACUAGACAGACCGUUGCCGAACUUGGUUCUUCGGGGUUGGUGGAACCUUGGACCCUGUAUCAGGGAAGUGCGUUUGGACGGACGAGCAACUGCGAAUACCCAUCACGAGGCUUCAGGAGUAUAUCGAGGCAGCAUAGCAAGGGACGUUCGUUCCAGACAGAGAGAAGGACGAGCUCACAAUGGCCCUCGGGAAUCCUGAGCACCCUGGACGGACACGAGGCACGCCAGGCUCCGUUCCGUGGAAGGCUGGGUUUCCGGACGCAGGCGGUUACAAAUGCCAGGAGAGGAGGAAGAAAGUGGAGCAUAGCCAACUGCAGGCGCUGCACGCAAGGGUACAAGCGAUAGAGGAACGAGAAGCAAAUCGUAGCAAACGACCUGCCGAAGCUUCCCCUGAAGCUACCCCGCCAUAUCAGCAGAGAAGCAGCGUGGCUUCCACCGAGCAGCUUCAGCUGGAGCCUGUCUUCACGGCUCCUGCUAGCUACCCCGUGGAUGCUAUUACAGAGUCUCAACAUUGCCACCUUAUGACGCAAUGGAUGAAAUUCAAAGUCAAGGCGGCUGUUGGCUCUUUUUUACCUACUGAACCUGGCGCAACCUACCACUGCCGGUUGAUCCAGAAGGAUAUGCUAGGGUGAUUGUGGAUGAAAUAACGGACGGAUUUGAGGACCUCGAUCUUGACCACCCUACGGGUGAAGGGGAGAUUCGGCUGGGUUCUUCUCUGAAGACUCCAUGCCUAUGGCGGAAGGAGCUCAUCAACCUUCCGAACUAGAUGCCUCCGCCUCCUCCUCCUCCUCCUCCGGCGAGUCAGGGCACUCAGCCUCCUCCUCCGGCGAGUGAUCAAGGCACUCAGCCUCCUUCUCCGGCGCGUGGCGGCAUUCUGCCUCCUUCUCCACCUGCACCAGCACGCCCAAGAAGCCAGCCUCCUCCUUCCCCGCCUCGUCAACAAGGAAGGAAGAGACCCACCACUACUCCCGCUGCUCUGGAGCGUCAUAGUCCUUCUCCCGCGGCUCAUAAGAAAGGAAAUACAGCCGCAGCCACUCCGUCUGCUCCGGCGUCUAGCAGUACAGCCAAAGGCAGGAGGAAAUACAGAUUCGGUCCUUCUUUGAAGACUCCAGAGAAGUUACCAUAUGAGAGGAGCCUGGAGGAAAACUUGAAGAUCAUUCGAGCCAAAGUGAAGAACUUCUUUGAAGGGGUGAAAGCAAAGAAACAUCCACCUCCAGAGGAGAAGAUAGAUCUGGUGAAAGCGAAGCGUACUCUGGCUGACCUAAAGAAACCACCAAAGUCUCCGCCGAAAGGCAACUAUGAGCGCAUUAUUGAAAAGUCAUUUAUCGAAGCGGAGCGGUCGAGAAGUACUGUCAGUGAUCAAAGGUUAGCAGAACUAUGAGCUGGGAAAAAAUUGCCUAGCUCGGUGAACAAGCGAACCAAUCAUUCCCCCCGCUCCAGGUGUCUAGCGAUAUCGUCGCUAAUGAUCCGGAGAUGGUGCCCGGUUAUAACAAUCUUGGAGAUUACCUCCCCGACGAUGUACAUUAUGAUUUCUUGGAGGUGGACGAACACAAAUACGAGUACGGGAAGCCUCUUGUCAAAGAUGAAAGAUCUCUAGCAAUGAUGAUGUGAAGAUUCCAUGAUUGGUACAUGAAAACCUGCUGAGAGUAUGGGGGGACGAAUAUUUUGACGCUGAGAGUUAAAGAGGAGCAUGACCUCGCUGGAAUUGAUCUGUUGAAUGUUCCAUUUGAGGAGUUCUUCCAGUUUUUCAAUCAAAAGGCCCUCGAUAAAUUAACGGUCACUUGCUACUGUCUGUAAGUAGUACUACUUCUGUCAUUAAGUCUCUAUAUAUAGGUCAGCUCUUUCAUUGCAUGUAUUUUUAAUUAUCCUCACUAUAUUAUGCAGAUUGAAGAUCGCCAAAUUGAAGAAAAGACAAAUCGGUGAUAUUGGGUUCAUUAACACAAAUCUCAUAGAUGCAUAUAUGGUUGAAUUUCAGGCCAGAGAUACCGAGGCCAAGUUGCUACAAUCGUUUGUAUUAAAUCAAAACAAAGCUAUAAUACUCUUUCCUUACAACUUCAAGUGAGUAUUAAUGUCUUGUGCAUAUUCGGUUUCCCUUAUUAGUCGAGGUUAUAGUAAUGUAAUUGAUGAGUUAUGCAUGCGUGCACAGCUUCCACUAUAUUCUCCUAGAGAUUAAGCUUGAGCAGGGACUACUAACCGUCUUAGACUCGAGACGAAAAGAUUCCAAGGAGUAUGCGGACAUGACUGAAAUUCUAGAGAAGUAAGUUAAAUUGAUCAUUAUCGCACCAUAUCAGCAACUUUGUUCAUUUCCUGAUAUCAAGUAAUUGUUUUCUUUGUCUGGCAGGGUUUGGAAAAAAUUCACCUCAAAAACUCCGGGACUGCCGAAGAAGCUGCAAUUUAAACACCCGAAAGUAAGUACUAUAGUAGCAUGUUCCACGCAUCUCCUAGUGAUUCAAGCGCUAGUUUCAUCAAUACCAUUUAGCAUGCUUACUUAUCAGUUUGAUUGACCUCUAUUUCUUGUAAAGUGGUUGUGGCAGGAACAAGGGAAUGAUUACUGUGGAUACUACAUUUGCGAGUCCAUCUGCCACACGACCUGUGAGCGGGGCUACUCUGACAAACAAUAUGAAGUGCGUAAAUAAUAAUAUUCACAAUUUUAUUUUAUUACGAUCAUUUGUGUUGAGUUUCAUUUAUUCAUAUAUAUGUAUUGACCCCCUUCUUCAAAUUAGAUAUUUCGGAUGCGGGAUGAACUCCUACCACCAGAUCGAAUGCGAGCAAUUCAAGAGGAAUUGGCGGCAUUCUUUCUUGACCAUGCGGUUGAUAAAGACAGAGAAUACCAUGUGGACCCUGAGUUCAUAUAUAGUUAGGAGAUUAUAUUGUAAGAGAUAAUUAUAUUGUAUAUAUGUAGCCAGUAGCAUCGGAUAGAUAUACGAGAACUUGUUGUUCGACCAAUCUCUCAGAGAAGGAGAGGUGGUCGAUAUCACUUCUCUCUGUAUGCAUAUGUUCAUGACGAUCUUCUGUUUCCUUCCUUUGCUUACUAGCUAGCGUGUCUAGUCCUCUCUAUACGUAUAGUACGUAGCGUCGACCAAUCACGGAGAUAAGAGAGGACACUUCUCUCUAUUAAUUAGCUAGCUAACACAAUAUAUGAAACACCUAAAUUAACCCCCCCCCCAAAAAAACCCUAACCCNNNNNNNNNNNNNNNNNNNNNNNNNNNNNNNNNNNNNNNNNNNNNNNNNNNNNNNNNNNNNNNNNNNNNNNNNNNNNNNNNNNNNNNNNNNNNNNNNNNNNNNNNNNNNNNNNNNNNNNNNNNNNNNNNNNNNNNNNNNNNNNNNNNNNNNNNNNNNNNNNNNNNNNNNNNNNNNNNNNNNNNNNNNNNNNNNNNNNNNNNNNNNNNNNNNNNNNNNNNNNNNNNNNNNNNNNNNNNNNNNNNNNNNNNNNNNNNNNNNNNNNNNNNNNNNNNNNNNNNNNNNNNNNNNNNNNNNNNNNNNNNNNNNNNNNNNNNNNNNNNNNNNNNNNNNNNNNNNNNNNNNNNNNNNNNNNNNNNNNNNNNNNNNNNNNNNNACAAAAAACCCAGCCCCUGAAAUGCUGACGCAUGGAUGCCUAUUGGUCCCGGUUGGUGCCACCAACCGAGACCAAAGGGCCUCCUGCCUGGGCUCGCCGCACCGACCACGUGGAGGCCCAUUUGUCCCGGUUUGUAUAAGAACCGGGACUAAAGGCCUAGGGCAUUAGUAACGACACUUUAGUCCCGGUUCAAUAACCGGGACAAAUGGCCCUUACGAACCAGGACAAUAGGCCCUUUUUCUACUAGUGCAGUGAGCGGCGUCGUAACCCGCCCCAUGGACAUGAACCGCACCGUAAUACUCAGGCUCUGAUGGAUCAGGAUAGAGCACGACAGGAGGCUGAGAUGGCGGCUCAGUAAUCGGCUCGUCAGCCAUCGCCGGUUUAUCCGACAACCUCGAUGGAAGCAAGCGUAACUUCCAAGAGCACAGGCGUACCAUGUUUAGUGCCAGCUCUGCUUAAUGAGCAUCUGCCCAAGGACUUCAAAGGACCUCGUAAGGUGCCUAACUAUACAGCGAACUUACCCCCUGAGGCGUGGAUUGAAAGUUAUGAGAUGGCCAUGGAGCUGUUGGAGGUUAGUGAUGCUAUGUAUGCCAAGUACUUCACCGUUAUGCUGGAUGGGACGGCCCGCACUUGGUUAAAGGGCCUGCCUGCCAAUUCAAUUAGAUCAUGGGCCAAGUUGAAAGCCCGGUUUAUCCAGAAUUUUAAGGAUACGUGCAAGCAGCCCAUGUCAAUUGUGGAUUUGGAUGCCUGCGCCCAAGAAGAAGGCGAGUCGACAACUCAUUGGGUGUGCCGGGUCAAAGCCAUCUUGCACUCAUCAGAUAACAUCAAUGUUGGGUCAGUAAUGCUCAUGUUAGAGAAGAAUUGCCCUUUUUGCCUCUUAAACAGAAGCUUGGGCGGCUCACGCGCCACUGCAAUGAUAUGGGGGAGCUGAUGGCAGCUUUUAUUAAAUAUGCCGACUCUGAUAGUACCAAGGACCCCGAAUCUGACGAUGAGAAUACGGGAAAGGGAAAGAAGAGUGGCAACACCAAAGGGCAGAAUCAUAACCCGGCGAGUCAGGGAGGUAAUGGUAAACGCAAGGCUGAUUAUAACCCGGAUUUUGUGGUUAAUACCAACGCGCAGAACAAUGGUCAGCAUCGUAAAGGUAAGCACCCCCCCCCUUGGGCAGGAGGGUCUGGUAUAAAUUUGGAGUACUUGCUAAAUCAGCCAUGCACAAGGCAUGGUUUGAGGGACGGGCCAUCUACGCAUAUUUGGAAGGACUGCUACAUUAUGAAGGAGUUCAAAAAUUCUGAUUUGUUACAGAGUCAUCAUGGGCCAGAUGGCGGCACAGGUUCUGGUGGCGGCUCAGGGUCCGGCUCUUAUGGUCCAGGUCACGGUGGUGGCGGCCCUAAUUCUGGCUUCCAAGGCCAUCAAGGAAAUCAAGGCAAUCAGGGUGGUUAUCGUCAACAGACUGGUCAAGGAAAUCAACAGCAACAGUCUGGAUAUCAGAGUAACCCAAAGCAGUUGAAUAGUGGGCAGUACCACGUCUUCACCACAAGUCUAUGCAAGUGGGAUCAGAAGCUCCAUAAAAGGGUUGUGAACGCCGUUGAGCCGCUAGUUCCCCGUUACUUGCGCUGGUCUGAGCAGCCUAUUGUGUGGAGUCGUAAGGAUCACCCGCCCCGGGUCGAUAAUCCAGGUCACCUAGCUUUGGUGGUGGCGCCUCAGGUUGGAUGAUAUAAAUUCACUAAAGUACUCAUGGAUGGAGGUAGCAGCAUCAACAUGUUCCCCGUUACUUGUGCUGGUCUGAGCAGCCUAUUGUGUGGAGUCGUGAGGAUCACCCGCCCCGGGUCAAUAAUCCAGGUCACCUAGCUUUGGUGGUGGCGCCUCAAGUUAGAGGAUAUAAAUUCACUAAAGUACGCAUGGAUGGAGGUAGCAGCAUCAACAUCCUUUAUUAUGAAACCUUCCGCCGCAUGGGGUUAACUGAUAAAAAUCUUAAGCCGUCAAACACUGUCUUUCAUGGUGUGGUCCCUGGUAAGUCGGCAUACCCGGUUGGAAAUAUAGCUCUAGAAGUUGCAUUUGGGGAUGAUCAUGAUUCCAAGUCUGAGACGUUGACCUUUGAAGUGGUAAAGAUCAAAAACCCUUAUCAUGCUCUGUUUGGACGGCCGGCUUAUGCCAAAUUCAUGGCACAACCUUGUUAUGUCUAUCUGCAGCUCAAAAUGUUGGGUUACAAGGGAACCAUCACGGUCCAUGUAAGGCGAAAGAUAGCCCUGGAGUGUGAAGAAGGUGACGUUGCUUACGCGAAGUCUGUCUGCGCAACGGAGGAAUUGAAGUUUUAUAAAGACAAUGUUGACCCGGCAAAUAUGACAUCUUUGAAAAACCAACUACGGAGCAUGACCCGGCGUUGAAGUUUCGGCGGAUGACACCAAGCUAGUUGGCUUUGUUCCUGGCGAUUCAUCUAAGCAGUUCAGCAUCAGUGUUAAUCUGGAUCCAAAAUAGGAAAGAGCGCUCAUCGAGUUCAUCCGUGAGAACCGGGACAUCUUUGCAUGGAAGCCUUCUGACAUGCCGGGUGUAUCGAGGGAACUCGUUGAGCACAGUCUUAAUAUUGAUCCAAAGUUUAAACCGGUGAAACAAUUUCUCCGUCGUUUCAAUGAAGAGAGGCGAAAGGCCAUUGGUGAAGAAGUGGCCCGGCUCUUGGCGGUCGGGUUCAUCGUUGAAGUUUUUCAUCCUGAGUGGAUGGAUAACCCGUUGCUGAUACUUAAGAAGAAUGGCACUGGCGUAUGUGUGUGGAUUACACAGAUUUAAACAAGGCUUGUCCAGCGGAUCCUUUUGCUCUCCCUCGUAUUGAUCAAAUUAUUGAUGCUACAGCGGGUUGUGAGCGUUUGAGUUUUUUGGAUGCUUAUUCUGGUUAUCAUCAGAUCAAGAUGGCAGUUAAGGACCAGGAGAAGACAGCUUUUAUCACUCCCUUUGGAGCCUUCUGUUAUGUGUAUAUGCCUUUUGGGCUCAAGAGCGCCCAGGCGACUUAUCAGUGAUGUGUGCAGAAUUGUCUUCAUAAUCAGAUUGGGUGCAAUGUCCAUGCUUAUGUGGAUGAUAUUGUGGUAAAAUCCAGAAAGAAGGAAACUUUGGUGGAUGCGUUUUUGGUGUGCCGGCAGGCAAACUUUUGGGUUUUUUGGUUUCUAACAGAGGCAUUGAAGCUAACCCGGAGAAGAUCAAAGCCAUCACUUCUUUGGCUAAGCCGGCGUGUAUCAAUGAUAUUCAUCGUCUGGCGGGUCGUAUUGCGGCUCUAAACCAGUUCAUAAGUCAGUUGGGAGAGAAGGCUAUCCCUCUGUACCAGAUGAUGAAAAAGAAUGAAUAUUUUGUCUGGAGUGACGCCGCUAAUGAAGCAUUUGAGGACUUGAAGAAAUAGUUAGCUGAGUCGACCGUUCUUGCUGCUCCUAUUGAGAAGAAGCCAUUGUUGUUGUAUGUGGCUACUAAUGCCCAUGCUGUCAGUGUAGCUAUUGUCGUGGAAUGGAAGGAAGCAGGCAAAGAAUAUCCGGUUCAAAGGCCGGUUUAUUACAUUAGUGAGGUGCUCAUUGAGUCCAAGCAGAGGUAUCCGCACUGGCAGAAACUUGUAUAUGGGGUGUUCAUGGCCAGUCCAAAGCUCAAGCAAUAUUUUUUGGGUCAUCCAAUCACUGUGGUUAGUUCCGCUCCUUUAGGGGAUAUUAUUCAAAACAGAGAAGCCACAGGUCGGAUAGCCAAGUGGGCCAUUGAGCUUGGACCUCAUGGUUUGAAGUAUGUGCCUCACACGGCCAUCAAGUCUCAAGCACUAGUUGAUUUCAUCAAUGACUGGACAGAGCUGCAGAUGCCUGAAGAAAAGCCAGAUAACACGUAUUGGACUCUUCACUUUGAUGGGUUCAGGCAAUUGGAGGGCUCGGGAUCUGGAGUUGUGCUAACUUCCCCUCGAGGUGAUAAAUUUUGUUAUGUUCUCCGGUUGAUGUUCCCUUGCACUAACAAUGCAACUGAAUAUGAGGCUUUGCUCCACAGCCUUCGGAUGGCUAAGGAGAUGAACUUAAGCUGGGUGAGGUGCUUUGGUGAUUCAUACUUGGUAGCUAAACAAGUGUCUGGUACUUGGGAUUCUAAGGAUCCACUCAUGGCGGCUUAUCAUCAAGAGGUUGAUGCUAUUGCGGGUCAUUUUAAGGGUUAUCAGGUUGAGCAUAUUGAUCGAAGGAAAAACGAGGCGGCUGAUGCUUUAAGCUAGCUAGGCUCUCAGCAUAAGCCGGUGCCGCCUAACGCUUUCUUAGAUAUUCUAUAUAACCCCUCAGUCAACUUGCCUACAGAGGAAGAUCUUGCUAUUCCUGACCCGGAAGCACAAUUGGUGGCGGCUCUUCAUGUAAUUCCUGAUUGGACAGUUCCAUAUUUGGCUUAUAUGACCCGGGGCGAGUUACCUAAGGAUGAAAAACUUGCUAGGCAGAUAACCUGGUGGUUCAAGUCAUUGACCAUUGUCAAUGGAGAGCUGCAUCAUCGCAGUGUCAUAGGGGCGUUUCAACGUUGUGUCUCUCCUGAAGAAGGUUGCGAGAUUCUGCGAGAGAUUCAUGAAGGAUAUUGUGGUCAUCAUGCUGGCUCUAAAUCUCUUGUGGCUAAGGCUUUUCUCCACAGAUUUUAUUGGCUGGCGGCUCAUGCUGAUGCUGAAGAUUUGGUCAGUAAAUGUGUUGGAUAUCAGAAAUUUUCACGACGAGCCCAUGUGCCGGCUCAAGAAUUAAGGAUGAUUCCAACUACUUGGCUGUUUGCAGUAUGGGGGCUUGAUAUGGUCGGACCUUUCAAAAGGUCCAAGGAUAACAAGAUACACCUCUUGGUGGCGGUUUACAAAUUUGCAAAGUGGGUUGAGGCAGAGCCGGUCAGUAAAUGCGAUGCGACAAUGGCGGUUCAAUUCAUUAAAAAGGUGAUUUUCUGUUUUGGUUUUCCCCAUAGUAUUAUAACUGAUAAUGGCACUAAUCUAUCUAAGGGUGCUAUGAAAGAAUUUUGUCAAUGUGAGCAUAUCUGGCUUGACGUGUCAUCAGUGGGUCACCCCCAAUCUAAUGGUCAAGCCGAGAGAGCCAAUCAAGAGAUCCUGAGAGGUAUUAAACCCCGGCUUAUGGUUCCCCUACAGAGGAAGCCAGUUUGUAGUGUGGAGGAGUUACCUUCCGUGUUAUGGAGCAUUAAUACCACCCCAACAGAUCUACGGGGUACACGCCUUUCUUCAUGGUUUACGGAGCAGAGGCGGUUCUCCCUAGUGACAUCUGAUACGUCUCCAAUGUAUCUAUAAUUUUUUAUUGUUCUAUGCCAUUAUAUUACCCCUUUUGGAUGUUUAUGGGUGAUGGAGUCUCGGAUUAGGGGGUGUCCGGAUAGCCGGACUACCAUCAUCGGCCGAACUAUCAUCGGCCGGACUAUCAUCAUCGACCGAACUCCAAGACUAUGAAGAUACAAGAUUGAAGACUUCGUCCCGUGUCCGGAUGGGACUUUCCUUGGCGUGGAAGGCAAGCUUGGCGAUACGGAUACGUAGAUCUCCUACCAUUGUAACCGACUCUUUGUAACCCUAGCCCUCUCCGGUGUCUAUAUAAACCGGAUGGCUCUAGUCCGUAGAACAACAACAACAACCAUUACAAUCAUACCACAGGCUAGCUUCUAGGGUUUAGCCUCCUUGAUCUCGUGGUAGAUCCACUCUUGUAAACAUCCACAAUAUCAAUAUCAAUCAAGCAGGACAUAGGGUUUUACCUCCAUCAAGAGGGCCCGAUCCUGGGUAAAACAUCGUGUCCCUUGUCUCCUGUUACCAUCCGCCUAGACGCACAGUUCGGGACCCCCUACCCGAGAUCCGCCGGUUUUGACACCGACAUUGGUGCUUUCAUUGAGAGUUCCUCUGUGCCGUCACCGAUAGGAAGGAUGCCUCUUCCCGUCUUCAAGGACGGCAUCUUCGCCGAUGGAGCCUUGGUCGCCGGCCAAACUAUCCGGCUAGGAGGUUUUCUUAUGACCGCCUGUCCGGCCACCGCUUCAACGAUGACCUCUCGUGUCAUUGAGAGCAAUCUUCACGUCAACUCGGAAUUCGCCGAGCAGUUAGAUCCAGCAGAGCUCUCGUCAGUAAACGAACUCUUGGAUCAGAUCGCCGCCCUAGGAGUCGCUAUAGACUACAAUCGGAUCGGGCUUAAAACCGAUCUGAGAGAGAUUAACUCUCCCCAGGUUACCCACCACGUCACGGUGGUGGAGGAACAUCGCGACGACCCUUCUCCCAUAUUGAAAACUAGUCGUGUCCGGGCUACCGAACCCUCCAUGCCGGAUUCCCGCAGAGGAGCGGAUUCCGAUCAAGCACUGAACAUAAAGUCAGGCAUCGGACCGGACUCGUUGGACAAUGUUCCACUUUCCAAGCUUCCAAAUUCGGAAACUUCUCGGCCCUUGAGCCUCGAGAUGGGCAAGGUCGCGGACUCAAUUAGGCCCGCCCAUCCAGAUAUAUGCGAUCUAUCUCUAAUCCGGCAAGAGCCAUCCGAAACAGUACAUCAUUACUGGGCCAGAUUCCUCCUGGUCAUGGACCAGAUAAAGGACUGCCGAGAGGAAAACGCAAUCUCGAUCUUUUGCAACAAUUGCACGGACAGGGGAAUCUUGAACGCCGUCAGCCAUCGUGAAAUCACACGUUUCGCCGACUUGGCAUCCAUAGUGUGAAAGUACUGUGCCAUAGAAAGUUUCCGGAAAACCGAAGAUAGGUUUUGGGAUAAUCCGGCCCCGAACAUAGCCCUAGUCCGCAACAAAAGGGUGCAUUACACUCAGGCACCAAGUACAAGAACCAAAAAACAGAAGCCCCUUAAAGGGAACGGAACCGUACUGGAGGGAUGGCUCAGCAAACCCUGUACAAUUCACAGUACCAAGGGCGCCACCCCAACACAUAGCCUUCGUGCAUGUUGGAUAUUACGGCAGGUGGCCAAAAGUGGCGAGGAGCUUCUAGCCCCGCAAAACCACACCAACAAUACCGGUACGGUAUCAACAGUCUUCGAGACUUUCGCAUCAAACAAUAUGCGGAAACGAACAAUCCACAGCCUUGCGAAAGUCUACCAAGUAGCAACAACAAAUCCUUGGAGCGACGCGGCCAUCACCUUCAACGCCAGCGACGAACCUAAAUUCCGAACAUCCCGAGCACCAGCCGCAUUGGUCCUCAGUCCAAUAGUGGACGGCUUUCGACUUACCAAGGUACUCAUGGAUGGCGGCAGCGGAUUGAACCUCAUUUACGAGGAAACUCUUCAAAAAAUGGAAAUAGACUGGAGCCGCAUUGAGUGAAGCAGCACAACCUUCAGAGGAAUAAUCCCUAGCCGGGAAGCACGCUGCACCGGAAAAAAUCACAAUCAAUGUGGUGUUCGGCUCACCGGACAAUUACAGGUCCGAAGAAAUCAUGUUCCAAGUGGCCCCGCUCAGCAGCGGAUACCACGCUAUAUUAGGACAAGAGGCGUUCACAAUUUUCCAAGCCGUACCCCAUUACGGGUACAUGAAGCUCAAAAUGCCUGGGCCUGGCGGGAUAAUCACUCUCGUUAGUGAUCCAGACAUAGCUCUCCAUGCCGAAAACAAAACAGCUGCAUUAGCCCUGGAGGCACUAUCCGAAGCCCUAGCGGCAGAGGAACUCACUGCGCUGCGCGCUAUGGUGCACAGAGAUGACGUGAUACUCGAUAAGAGAUCCAAGUCCACCUCCUUUAAACCAGCGGACGAAAUUAUAAAAUUCCAGGUCCACCCAAUGGACCCGACAAAGACGGCCUCCAUCGGGGCACAGUUGAACAGACGCCGCGCUGCGAGAAUUCCUUCGGGAAAAUUGGGACAUUUUCGCCUGGCAUCCUUCAGAUAUGCCAGGAAUCCCUCGCAGGCUGGCAGAGCAUAGCCUAAACAUCCUAAAAGGGUUCAAGCCAGUCAAGCAGGCUCUUCGACGAUUUUCCGAACCCAAAAGACAGGCAAUGGGAGAAGAACUAGCCAAACUAUUGGAAGCCGGAUUCAUCAGAGACAUCAAACAUCCGGAUUGGCUAGCAAACCUGGUAAUGGUGCCAAAGAAGGACAGAUCCUGGCGCCUAUGUGUCGAUUUCAAAGACCUAAAUAAAGCCUGCCCAAAGGAUCCCUUCCCCCUCCCCCGCAUCGACCAAAUCAUCGAUGCCACUGCAGGGCACGAUUCAUUGUGCUUCCUGGACGCAUACUCCGGCUAUCAUCAAAUCAAGAUGGCAGAAGCGGAUCAAGCCGCAACGGUGUUCAUUACUCCAUAUGGACCAUUCUGCUUCAACACGAUGCCCUUCGAACUUAAAAACGCCGGCGCAACAUAUCAGCGCAUGAUUCAGACAUGUCUGGCUACCCAGAUCGGCAAAACAGUAGAGGCAUACGUAGACGACGUAGUCAUCAAAACCAAACAUGUCGAAACUCUAGUAGACGACUUGAGGGUCACAUUCGACAACCUCCGAGCAUAUGACAUCAAGCUGAAUCCGGAAAAAUGCGUUUUCGGCGUACCAGCCGGAAAGCUCUUGGGCUUCAUUGUAUCCGGUAGAGGAAUUGAAGCAAAUCCGGCCAAAAUCCGAGCCCUAUCACAGUUGGAUAUUCCAAAAAACCUCAAACAGAUCCAGAAAUUGACUGGAUGUGUGGCGGCUCUCAGCCGCUUUAUCUCCCGCCUAGGAGAAAAGGCAUUACCCCUCUAUCGCCUCCUCAGGCACACUGAACACUUCAAGUGGACGGAUGCUGCCACUGCCGGACUCGAAGAAAUAAAGGCCAUAUUGGCAACGAAUCCGGUCCUGGCUGCGCCCAACCUGGGCGAACCUAUGUUGUUAUACAUCGCGACAACACAUCAAGUAGUAAGCGCGGUGCUCGUCGUAGAACGAGAGACAGAAGGGCAUAAAUUCCCUCUUCAAAAACCAGUGUACUACGUAUCCACUGUUUUAACCCCCUGCAAGUCCCGUUACCCGCACUAUCAAAAGAUAGCGUAUGCGGUGUUCAUGGCAUCCCGGAAGCUCCGACACUACUUUCAAGAGUGUUCGAUAACAGUGGCCUCCGAAGUACCCCUAAAUGACAUUAUAAAUAACCGCGACGCAACGGGCAGGAUUGCAAAAUGGGCCAUUGAGCUCUUACCAUUCGACAUAACUUACAAACCCCGGUGAGCUAUAAAGUCGCAAGUUUUGGCUGACUUUGUCGCUGAGUGGACUGAAGCCGAACUCCCUAAAGAGUACGGCGCAUACUCCAAUUGGAUUAUGCAUUUCGACGGCUCCAAAAUGUUGGCCGGAUUGGGGGCUGGCAUCGUACUAACGUCCCCAACCGGGGACAGAGUCCAAUACGUACUUCAGAUAAUGUACACGGACUCCAACAACACAGCCGAAUACGAGGCCCUCUUACAUGGCCUCCGGAUGGCAAUCUCCAUGGGCAUCCAACGCCUAGAGGUGCGCGGGGACUCAAACCUCGCAAUAUCCCAAGUAAAUGGAGACUUUGACACCAAGGAUCCAAAAAUGGCAGCCUAUCGCAACGCCGUCCUUAAAAUGUCAUCUUGGUUUGAAGGACUUGAAUUCCACCACGUAGCCGGAGAUAAUAACCAAGCGGCCGACGUAUUGGCACGCAUCGGCACAAAACGUGAUGCUGUCCCUCCAAAUAUCUUCCUGGAACGGCUAUUCAAGCCAUCCGUACUAUGGGAAGAGGAGUCCGGAAAUAACAAACCGGAGGCGGCCGCAGAGCAAUCUGACAUAACCGGCAAUCCAGCCGAUGAAACAACACCCUUAGCUCACGACAUAAUGGCAGUAAUCGCCCCAUGGACAGAGCCGUUCCUAGCCUACUUGCUUAGGCAGGAACUCCCCGAAGACCAUAAUGAGGCCCGCUGCGUAGUCCGGCGAUCUAAAGCCUACAAGGUCCAUGAGGAACAACUCUAUAAAAAAAGCACAACCGGAGUCCUUCAAAGGUGUAUCUUCGAAGAGGAAGGGCGAGACCUUCUGGCUGAAAUUCACGCCGGACUAGGCGGACACCACGCCGCAGCCCGGGCCCUUGUAGGAAAGGCAUUCCGUAUAGGAUUUUAUUGGCCGACGGCCCGGGCAGAUGCUCAGGACUUAGUCCAAAGAUGCGUCGGUUGUUAGCUCUUUGCUAAUCAGAGCCACAUGCCACCCACCGCCCUCAAAACUAUACCCAUUACCUGGCCGUUCGCAGUCUGGGGGCUUGACAUGGUUGGACCACUUAAAGGGGGAACCCACAAGCAAAGGUACCUAUUGGUCAUGGUGGAUAAAUUCACCAAAUGGAUAGAGGCCAAGCCAGUUAAAACGGCAGAGUCCGGACCAGUGAUAGACUUUAUAUCCGGGGUAGUACACCGUUAUGGUGUCCCCCACAGCAUCAUCACCGAUAACGGCACGAACUUCACAGCCAAUGGGGUUAAAUCAUGAUGCAAAAAUAUGGGCAUGAAGCUCGAUUAUGCUUCAGUCUAUCAUCCUCAAACCAACGGUCAAGUGGAAUGAGCAAAUGGUCUAAUAAUGAGCGGCAUCAAACCCAGACUAGUGCGGUCCCUUACGAAAUCUGACACGCACUGGGUAGAGGAGCUCGACUCUGUACUCUGGGGGCUGCGGACAACGCCUAACCGUACUACCGGAUUCACACCAUUUUUUAUGGUAUACGGCGCAGAAGCAGUUUUGCCCUGCGACAUAAUUCAUGACUCACCUCGAGUGCGCAUGUACGAAGAAAGAGAAGCCGAGUUGGAUCGGCAGGACAGCUUGGACGCAUUGGAGGAAGAACGCGAUGUCGCCAAGGCUCGUUCUGCAUUCUAUCAGCAGCAGGCUCGAAGAUACCAAAGCAGAGAAGUACGGGCCAAGACUUACAACAUUGGCAAACUAGUUCUACGCCUGCCGGACAAGAAAAAGGACAAGCUCAAGCCCAAAUGGGAAGGCCCCUUCAUCAUCGAUCAAGUCUUGACCGGCGGAGCGUACCGUCUACGAAAUGCGUCGGAUAACCGACUCGAGCUGAACCCAUGGAACGCGGCCCGCCUCCGAAGAUUCUAUUCCUAGCGCCGGACUAAGAGUUCGUCCCUUUCCCCCCGUCCAAAUUUUUUUUACUUCAGCUGCCUUUUGUUUAUCUUUUUCUUCUCAACCCCAUUCAUCAAAGCCUUAAAAGGCCUACUUGUGCAUCGUUCGCCAGCAAUUGAUGUGCUAUCCGCACUCAUUAUACCUGGGGGCUUCUUUACCAGAAGCUUAAUUAUAAGGGCUUCAUGCCCAGCACAUGUGUCAAGCCUCCACAUGUACCUUUUAUUCACCAUUAUAUGCAUCGAUAUGACUUAAGUUUUGGCCAAGCUGGGUUGCCUGGCUCCUGUGCUUACCCCUACGUUCCCGAUUGUUCGGCUAGGAGGUAAAGGGAGCACCUCUACGAUUGUUACUGCCGGGUCAGCCGGAUGUGUACCUCAGACUGGGUGAAGCCGAAAGCUAGCGUUCUUAAGGGAAUACUCGGUCGGUGAACUAAAAGAUGAUUUUUAAUUUACCCAUCUGCCCCCAGAUGAUUUUCUUCUUUCAUAGCAGCUUUGACAUGCACUUUAGGGCAUGCAUCCCAGCGAAAGGAACCCUUAACGGAACUAUUCUCCCUGGAAGAUGUUUCUUACUACCCAUGUAAUAUAACAUAACUAGUUGGGCACUUGUCUGAUACAGCACUAAUGACCCCUACGCCUUGUCUCUGUGCAUACCACGGUUCUUAUAUAACCACGAAGGUAUUCGGACACACUCCGGACUAUUGGGUCCUGAGGUCGAAGCGAAAAGGUCCGCUAUGACAAACGAUCUACAAUCCGGCUAGAAGGCAUUCUACAUGUCACCUUACAUUAUAUAUUCAACUUUUACCCAAGUCACUUGGGGGCUCUUAUGUUAUUUGAGACGUUUCAUACUAAGUGUUUUUCUUCUUAGUCCUUGCAAAGUUUUUAUUAUUUAUCACUCCUUUUCUCGACACGAGUGUGCGGUCACUAGCCAGGAGCCUAAUUUCUCUCUCGAAAUCGCUAGAGUUUAGUUUUCUAAACUUGCCUAAUCUGUAGGCUGACCCACUUGAUGUCUUGAGAUAGGAUGUGUCAUGUUCAAGCACGGCAGAAGCACUUUUUUUCUACAGUCCAAUUUUCGGAUUGGCACCGAACACUUGAUCUUGUUCGGACGUCAUGUUUUUACUGACUUUUUUGGUUUUCCAAGAUUUUGUCACUUUUAAACUAUUUGUGUGUUUUCAGCACAAGUCUCGCAGUGCAACACCGGACUCCUUUAGAGAUUCGGCAAAAACAUUCUCGGAUAUUGCUAUAUAUGCACCAGUUUCAAAUUGUGUCUUCGGUCAAUAGUUGGGUUGCCCGGUUCCCGCGCUUGCCUCCUACGUUCCGCUUUGUUCGGCUAGGUGUGCAAAGGGAGAACCACUGCGAUUGUGCUUCCAGCUUGCAUGGUCAAGUACCUCAGUGGAGAAAGCCGAAAACUGACUGUCACAAUAGGUGUAAACUGGUCAGCGAUCCGAUGACUAUAUUAAAUGACGGGCCAUUCAUAACAUUGGCCGAAGUGUUUCCGGCUUGACCUCGUCUGUCGCCGAACACGGUGGGGGCUAGUAACUGGCCUCCCAAACUAAAUCCUCAAUCUUUUGCUCUUACAUUGGAGCCGAGGUUUCAUGAUCAUGCUUAGCAUGACAACCCAAAGAAAGGAAUCGAUAGCGGGACUAUUUUCUUUGGAAGACAUUUCUUCUGUUAAACAACAAUAUAACAUAUCUCUCUGUGUACCUUUGUUUAGAAAGUCGUAUGACCAGAUUGCCUUGUUUGUCGUAAAUCUUUGCCCUCAUAAAGGCUUUAUAAAGUAGGACAAACGCUCCUCGGCUACCGGCCGAGGAGGUUAAAGCCCAUGGUCGGUCAACAAAGUUUUGUACAAUGCGGAUCCGAGCAUUAAUGACAUAAAGUACUUGGAUACAUUGAGUCAUUACACAUAAUUUGUGAUUUUACUAUGGAUAUUGAUCUUUAAUUCGGCCACCCGUGCCCACAUUAAGGCUCGGGGGCUACUGGGCUUCGGGCUUAUUAUUUACAAAUAUUAAAGGGGCACAUUGAUCCCCUGAUCUGGUGUUGCCACCCGACCAGUGUCUCGGGGGCUACUGCAUUACUUGUUCUAUGCAGAAAAUCUUAAGUGCAAUACAGUUUCCAAGGAGAUUUUGAUCCUCAGGUUGGUCGGCCGCACCCAACCUGAGUCUCGAGGACUGAGCACGCCGCUUUUUGUGUCCCGAAGUGUUCUGCCGAGCUAGGACUUGAUCCUCAAACCGAUUUUGCAAAUCAACCUGAGUCUCAGCAGCUACGGGGAUCAGCGGUCUUAUGUCAUCCUUCAGGUGCAUCUCGGGUUUUAGACCGAUACAUACCUUGAGGGCUACUGGCUAUACAUCUCGUCAGAGAAUACAUUACAUCAAUAAAAAACAUUGACCAAAAAUCAGCCCACGACCAAGGUGCUUAACCACCUCGGAAGCAGUUCGACAUAUAGCUCGGAUGCAAGUGGCUGGCUCCUUAGAGGGCAUUUCCGGCAUUAAGCUUGGUUAAACUCCUUCAAACUUCUUUGAACCAAGGUGAUUUAUGACACCUCGGAUAAAGUCCGGCGUUGGAGCUCGGAUACAUAGUCCGGCAUUGGAGCUCGGAUAUAGUUUGGCGUUGGAGCUCGGAUACAUAGUCCGACGUUAGAGCUGGGAAGCAGUCCAGCAUUGGUGCUCGGCUGCAAAAGAUACCUCGAAUGCAGUCCGGCGUUGGAGCUCGGACGCAAGAGGACGUUGCCGCCCGGGAACAACUUCAAACCCAAGGUGUGGCGUAAAAAUAACAAGGCAUUGAUAAAGGCCGGAAACUUAAAGGGGCUCCUCGGAUACCCGACGUAUAAACUCGUCGAAUGCAUUUCGGCGAUCCUCAAGAUCGAAGAUGAGAAGAUUUGUUGAACCAAUUUUCAAGACCGGCAACCGAAGAUGAAGAACAGUUCGGAAGAAUCGAGGAGCGUCCCUAACUUGAAGACCGGUUCAGGGGGCUACUGACGGUGUCCUGGACUAGGGGGUACUCACCACGUCGUCUCCUGAUCAGUUGGAUUGGGCCGAGGACCCCCAUGGCCGUAUACUCAUGGGCCAGUCCGGACAGCUGCCGCAUACAAGGAAGAAUCAACAAGACUUGGCGAUCAAGACAAGGACUCCUCCCCCAUCGGCGUAUUCGGCUAGGACUCUUGUUAUCCUAGGCCUCUGGUGCAUUAUAUAAACCGGGGCCAGGCUAGUCGAUAGACAUAUACAACAACAAUCAUACAAUAGGCUAGCUUUUAGGGUUUAGCCUCUACGAUCUCGUGGUAGAUCUACUCUUGUACUACCCAUAUCAUCAAUAUUAAUCAAGCAGGACAUAGGGUUUUUCCUCCAUCGAGAGGGCCCGAACCUGGGUAAAACAUCGUGUCCCUUGCCUCCUGUUACCAUUGAUCCUAAGACGCACUCCUUGGGACCCCCUACCCGAGAUCCGCCGGUUUUGACACCGACAACAAGAAAGAUCAAUCUAGUAGGCCAAACCAAACUGAUAAUUCGAAGAGACUUGCAAAGAUAACUCAAUCAUACAUAAAAGAAUUCAGAGAAGAUUCAAAUAUUAUUCAUACAUAAACUUGAUCAUAAACCCACAAUUCAUCGGAUCUCGACAAACACACCGCAAAAAGAGUUUACAUCGAAUAGAUCUCCACAAGAGAGGGGGAGAACAUUGUAUUGAGAUCCAAAAAGAGAGAAGAAGCCAUCUAGCUAAUAAGUAUGGACCCAUAGGUCUAUGGUAAACUACUCACAACUCAUCAGAGGGGCAAGGAUGUUGAUGUAGAAGCCCUCCAUGGUCGAUUCCCCCUCUGGCAGAGUGCCGGUGAAGGCUCCAAGAUGAGAUCCCACGGAUACAGAAGGUUACGGUGGUGGAAAUAGUGUUUCAUGGUGCUCCUGGAUGUUUUCGGGGUACGUAGGUAUAUAUAGGAGGAAGAAGUACGUCGGUGGCCGCCAGAGAGGCCCACGAGACAGGGGGCGCGCCCUACAAGGGGGGGCGCACCCUCCUAUCUCGUGGGAGCCUCGGCAACUUCUUGGCUUGCUCUCCAAGUCAUCUGGAUCACGUUCGUUCCAAAAAUCACGAUCCCGAAGGUUUCUUUCCGUUUGGACUCCGUUUGAUAUUCCUUUUCUUCGAAAUACUGAAAUAGGCAAAAAAACAGCAAUGUGGGUUGGGCCUCCGGUUAGUAGGUUAGUCCCAAAAAUGAUAUAAAUGUGUAAAAUAAAGCCCAUAAACAUCCAAAAGGGGUAAUAUAAUAGCAUGGAACAAUAAAAAAUUAUAGAUACGUUGGAGACGUAUCAAGCAUCCCCAAGCUUAAUUCCUGCUUGUCCUCGAGUAGGUAAAUGAUAAAAAAGAAAUUUUUGAUGUGGAAUGCUACCUAGCAUAAUUCUGCCCCCAGAUGUUUUUCUGCUUUUUUCGCAGUCCGGACAUGCACUUUAGGGCAUGCCACCCCCAGAGGAAAGGAACCUUAAAGGAACUAUUCUCCCUGGAAGAUGUUUCUUACUACCCAUGUAAUAUAACAUAACUAGUUGGGCACUUGUCUGAUAAAGCACUAAUGACCCCUACGCCUGGUCUCCAUGCAUACCCCGGUUGUUUCAUAACCGAGAAGGUAUUCGGACACACUCCGGACUCUAGGGUCCCGAGGUCGAAGCGAAAAGGUCGGUAAAGACAAACGAUCUACAAUCCGGCUAGAAGGCAUUUUACAUGUCAUUUUAUAAUACAUUGUCAAAUCGACUGAUUGUAUUCUUCCUCAAUCCCGUCUAACAGGUUGUCUAAUUUACAGUCCUGUUGGGAAAAUUUAGCGGCCAACUCUACUAGGCCGUAUACUAAACUCACAGGGAUCUCCUUCCCAUCGGGCCCCACAGGUCCGACUUCGGCCAUGUGGUUGGGAUCCGCCUUCUUGUACCGCGUAUUUACCAUGGCCCAGGCCUCCCUGGCACCUUGGCGGCAGGCCGAAAUCUUCCAUAAAUGGAAGCGCUGCCGCACUCCCUGAAGCUUCUCCGCAAGCUCCCCAAGACCCUUGGGUAAGGAGAAGGCUGGCCAUAAAGCCUGGAUGACGCCGCUCAUUGCCUGCCGAACUCGUUCGAUCAGUUGCAACAAUUCGGGAAGUUGAUCACCCGUUGAUACGGGCAUCUCCUCCGCAGGGCGACCUGUGAGCAUACCUGCAGACAUAUUCUGUCAAAUCGACUUCCUCGCCGAACUCUUCUUUUCAAAGGAGUUCGCUCAAGCACUUACUAUAGAUGCCGCGACGAGGCCGCCGAUUCUCCUUAACGGAGCCCGACAUCUCGGCCCGAACGCCUUUCAGCUCUUCUCCAAGCUGGGCAUGGGCAUCCUGGAGCUUGUUCCUUUCAUGCUGCACCUUAUGCAGCACCCUCUCGCCGGCCUUUAGUUGGCGCAGAAGUUCUUGCCUGUCCGGAUCUUGUCCGGCAGCACCUGCAACGUCAUUUUUUUAGACUUGCGCAAAGGCCAAACGCUACUUAUCUUUCUAAAAUAAUGUGUUACCAGGAGAGGUCCCUGUGUUUCCUCCUGCGCCAGAGAGUGCGGCCUCAAGUUGGGCCUUGCACUCUUGCAGCUCCUGAGACAGUUGGGUAUUCUUCUCGGUAAGAUCCUACGUUUCAUAUGAUCCUUAAAUCAGUUAAUAUAACUACUUUAAGUCUCGGGGGUUACUGGCAUAUACAACUAUUAAUUUCUCUUAUCCGUAUGUCUUUUACAUACUGCUCCGCGGCUCUGGUAAAACCAUCUUGAGCAGCACGAAGGUGCGCGUCCCCCGCGUUAAAGGCAUUCAACGCCUCAGGGGAGAAGCACGCGUCACGAAAUAUUGUCCGGCGACGCCUGUGAUUCAUGGCACUCUUCACCUCAGACUUGGUGGCGGACAGUCUGUCGGCGUCCUCCGUCGGAGGAACGUCCGGAUCGCGCCUUGCGCUCGCCUCCCCCUCCAGACCAGGUGCUGGAGCCUGGCUGGUAGAGGUUGGAUUGGCAACCUCCACGCCCGCAGUCCGGCAGGCUCUUUUUUCCCUACAAAAGUCAUGAGCACUCAAACGCUUCCUAGGAACGUUGCUCUAAAUAAUGAAUUGUGAGCUACACCUUCGCGGUGACGUUUCAGUCGGCGCCGCGCUCCUCUUCCGCCUACUGGUCCGGACUGGCCUUUGUUGGUCAGCCACCGCGGGCUCGGCUUCUCGCCCUAUGGGUGCCUCCUGCACAAUGCCAUCAUAUACGGUGGUCAGAAAUAAGCAAGGAAGGAAUGAUGGUGUCAGGACUUCGGUCGCAAUCACCUAGGAAGCCGGAUAUAGUCCGGGAUAGUCAGCCGUGAUGGCGACUAAAGCAUUGUCCAUGCUGAGCUGGUGGAACACCCCGUCGAUUAGCUCCACCUUUAUGUCCGGAUCCUCUUCGGAGGCCGGAUCCCGGGAUCUCUCUGGAUCCUCGGGUUGCGGAGCUAGACUUAGCAUGUCCUCCACGAUCCGGCACAGCUCCUGCGUCGAAAGAAGAACACAAUAUAAGAAACUUAAAGUUUCAAAAAGCAUGGGUCGGGCACGCAGAGUGUUCGCUUACCCAAGGCCGGGGAUUAUUCAUGGAGAACCCAUUUAACGGGUUCGUCUGAAGGAAAUCCUCCUUCUCCCCCUUAUACAGGCCAGACAGGAUCGUCACCAGGUCUUCGACCGAAUCCGGCCCUUUGCGGCCAUGACGGGUGGCAUCAUCCUCCCCGUUGAAAUCCCACAUGGGGUGGCCCCUGUAUUGUAGUGGCUGCACCCCCCGCAUGAUGCAUGUUGCCAUGAAUCCAAUCAUGGUCAACCCGGAAUGGGCCAGUAACCUUAUUCGUCCCAUCAAAUAAUGGACGCUCUUGUCUUCCUCCAGUUGGGGGCUCCGCGGACGCCAACUAAGGCGUUUCUUCAGAGGAGCAUUGCUGAACUCCGGGAGGCCGAUCCGAACAGGGUCCGGCAGCGGAGCGUCUUCUAUAUAAAAGCAUCCCGAAGGCCAGUCUUCGAACGCCUUCUUAGGGGUUCCGGAUGGAUAUCCGGUCCCGGCAAUGCGCCAUAUUUCAGCGCCGCCCACUUGAUAUAUGGACCCCUCGUGAGAGCGGGGUACAAGGCAGAACAACCUCUUCCACAGUGCGAAAUGGGGCUCGGCGCCCAGGAAUAGCUCGCAAAGAGCUACGUAACCCGCAAUAUGCAGGAUUGAGGCGAGCGUGAGGUGAUGAAGCUGGAGUCCGUAGAACUCCAGGAGACCGCGGAGGAAUGGAUGUACAGGAAAUCCAAGCCCCCUUAUCAGAUAGGGGACGAAGCAUACCCGCUCCCCUUUGUUGGGACUUGGGGUAACCUCCGCUUGCUUCCCACCUUUGUAGGUGGCCAGCCCGGCUCAAACCGGAACCAUAAAGGCCGGAGGGAGAUAUCCCCCCGCUUGGAGCUUCACUAGCUCGUUGUGCGGAACAGAGCAUCUCCUCCAAUCUCCUGGCAAAGGGCUGGGAGCGCGAGAAGAGGAGCCGCGUUGACGGUCCAUGAUGGAAUGGAUUCUUGGUCGAAAGCGCUCCGAUGAGUAUUUGCGGGAGGAAGAUGGUGAUUUGGAUCUGGAUUCUUGCCUCCCUUAUAGGCAGAUUAUUCACAUGACUAGGGGGUAAAACAUAAAAGACACCCUGGCUUUUCACAUUCGCGCGACACGUGGAAGAAGGCCAUUAUUGGGCGUGGAAGCCAAGACGCGCAACAUUGAUGAGGAAGCCGGACACUGUUCGGCAGGUACGUAGAACUUGAAGGAGAACCCGCCUUGCAACGCCGAAGACUACACACAUGCUGGACUUAUCGUCAUUGAAGCCUGGUUCGGGGGCUACUGAGGGAGUCCCGGAUUAGGGGGUGUCCGGAUAGCCGGACUACCAUCAUCGGCCGAACUAUCAUCGGCCGAACUAUCAUCAUCGACCGGACUCCAAGACUAUGAAGAUACAAGAUUGAAGACUUCGUCCCGUGUCCGGAUGGGACUUUCCUUGGCGUGGAAGGCAAGCUUGGCGAUACGAAUACGUAGAUCUCCUACCAUUGUAACCGACUCUAUGUAACCCUAGCCCUCUCCGGUGCCUAUAUAAACCGGAUGGCUCUAGUCCGUAGAACAACAACAACAACCAUUACAAUCAUACCAUAGGAUAGCUUCUAGGGUUUAGCCUCCUUGAUCUCGUGGUAGAUCCACUCUUGUAAACAUUCACAAUAUCAAUAUCAAUCAAGCAGGACGUAGGGUUUUACCUCCAUCAAGAGGGCCCGAACCUGGGUAAAACAUCGUGUCCCUUGUCUCCUGUUACCAUCCGCCUAGACGCACAGUUCGGGACCCCCUACCCGAGAUCCGCCAGUUUUGACACCGAUAAUGGGCUUUAUUUUACACAUUUAUAUCAUUUUUGGGACUAACCUACUAACCGGAGGCCCAGCCCAUAUUGCUGUUUUUUGCCUAUUUCAGUAUUUCGAAGAAAAGGAAUAUCAAACGGAGUCCAAACGGAAUGAAACCUUCGGGAGCGUGAUUUUUGGAACGAACGUGAUCCAGAGGACUUGGAGUGCAAGCCAAGAAGCUGCCGAGGCUCCACGAGAUAGGAGGGCGCCCCCCUGUAGGGCGCGCCCCCUGUCUCGUGGGCCCCUCGGGCAGCCACAGACGUACUUCUGCCUCCUAUAUAUACCUACGUACCCCGAAAACAUCCAGGAGCACCACGAAACACAAUUUCCACCACCGUAACCUUCUGUAUCCGCGGGAUCUUAUCUUGGAGCCUUCGCCGGCACUCUGCCGGAGGGGGAAUCGACCAUGGAGGGCUUCUACAUCAACAUCCUUGCCCCUCCAAUGAGUUGUGAGUAGUUUACCACAGACCUACGGGUCCAUAGUUAUUAGCUAGAUGGCUUCUUCUCUCUUUUUGGACCUCAAUACAAUGUUCUCCCCCUCUCUUGUGGAGAUCUAUUCAAUGUAAACUCUUUUUGUGGUGUGUUUGUCGAGAUCCGAUGAAUUGUGGGUUUAUGAUCAAGUUUAUCUAUGAAUAAUAUUUGAAUCUUCUCUGAAUUAUUUUAUGUAUGAUUGAGUUAUCUUUGCAAGUCCCUUUGAAUUAUCAGUUUAGUUUGCCCUACUAGAUUGAUCUUUCUUGUCAUGGGAGAAGUGCUUAGCUUUGGAUUCAAUCUUGCAGUGUCCUUACCCAGUGACAGAAAGGGUUGCAAGGCACGUAUUGUAUUGUUGCCAUCGAGGAUAACAAGAUGGGGUUUAUAUCAUAUUGCUUGAGUUUAUCCCUCUACAUCAUGUCAUCUUGCUUAAUGUGUUACUCUGUUCUUAUGAACUUAAUACUCUAGAUGCAGGCAGGAGUCGGUCGAUGUGUGGAGUAAUAGUAGUAGAUGCAGGCAGGAGUCGGUCUACCUUUUAUGGACGUGAUGCCUAUAUACAUGAUCAUGCCUAGAUAAUCUCAUAAGUAUGCGCUUUUCUAUCAAUUGCUCGACAGUAAUUUGUUCACCCACCAUAAUACUUAUGCUAUCUUGAGAGAAGCCUCUAGUGAAACCUAUGGCCCCCGGGUCUAUCUCCUAUCAUAUUUGCUUUCAACCUACUUUUAUUUGCAUCUUUACUUUUUGCAUCUAUAUUAUAAAAUACCAAAAAUAUAUUUAUCUUAUCAUACUAUCUUUAUUAGAUCUCACUUUCGCAAGUGGCCGUGAAGGGAUUGACAACCCCUUUAUCGCGUUGGUUACGAGUUCUCAGUUUGUUUGUGUAGGUGCGUGGGACUUUUGAGGAGCCUCCUACUGGAUUGAUACCUUGGUUCUCAAAAACUGAGGGAAAUACUUACGCUACUAUCACUGCAUCACCCUCUCCUCUUUGAGGAAAACCAACGCAAGGUCAAGACGUAGCAAGAAGGAUUUCUGGCGCCGUUGCCGGGGAGGUCUUCGCUCUAGUCAAGACAUAGCAAGUACCCAUCACAAACCCAUCUCCCUCGCAUUUACAUUAUUUGCCAUUUGCCUCUCGUUUUCCUCCCCCCCCCCACUUCACCCUUGCUGUUUUAUUCACCCUCUCUUUCCCAAUCUCCUCCUCUCUUUUUCGCUUGCCUUUUUUUGUUUGCUUGUGUGUUGGAUUACUUGUUGCCAUGGCACAAGAUAAUACCAAAUUGUGUGAUUUCUCGAAUACCAAUAAUAAUGAUUUCCUUAGUACUCCGAUUGCUCCUCUUAAUGAUGUUGAGUCUUGUGAAAUCAAUACUGCUUUGCUGAAUCUUGUUAUGAAAGAUCAAUUCGCCGGCCUUCCUAGUGAAGAUGCCGCUACUCAUCUAAACAACUUUGUUGAUUUGUGUGAUAUGCAAAACAAGAAAGAUACGGAUAACAAUAUUGUCAAAUUGAAGUUAUUUCCGUUUUCACUUAGAGAUCAUGCUAAAGUUUGGUUUUCUUCUUUGCCUAAAAAUAGUAUUGAUUCUUGGAACAAGUGCAAAGAUGCUUUUAUCUCUAAGUAUUUUCCUCCCGCUAAGAUUAUCACUCUUAGGAACGAUAUUAUGAAUUUGAAACAACUUGGUCAUGAGCAUAUUGCCCAAUCUUGGGAAAGAAUGAAAUUGAUGCUUCGCAAUUGCCCUACUCAUGGUUUGAAUUUAUGGAUGAUCAUACAAAAUUUUUAUGCCGGUUUGAACUUUGCUUCUAGAAAUCUCUUAGAUUCGGCUGCGGGAGGCAUGUUUAUGGAAAUCACGUUAGGAGAUGCUACAAAACUUCUUGAUAAUAUUAUGGCUAAUUAUUCUCAAUGGCACACCGAAAGAUCUUCUUGUAAAAAAGUGCAUGCUAUAGAAGAAAUCAAUGUUUUGAGUGGAAAGAUGGAUGAACUUAUGAAGAUGUUUGCUACUAAAAAUACUCCUAUUGAUCCCAAUGAUAUGCCUUUGUCUUCUUUGAUUGAGAAUAAUAAUGAAUCUAUGGAUGUGAAUUUUGUUGGUAGGAAUAGUUUCGGAAACAAUGCUUAUAGAGGAAACUUUAAUGCUAGACCGUUCCCUAGUAAUUCCUCUAAUAAUUAUGGAAAUUCCUACAAUAAUUCUUAUGGUAAUUUUAAUAAGAUGCCCUCUGAUUUUGAGAAUAGUGUGAAAUAAUUUAUGAUUUCUCAAAAGAACUUUAAUGCUUUGCUUGAAGAAAAAUUGCUCAAAGUUGUUGAUUUGGCUAGGAACGUUGAUAGACUUUCGCUUGAUGUUGAUUCUCUUAAACUUAGAUCUUCUCCUCCUAAGCAUUAUAUCAAUGAGUCUCUCAAAGCAAUGAGAAUUUCCAUUGAUGAGUGCAAAGAAAGAACCGCUAGAUUGCGUGCGAAGAAAGAUAGCUUUAUAAAAGCGUGUUCUUCCAGUUUCCAUGAAAAUAAUGAUGAGGAUCUUAAAGUUAUUGAUGCGUCUCCUAUUAGAUCUAUGUUUUGCAAUAUGAAUUUUGAUGAUUAUGGGACUGAUGAUGAAUCAACUUUGCCUAGAAGGCGUCCCGAAAAUUCGGAGUCUUUAGAUCUUGAUGCUAAAUUUGGUAAAAGUGAGAUUGGGGAGUCCUCAACUUCUAAUAACAUUGAACCUACAAUCUCGGAUUUCAAGGAAUUUGAUUAUGAUAAUUGUUCUUUAAAAGGUUGUAUUUCCUUGUUGCAAUCCAUUGUUAAUUCUCCUCAUGCUUAUAGUCAAAAUAAAGCUUUUACCAAACAUAUCAUUGAUGCCUUGAUGCAAUCUUAUGAUGAAAAAUUUAAUUUAGAAGUUUCUAUACCUAGAAAACUUAAUGAUGAGUGGGAACCUACUAUAAAGAUUAGAAUUAAAGAUUAUGAGUGUUUUGCUUUGCGUGAUUUGGGUGCUAGUGUUUCCACGAUUCCUAAAACUUUAUGUGAUAUUCUAGGUUUCCAUGAUCUUGAUGAUUGAUCUUUAAAUUUGCACCUUGCGGAUUCCACCAUUAAAAAGCCAAUGGGAAGGAUCAAUGAUGUUCUCAUUGUUGCAAAUAGAAAUUUGGUACCCGUGGAUUUUAUCGUUCUAGAUAUAGAUUGCAAUCUUUCUUGCCCUAUUAUUCUUGGUAGACCUUUCCUUAGAAUGAUUGGUGCGAUUAUUGAUAUGAAGGAAGGGAAUAUUAGAUUCCAAUUUCCAUUGAAGAAAGGCAUGGAGCACUUUCCAAGAAAGAAAGUCAAAUUACCUUAUGAAUCUAUCAUGCGGGCUACUUAUGAAUUUAGUGCCAAAGAUGACACUCGUUAGAUCUAUCUUCGCUUUUAUGCCUAGCUAGGGGCGUUAAACGAUAGCGCUAGUUGGGAGGCAACCCAAUUUUCUUUAUGUUUUUUGUUUUUGCUCCUGUUUAGUAAUAAAUCUUGCAUCUACCUUCUGUUUAGAUGUGUUUUUAUCUUUUAAUUAGUGUUUGUGCCAAGUAGAACCUAUAGGAUAACCUAUGAUGAUAGUUGAUUUGAUUCUGCUGAAAACAGAAACUUUGCACGCACGAAUAUAAUUUUGUUAAAUAACAGGAACAUUCUUUUGCAUUGAUUCUUUUUGCUUCUGUUCAAUAAACAAAUUUUUCAGGACCUACUAUUUUGGUAGGAUUUUUAGAGUUCCAGAAGUUUGCGUUAGUUACAGAUUGCUACAGACUGUUCUAUUUUUGACAAAUUCUGCUUUUCGUGUGUUGUUUGCUUAUUUCAAUGCAUCUAUGGCUAGUAAAUUAGUUUAUAAACCAUAAGUAAGUUGUAAUACAGUAGGUUUAACACCAAUAUAAAUAAAUAAUGAGUUCAUUACAGUACCUUAUGUGGUGGUUUUGUUUUCUUUCACUAACGGAGCUUAUAAGAUUUUCUGUUGAGUUUUGUGUUGUGAAGUUUUCAAGUUUUGGGUAAAGCUUUUAUGGACUAUGGAAUAAAGGGUGGCAAGAGCCUAAGCUUGGGGAUGCCCAUGGCACCCCAAGAUAUUCAAGAAUAGACAAAAGCCUAAGCUUGGGGAUGCCCCGGGAAGGCAUCCCCUCUUUUGUCUUCGUUCAUUGGUAACUUUACUUGGAGCUAUAUUUUUAUUCGCCACAUGAUAUGUGUUUUGCUUAGAGCGCCGUGUAUUAUAUUAGUCUUUGCUUUUUAGUUUACCACAAUAAUCCUUGCUGUACACACCUUUUGGGAGAAGUAUAUUAAUUAGAAUUUUCUAGAAUACUCUAUGUGCUUCAGUUAUAUCUUUUGAGCUUGAUAGUUUUUGCUCUAGUGCUUCACUUAUAUCUUUUAGAGCACGGUGGUGUCUUAAUUUUGAAGAAAUUUCUAGUCUCUCAUGCUUCACUUAUAUUAUUUUGAGAGUAUUUAGAACAGCAUGGUAUUUGCUAUGGUCAUAAAGUUGGUCCUAGAAUGAUGAGCAUCCAAGUUGGGUAUAAUAAAAACUAUCAUAGAAAGUGAUUUGGAUGCUAUGAUCAAUUUGAUGCUUGAUAAUUGUUUUGAGAUAUGGAGAUAGUGAUAUUAAAGUCAUGCUAGUUGGGUGAUUAUGAAUUUAAAGAAUGCUUGUGAAGUUUGUGAUUCCCGUAGCAUGCACGUAUGGUGAACCGCUUUGUGAUGAAGUUGGAGCACAAUUUUAUUUAUUUAUUGUCUUACUUAUGAGUGGCGGUCGGGGACGAGCGAUGGUCUUUUCCUACCAAUCUAUCCCCCUAGGAGCAUGCGCGUAGUGCUUUGGUUUUUGAUGACUUCUAAACUUUUGCAAUAAGUGCAUGAGUUCUUUUGAUUAAUGUUGAGUCCAUGGAUUAUACGCACCCUUUCACCCUUCCAUCAUUGCUAGCAUCUCUUGUACCGUGCAACUUUCACCGAUACCAUACACCCACCAUACUCCUUCCUCAAAACAGCCACCAUACCUACCUAUUAUGGCAUUUCCAUAGCCAUUCCGAGAUAUAUUGCCAUGCAACUUUCCACCGUUUCGUUCAUAUGACACGCAUUACUUUUGUCAUAUUGCUCUUUGCAUCAUCAUGUAGUUGAUAUUGUAUUUGUGGCAAGGCCACCUUCAUAAUUUUCAUACAUGUCACUCUUGAUUCAUUGCAUAUCCCGGUACACCACCGGAGGCAUUCAUAUAGAGUCAUAUCUUGUUCUAGCUUUGAGUUGUAAUUCUUGAGAUGUAAAUCCAUAAAAGUGUGAUGAUCUUCAUUUAUUAGAGCAUUGUCCUAGUGAGGAAAGGAUGAUGAAGACUAUGAUUCCCCCACAAGUCGGGAUGAGACUUCGGACUUUACAAAAAGAAAAAAAAGAAAAAAAGAGAAAGGUCAAAAAGAAAAAAAGAAAGAAAGAAAAGAAAGAAAAGAAAAAAAGAAAAAAAAAGAAAAUGAGAGAAAAAGAGAGAAGGGACAAUGCUACUAUCUCUUUUCCCACACUUGUACUUCAAAAUAGCACAAUGAUCUUCAUGAUAGAGAGUCUCAUAUGUUGUCACUUUCAUAUACUAGUGGUAAUUUUUCAUUAUAGAACUUGGCUUGUAUAUUCCAAUGAUGGGCUUCCUCAAAAAUGCCCUAGGUCUUCGUGAGCAAGCGAGUUGGAUGCACACCCACUUAGUUUCUUUUGUUGAACUUUCAUAUAUUUAUAGCUCUAGUGCAUCCGUUGCAUGGCAAUCCCUACUCACUCACAUUGAUAUCUAUUAAUGGGCAUCUCCAUAGCCCGUUGAUACGCCUAGUUGAUGUGAGACUAUCUUCUCCUUUUUGUCUUCUCCACAACCACCAUUCUAUUCCACAUAUAGUGCUAUGUACAUGGCUCACGCUCAUGUAUUGCGUGAAAGUUGAAAAAGUUUGAGAUUAUUAAAGUAUGAAACAAUUGCUUGGCUUGUCAUCGGGGUUGUGCAUGAUUAAAUACUUUGUGUGUUGAAGAUAGAGCAACAGCCAGACUAUAUGAUUUUGUAGGGAUAACUUUCUUUAGCCAUGUUAUUUUGAGAAGACAUGAUUACUUUGAUUAGUAUGCUUGAAGUAUUACUAUUUCUUAUGUCAAUAUGAACUUUUAUUUUUGUAUCAUUUGGGUUUGAACAUUCAUGCCACAAUAAAGAAAAUUACAUUGAGAAUUAUGCUAGGUAGCAUUCCACAUCAAAAAUUUCUUUUUUAUCAUUUACCUACUCGAGGACAAGCAGGAAUUAAGCUUGGGGAUGCUUGAUACGUCUCCAACGUAUCUAUAAUUUUUUAUUGUUCCAUGCUAUUAUAUUACCCCUUUUGGAUGUUUAUGGGCUUUAUUUUACACAUUUAUAUCAUUUUUGGGACUAACCUACUAACCGGAGGCCCAACCCACAUUGCUGUUUUUUUGCCUAUUUCAGUAUUUCGAAGAAAAGGAAUAUCAAACGGAGUCCAAACGGAAAGAAACCUUCGGGGUCGUGAUUUUUGGAACGAACGUGAUCCAGAUGACUUGGAGAGCAAGCCAAGAAGUUGCCGAGGCUCCCACGAGAUAGGAGGGUGCGCCCCCCCUUGUAGGGCGCGCCCCCCUGUCUCGUGGGCCUCUCUGGCGGCCACCGACGUACUUCUUCCUCCUAUAUAUACCUACGUACCCCGAAAACAUCCAGGAGCACCAUGAAACACUAUUUCCACCACCGUAACCUUCUGUAUCCGUGGGAUCUCAUCUUGGAGCCUUCACCGGCACUCUGCCAGAGGGGGAAUCGACCAUGGAGGGCUUCUACAUCAACAUCCUUGCCCCUCUGAUGAGUUGUGAGUAGUUUACCAUAGACCUAUGGGUCCAUACUUAUUAGCUAGAUGGCUUCUUCUCUCUUUUUGGAUCUCAAUACAAUGUUCUCCCCCUCUCUUGUGGAGAUCUAUUCGAUGUAAACUCUUUUUGCGGUGUGUUUGUCGAGAUCCGAUGAAUUGUGGGUUUAUGAUCAAGUUUAUGUAUGAAUAAUAUUUGAAUCUUCUCUGAAUUCUUUUAUGUAUGAUUGAGUUAUCUUUGCAAGUCUCUUCGAAUUAUCAGUUUGGUUUGGCCUACUAGAUUGAUCUUUCUUGUUGUCGGUGUCAAAACCGGCGGAUCUCGGGUAGGGGGUCCCAAGGAGUGCGUCUUAGGAUCAAUGGUAACAGGAGGCAAGGGACACGAUGUUUUACCCAGGUUCGGGCCCUCUCGAUGGAGGAAAAACCCUACGUCCUGCUUGAUUAAUAUUGAUGAUAUGGGUAGUACAAGAGUAGAUCUACCACGAGAUCGUAGAGGCUAAACCCUAAAAGCUAGCCUAUUGUAUGAUUGUUGUUGUAUAUGUCUAUCGACUAGCCUGGCCCCGGUUUAUAUAAUGCACCAGAGGCCUAGGAUAACAAGAGUCCUAGCCGAAUACGCCGAUGGGGGAGGAGUCCUUGUCUUGAUCGCCAAGUCUUGUUGAUUCUUCCUUGUAUGCGGCAGCUGUCCGGACUGGCCCAUGAGUAUACGGCCAUGGGGGUCCUCGGCCCAAUCCAACUGAUCAGGAGACGACGUGGUGAGUACCCCCUAGUCCAGGACACUGUCAGUAGCCCCCUGAACCGGUCUUCAAGUUAGGGACGCUCCUCGAUUCUUCCGAACUGUUCUUCAUCUUCGGUUGCCGGUCUUGAAAAUUGGUUCAACAAAUCUUCUCAUCUUCGAUCUUGAGGAUCGCCGAAAUGCAUUCGACGAGUUUAUACGUCGGGUAUCCGAGGAGCCCCUUUAAGUUUCCGGCCUUUAUCAAUGCCUUGUUAUUUUUACGCCACACCUUGGGUUUGAAGUUGUUCCCGGGCGGCAACGUCCUCUUGCAUCCGAGCUCCAACGCCGGACUGCAUUCGAGGUAUCUUUUGCAGCCGAGCACCAAUGCUGGACUGCUUCCCAGCUCUAACGUCGGACUAUGUAUCCGAGCUCCAACGCCAAACUAUAUCCGAGCUCCAAUGCCGGACUAUGUAUCCGAGCUCCAACGCCGGACUUUAUCCGAGGUGUCAUAAAUCACCUUGGUUCAAAGAAGUUUGAAGGAGUUUAACCAAGCUUAAUGCCGGAAAUGCCCUCUAAGGAGCCAGCCACUUGCAUCCGAGCUAUAUGUCGAACUGCUUCCGAGGUGGUUAAGCACCUUGGUCGUGGGCUGAUUUUUGGUCAAUGUUUUUUAUUGAUGUAAUGUAUUCUCUGACGAGAUGUAUAGCCAGUAGCCCUCAAGGUAUGUAUCGGUCUAAAACCCGAGAUGCACCUGAAGGAUGACAUAAGACCGCUGAUCCCCGUAGCCGCUGAGACUCAGGUUGAUUUGCAAAAUCGGUUUGAGGAUCAAGUCCUAGCUUGGCAGAACACUUCGGGACACAAAAAGCGGCGUGCUCAGUCCUCGAGACUCAGGUUGGGUGCGGCCGACCAACCUGAGGAUCAAAAUCUCCUUGGAAACUGUAUUGCACUUAAGAUUUUCUGCAUAGAACAAGUAAUGCAGUAGCCCCCGAGACACUGGUCGGGUGGCAACACCAGAUCAGGGGAUCAAUGUGCCCCUUUAAUAUUUGUAAAUAAUAAGCCCGAAGCCCAGUAGCCCCCGAGCCUUAAUGUGGGCACGGGUGGCCGAAUUAAAGAUCAAUAUCCAUAGUAAAAUCACAAAUUAUGUGUAAUGACUCAAUGUAUCCAAGUACUUUAUGUCAUUAAUGCUCGGAUCCGCAUUGUACAAAACUUUGUUGACCGACCAUGGGCUUUAACCUCCUCGGCCGGUAGCCGAGGAGCGUUUGUCCUACUUUAUAAAGCCUUUAUGAGGGCAAAGAUUUACGACAAACAAGGCAAUCUGGUCAUACGACUUUCUAAACAAAGGUACACAGAGAGAUAUGUUAUAUUGUUGUUUAACAGAAGAAAUGUCUUCCAAAGAAAAUAGUCCCGCUAUCGAUUCCUUUCUUUGGGUUGUCAUGCUAAGCAUGAUCAUGAAACCUCGGCUCCAAUGUAAGAGCAAAAGAUUGAGGAUUUAGUUUGGGAGGCCAGUUACUAGCCCCCACCGUGUUCGGCGACAGACGAGGUCAAGCCGGAAACACUUCGGCCAAUGUUAUGAAUGGCCCGUCAUUUAAUAUAGUCAUCGGAUCGCUGACCAGUUUACACCUAUUGUGACAGUCAGUUUUCGGCUUUCUCCACUGAGGUACUUGACCAUGCAAGCUGGAAGCACAAUCGCAGUGGUUCUCCCUUUGCACACCUAGCCGAACAAAGCGGAACGUAGGAGGCAAGCGCGGGAACCGGGCAACCCAACUAUUGACCGAAGACACAAUUUGAAACUGGUGCAUAUAUAGCAAUAUCCGAGAAUGUUUUUGCCGAAUCUCUAAAGGAGUCCGGUGUUGCACUGCGAGACUUGUGCUGAAAACACACAAAUAGUUUAAAAGUGACAAAAUCUUGGAAAACCAAAAAAGUCAGUAAAAACAUGACGUCCGAACAAGAUCAAGUGUUCGGUGCCAAUCCGAAAAUUGGACUGUAGAAAAAAAGUGCUUCUGCCGUGCUUGAACAUGACACAUCCUAUCUCAAGACAUCAAGUGGGUCAGCCUACAGAUUAGGCAAGUUUAGAAAACUAAACUCUAGCGAUUUCGAGAGAGAAAUUAGGCUCCUGGCUAGUGACCGCACACUCGUGUCGAGAAAAGGAGUGAUAAAUAAUAAAAACUUUGCAAGGACUAAGAAGAAAAACACUUAGUAUGAAACGUCUCAAAUAACAUAAGAGCCCCCAAGUGACUUGGGUAAAAGUUGAAUAUAUAAUGUAAGGUGACAUGUAGAAUGCCUUCUAGCCGGAUUGUAGAUCGUUUGUCAUAGCGGACCUUUUCGCUUCGACCUCAGGACCCAAUAGUCCGGAGUGUGUCCGAAUACCUUCGUGGUUAUAUAAGAACCGUGGUAUGCACAGAGACAAGGCGUAGGGGUCAUUAGUGCUGUAUCAGACAAGUGCCCAACUAGUUAUGUUAUAUUACAUGGGUAGUAAGAAACAUCUUCCAGGGAGAAUAGUUCCGUUAAGGGUUCCUUUCGCUGGGAUGCAUGCCCUAAAGUGCAUGUCAAAGCUGCUAUGAAAGAAGAAAAUCAUCUGGGGGCAGAUGGGUAAAUUAAAAAUCAUCUUUUAGUUCACCGACCGAGUAUUCCCUUAAGAACUCUAGCUUUCGGCUUCACCCAGUCUGAGGUACACAUCCGGCUGACCCGGCAGUAACAAUCGCAGAGGUGCUCCCUUUACCACCUAGCCGAACAAUCGGGAACGUAGGGGUAAGCACAGGAGCCAGGCAACCCAGCUUGGCCAAAACUUAAGUCAUAUCGAUGCAUAUAAUGGUGAAUAAAAGGUACAUGCGGAAGUGUGACACAUGUGUUGGGCAUAAAGCCCGUAUUAAUAAGCUUCUGUUAAAGAAGCCCCCAGGUAUAAUGAGCGCGGGUAGCGCGUCAAGUGUGUGCGGACAAAGUUUCGACAAGGAAAAUUUGUACAAGCAACUUUUUACAAAAAAGUAUAAUUCUUGGUCGAAUCGAACACAAGCUAGAAAUUUAAAACUUUGAGCAUGAAGGCAACUUAGCUGGUUAAUGUGUUCGGUAUUGACGACGCGGUCCGAGCUUGAUGCGGGACAAGGUUCCAUCCCCCAAGCCGGUCCCGAGGUGGCGGAGCAAGGAGCUCAGCACUCCGAAGUGGUGACAUAGCACGGUCAAUGCAGGACGGCAGAGUGAUGCCGAAGUCCCCGGCAUGGGGUAAUGAAGUGUUGGUGAAGCCCCCCGCCCAGCCGAGGUGACGUCAAAGGAUAUACCCCGGCUGGAUCAUUUUCCUGUGCACAAAAAAUAGUGCAGACCGGGGAUAAUAGUAAUAAUAGGAAUUAAAAAAAUGUUGCAUAAUAAAUAAUUUAUGGAAAGUGAGUAGUAAAAGAAAUAUGGCCUGGCGCCGAAGUCGAUGUCGAUGCAGGUCGUCGGCGUAAUGCAAUAAAGGCGUGGCAAAGCCUGGAUUCAUAGGUCGGUCCGAGUUCCGGAUGUGGCGUUCGCCGAACUGUGUACGAAAACUGACCGAACCAUCAUGCGACCGUCGAUAAUGCGGCCACCAUUUGAUAGACCUGUGUACAUAUGCUGGACUAACCAGAGUAAUAAUUCCUUGGGAAAAAUUUAACCCAAACAAGCAAAAAGAAAUACUAGGAUUAAUAGCACCUGGUUUAUUUGUUGUAGCAAUCCGAAGGAAGGCGAUUCCCAAAAUUGGGAAUCGAUCCGCGCACCCAUGCCUGGUCAGCUAGUGAUGCCGAGGUGUCCGGAGUAGGUUGAUGAAGAGAUGGCGAAGCCCCCGGUCCAGCCGAGAUGUCGAAGUAGGUCGGCGUGAUGGACACCAGCUUGAAGAAGCAAUAGUGCAGCCCUGCCGAUGCAGGUCGUGACGUGUUCGAUGCCGGCUUGAUGAAGCGACCGUGCGGCGAUGCUGAUAUGCCCGCUCCGUGUAAUCCGUGGGGCGGCGAUGUUGGUGAUGAUUUAUCCUUCGUGAUGCCGGACUCUUGUUCGGCUUGCCACGAUGAUGAUCCAAAGAAGUUGAGCUUGGGUCCACAAAGUGACGACGUGUCUAGCGCAGGUCGGCAGCUGUGGAGCAAUAUUGCCGGACUGGUUUGACACCAGCAUGAUGUUGAAGAUCAUGUUCAAAAGAUCUUAAAGUUAGUGGGAUGUGUUCGGGGACAAAACACAAUACCCCAUACAAAACUUCCUUCAAAAAGGAUGUCUGAAAUCCCGUUCAUAAAAAAGACGAACUCGGGUCGGAUUCGUUUUCGCGCAGAAAACAGAUCCAAAAAGUGAUGCACUAAUCGGAAGUUUUCCGGAGUUUGGACGGUCGGAUCGAGCUAACUUUUUGGCAGCUGGUAGAUAAGGGAAUUCCGCAGCAAAUCAACGGUUGGAUCCUCCAAAGGACAUCCGAGCUAGGCGCUGCAUACCACGCCCUAAACUCGUCCAGAUUCUCGUCCAGAUUCAACAGGGCUCCGGUAUAUCGGAGAUUGCCGGAGAUUCCUUCAUCGGAACUCGACGAAAUUUUUGCAGGGUUGUUGUAGACUUAAUUCCGCAUAAUUCCACCAAAGUAAUCGUUUAGGCGACACUCGAGGAGGCGGUGGCGGAUACAAGUUUGUUGUCCAGAAAAACAGCACGGUCGCCUGAGGGCAAUGUUGACGUUGAGCCCCUGAGCUCCAUGGAUGACUCCUCCAUGAUCUUGAUAGAGAUCGGAGUUGGUAGAGAAGGCCUUCAUCCGAACAUGACGGUCGGAGGUAGGGCGCAGUCCUCGGUCAAGCCAAGGUGACCAGUCGAGCUGGUGACGAGGAAGCCGACAUCACAGUUGACCUGCAGUCGAGCCAUCAAUCCUUUCGCCGAUCACACAGCGGAACUCUCAAUGAAAGCACCAAUGUCGGUGUCAAAACCGGCGGAUCUCGGGUAGGGGGUCCCAAGCAGUGCGUCUUAGGAUCAAUGGUAACAGGAGGCAAGGGACACGAUGUUUUACCCAGGUUCGGGCCCUCUCGAUGGAGGAAAAACCCUACGUCCUGCUUGAUUAAUAUUGAUGAUAUGGGUAGUACAAGAGUAGAUCUACCACGAGAUCGUAUAGGCUAAACCCUAAAAGCUAGCCUAUGGUAUGAUUGUUGUUGUAUAUGUCUAUCGACUAGCCUGGCCCCGGUUUAUAUAAUGCACCAGAGGCCUAGGAUAACAAGAGUCGUAGCCGAAUACGCCGGUGGGGGAGGAGUCCUUGUCUUGAUCGCCAAGUCUUGUUGAUUCUUCCUUGUAUGCGGCAGCUGUCCGGACUGGCCCAUGAGUAUACGGCCAUGGGGGUCCUCGGCCCAAUCCAACUGAUCAGGAGACGACGUGGUGAGUACCCCCUAUUCCAGGACACCGUCACUUGUCAUGGGAGAAGUGCUUAGCUUUGGGUUCAAUCUUGCGGUGUCCUUACCCAGUGACAGAAAGGGUUGCAAGGCACGUAUUUUAUUGUUGCCAUCGAGGAUAACAAGAUGGGGUUUAUAUCAUAUUGCUUGAGUUUAUCCCUCUACAUCAUGUCAUCUUUCUUAAUGUGUUACUCUGUUCUUAUGAACUUAAUACUCUAGAUGCAGGCAGGAGUCGGUCGAUGUGUGGAGUAAUAGUAGUAGAUGCAGGCAGGAGUCGGUCUACUUGUUAUGGACGUGAUGCCUAUAUACAUGAUCAUGUCUAGAUAAUCUCAUAAUUAUGCGCUUUUCUAUCAAUUGCUCGACAGUAAUUUGUUCACCCACCGUAAUACUUAUGCUAUCUUGAGAGAAGCCUCUAGUGAAACCUAUGGCCCCCGGGUCUAUCUCCUAUCAUAUUUGCUUUCAAUCUACUUUUAUUUGCAUCUUUACUUUUUGCAUCUAUAUUAUAAAAUACCAAAAAUAUGUUUAUCUUAUCAUCCUAUCUUUAUUAGAUCUCACUUUCGCAAGUGGCCGUGAAGGGAUUGACAACCCCUUUAUCGCGUUGGUUGCGAGUUCUCAGUUUGUUUGUGUAGGUGUGUGGGACUUUUGAGGAGCCUCCUACUGGAUUGAUACCUUGGUUCUCAAAAACUGAGGGAAAUACUCACGCUACUAUUGCUGCAUCACCCUCUCCUCUUCGUGGAAAACCAACGCAAGCUCAAGACGUAGCUACAUCCGUCAUGAUUCACCUCGUGUGGCGGCUUAUGUUGAAGCUGACAAUGAAAAAGCACGUCAGGAAGCGCUUGACCUAUUAGACGAGGAGCAUGACAUCGUGGCGGCUCGUUCAGCAAUUUACCAGCAAGAUCUGCACCAUUACCACAGCCGCCGGGUUAAAACCAAAACUUUUCAAGAAGGUGAUCUGGUGCUCCGGGUUAUACAGGAUCAAACUGAUAUGCACAAGUUAUCCCCGCCUUGGGAAGGACCCUUUGUGGUCAGUAAGAAUCUGAACAAUGGAUCAUACUACCUUAUCGACAUUCGAGAGCACAAAGACUCGCGUAAGUCGGAGGAGGAGACCCACCGGUUGUGGAAUAUUGCUCAUCUUCGCCUUACUAUACCUGAGCCACCGGCUCGUCUGAUGUACUGAUAACCGACAAGUGUAGGGGAUCGCAAUAGCUUUCGAGGGUAAAGUAUUCAACCCAAAUUUAUUGAUUCGACACAAGGGGAUCCAAAGAAUAUUCUUGAGUAUUAGCAGUUGAGUUGUCAAUUCAACCACACCUGGAUAACUUAGUAUCUGCAGCAAAGUAUUUAGUAGCAAAGUAGUAUGAUAAUAAAGGUAACGGUAGCAAAAGUAAUGUUUUUGGGGUUCUGUAGUGAUUGUAACAGUAGCAACGGAAAAGUAAAUAAGCGAAGAACAAUAUGUGAAAAGCUCGUAGGCAAUGGAUCAGUGAUGGAUAAUUAUGCCGGAUGCGAUUCCUCAUGUAAUAGCUAUAACAUAGGGUGACAUAGAACUAGCUCCAAUUCAUCAAUGUAAUGUAGGCAUGUAUUCCAUAAAUAGUCAUACGUGCUUAUGGAAAAGAACUUGCAUGACAUCUUUUGUCCUACCCUCCCGUGGCAGCGAGGUCCUAGCGGAAACUAAGGGAUAUUAAUGCCUCCUUUUAAUAGAGAACCGGAACAAAGCAUUAGCACAUAGUGAAUACAUGAACUCCUCAAACUACGGUCAUCACCGAGAAUUAUCCUGAUCAUUGUCACUUCGGGGUUGUCGGAUCAUAACACAUAAUAGGUGACUAUAGACUGGCAAGAUAGGAUCAAGAACACAAAUAUAUUCAUGAAAACAUAAUAGGUUCAGAUCUGAAAUCAUGGCACUCGGGCCCUAGUGACAAGCAUUAAGCAUAGCAAAGUCAUAGCAACAUCAAUCUCAGAACAUGUGGAUACUAGGGAUCAAACCCUAACAAAACUAACUUGAUUACAUGGUAAAUCUCAUCCAACCCAUCACCGUCUAGCAAGCCUACGAUGGAAUUACUCACGCACGGCGGUGAGCAUCAUGAAAUUGGUGAUGGAGGAUGGUUGAUGAUGACGACGGCGACGAAUCCACCUCUCCGAAGCCUUGAACGGACUCCAGAUCAGCCCUCCCGAGAGAGAUUAGGGCUUGGCAGCGGCUCCGUGUCGUAAAACGCGAUGAAACUUUCUCUCCGAUUUUUUUCUCCCCGAACGUGAAUAUAUGGAGUUGGAGUUGAGGUCGGUGGAGGUCCAGGGGGCCCAUGACAUAGGGGGGCGCGCCCAGGAGGAGGGGGCGCGCCCCCUGUCUCGUGGACAGGGUGUGGGCCCCCUGGUCUUGAUUCUUUCGCCAGUAUUUUUUAUAUUUUCCAAAAAGUGCCUCCGUGGAUUUUCAGGACAUUUCGAGAACUUUGCUUUUCUACACAUAAAACAACAUCAUGGCAGUUCUGCUGAAAACAGCGUCAGUCCGGGUUAGUUUCAUUCAAAUCAUGCAAGUUAGAGUCCAAAACAAGGGCAAAAGUGUUUGGAAAAGCAGAUACGUUGGAGACAUAUCAACUCCCCCAAGCUUAAACCUUUGCUUGUCCUCAAGCAAUUCAGUUGAUAAACUGAAAGUGAUAAAAAAAACUUUUACCAACUCUGUUUGCUCUUGUUGUUGUAAACAUCAAAAGCCAGCAUUCAAGUUUCAACAAAUAUUAUGAACUAGCCAUACUCACAAUAACACUUAGGUCUCACAAUUACUCAUAUCAAUAGCAUAAUCAGCUAGCGAGCCAUAAUAAUAAAACUCGGAUGACAACACUUUCUCAAAACAAUCAUAACAUGAUAUAACAAAAUGGUAUCUCGCUAUCCCUUUCUGAGACCGCAAAACAUAAAUGCAGAGCACCUUUAAAGAUCAAGGACUGACUAAACAUUGUAAUUCAUGGUAAAAGAGAUCCCGUCAAGUCAUACCCAAUAUAAACCAAUAGUAAUGAAUGCAAAUGACAGUGUGCUCUCAAGCGGGUGCUUUUUAAUAAGAAGGGUGAUGACUCAACAUAAAAGUGAAUAGAUAGGCCCUUCGCAGAGGGGGGCAGGGAUUUGUAGAGGUGCCAGAGCUCGAUUUUAAAAUAGAGAUUGAAUAACAUUUUGAGCGGCAUACUUUUGUUGUCAACGCAACAACUAUGAGAUGGUUGUAUCUUCCAUACUACAUGCAUUAUAGGCAGUUCCCAAACAAAAUAGUAAAGGUUUAUACUCCCCCAACCACCAACAAGCAUCAAUCCAUGGCUUGCUCGAAACAACGAGUGCCUCCAACUAACAACAAUCUUGGGGGAGUUUUGUUUAAUUAUUUUGAUUUGCUUUGAUCUUUUUUAUCAUGGGACUGGGCAUCCCGGUUACCAGCCAUUUUCUCGUGAAUGAGGAGAGGAGUCCACUCCUCUUGACAAUAACCCACCUAGCAUGGAAGAUACAGACAACCCUAGUUGAAACAUGAGCUGCUCGAGCAUACAAAACAGAAUUUUAUUUGAAGGUUUGGAGUUCGGCACAUACAAAUUUACUUCGAACGGCAAGUAGAUACCGCAUAUAGGAACGUAUAGUGGACUCAUAUGGAAUAACUUUGUGGUUUAUGGAGUUUGGAUGCACAAGCAGUAUUCCCGCUUAGUGCGGGUGAGGGCUAGCAAAAGACUGGGAAGCGACCAACUGAGAGAGCGACAACAGUCAUAAACAUGCAUUAAAAUUAAUUUACACCGAUUACAAGCAUGAGUAGGAUAUAAUCUACCAUGAACAUAAAUAUCAUGAAGGCUAUGUUGAUUUGUUUCAACUACAUGCGUGAACAUGUGCCAAGUCGAGUCACUCAAUACAUUCGAAGGAGGAUACCAUCCCAUCAUACCACAUCAUAAUCAUUCUAAUAGCAUGUUGGCACGCAAGGUAGACCAUUAUAACUCAUAGCUAAUCAAGCAUGGCACAAGCAACUAUAAUCUCUAAAUGUCAUUGCAAAUAUGUUUACCUCAUAAUAAGCUGACUCAGAAACGAUGAACUAAUCAUAUUUACAAAAGCAACAGAGGUCGAGUUCAUACCAGCUUUUCUCAUCCCAAUAAGUCCAUCAUAUGUCGUCAUUAUUGCCUUUCACUUGCACGACCAAACGAUGUGUAUAAUAAUAAGAGUGCACAUGCAUUGGACUAAGCUGGAAUCUGCAAGCAUUCAACUCAAGAGAGAAGACAAAUUAAUAUGGGCUCUAAGUUAAAUAAAUAAUCAUGCAUAUGAGAGCCACUAAACAUUUUUAAUAUGGUCUUCUCGACCCCCAAAGGAAAGAAAAGAAAAUAAAACUAUUUACACGGGAAAGCUCCCAACAAGUAAGAAGAAGAACUAGAAAUCUUUUGGGGUUAAAUGCUACUACAAGCAUGGAAAUUAAACUAACUAAUUUUUUUUGGUUUUUCUUUAGGUUUAUCAAGCACACAAGAAGAAAACUAGAAGAAGAAAUUUAAACUAGCAAGGAUAAUACAAUGAAAGAGUAUGAGCACCGACGAGUAGUGUGUGAACAUGAAUGUAAAGUCGGUGAGAAAUACAUGCUCCCCCAAGCUUAGGCUUUUGGCCUAAGUUGGUCUAGUACCAAGGACCGCCGCUACUCUCCCCGGUGUACUGGGAGGUGUAAUCAGGAUACCACUGGCUGGUCAUCUCCGGAUCCCACUGGACAGAUGAUGCACGAUAAGGGUCCAGUUCAGGUUCCGGCUCAGGUUCAUGUUCUGGAGUAAAAGCUUGGGCUCGAUGAUUGUACACCGCUUCCGGCGUGACAAGAAAAUUUUCUGGAAGCAAAUCAAACAACAGAGGCGCAGGCAAAAUAAUAAUCUCAAUGUGUUUCUUAUUAAAUCUAAGUUUAUACAAGAGCAUCUUCUCUUCGUUGUCAACAAUAAACUUGUGUGCUACCAUGCUCUUGUAAUCUAAAAUGUGAGGAGGCAAUUUUGUCUCCUCUUUCUCAUGGUGCCUAAUGGGUAUCUGAAAAUGUCUAGCAAGACGUGAAGCAUAGAUACCUCCAAAUAUGGGGCCUUUUGUACGAUUUAGGGCUAGCCGUUUAGCAACGACGGCACCCAUACUAAAACUAUUGUCUCCAAGCAAGGCAUGUUGAAGAAUGAUCAUAUCAGGAACACUAAAGUUUCCACUAUUUGCACGACCAAUCAACCAUCUACUAGCAAAUAUGGCAAAGUACCGUAAAACAGGAAAGUGUAUGCUAGAGAUUUUUGCCUCGGAACCUUUCUUUGGCUCCUCUAUAGCGAUAGUAUUAACAAAGCCAUCCACAUCUUUACGAUGGGUUUUCUCUAAUUCUCCCUCAUAAGGUAUCCUACACACCGCGCAAAAAUUACGUAGAGACAUUUCUCUGAAUUCAUCAUAUAAAUGAAAUGAUACUGCAGGCGGUGACUUCUUAGGAUAAUAAUAAAAGUUUUACAUGGGAGUAUUGGUGAGUAAGAGAUACUGAUCGAUCCGGUCGUUGAUGAAAUCGGUGAGGCCUGCGUUCUCGAUCAAAGAAUAAAAAUCUUCAUGAACUCCAGCUUCUUUCCAGAAAUCAUUGCAUGGCCAUUCACAUGACCGUACUUCCGCUAAGCGAGGAAGAUUAUACUUGGCUUUUUCCUUCUCUUUGGCUUGUUUUUCCUGAGAGCCUUGGCAAGAAGAGCCCCUCAAAAAUGUCCUUAACAUUUUCUGAAAAUUUCUGAAAUUUUAGUAACUUCAAAAUAAAUGUGAAUAAAACUAAACAAGAUUGGUAGCAACUACUCCUACAAGUGCCUAGAGCCUAUAUCAUGCAUUAGAAUUGCUUGGGACCUUAUAUAUUUAACAUGCAAGCUCAAGAAUAUGGUCACCUAUGCAGCAAAAAUUUGCAAUGAAUAAAGCACUAGAACAAAAACUAAUUGGACCAAUGGAGGAGUCACAUACCAAGCAACAAUCUCCCAAAGCAGUUUUGUGAAUGGAGCCUUGAGCAAAGAGAUCGAAAAUCGCAGCAAAAUGAGCUAGAACUCGUGCUUGAGCUGGAUGGGGAUUUUUUGGGGUAGAAGAUGAAGUGUGUGGGUGCUGGCAUAAAUGGAGGGGGGCCACCAGGGGCCCAUGAGACAGGGGGGCGCGCCCAGGUGGGGUGGGCGCGCCCUCCACUCUCGUGGCCUGGUGCUUGCCCCUCUUGCAGUGUUUUCAGUGCCUAAAAUCCUCAAAUAUUCCAAAAAGAAAAUCAUACUAAAUUUACAGGGCAUUUGGAGCACUUUUAUUUUCAGGAUAUUUUUUAAUGCAUGGAUAAUUCAGAAAACAGACGGAUAAUACUAUUUUUUCUUUAUUUAUUCUAAAUAACAGAAAGUAAAAAGAGGGUACAGAAGGUUGUGCCUUCUAGUUUCAUCCAUCUCAUGAUCAUCAAAAUGAAUCCACUAACAAGGUUGAUCAAGUCUUGUUAACAAACUCAUUCCGAAUAACACGGAACUGGAGAAAUUUUGAAUAACACUAAGUUACCUCAACGGGGAUAUGAAAAUCCCCAACAAUAAGAAUAUCAUACUUUUUCUUGAUAGUAGGGAGAGGAAAUUCAAAACCUCCAAUAAUCAUAGUUGGAACUUUUCCAAUUGAAUUGAUGCUAUGAACUUGAGAUUGUUUCCUCGGAAAGUGUACCGUAUGCUCAUUACCAUUAACAUGAAAAGUGACAUUGCCUUUGUUGCAAUCAAUAACAGCCCCUGCAGUAUUUAAAAAAGGUCUACCAAGGAUAAUAGACAUACUAUCGUCCUCGGGAAUAUCAAGAAUAACAAAGUCCGUUAAGAUAGUGACAUUUGCAACCACAACAGGCACAUCCUCACAAAUACCGAUAGGUAUAGCAGUUGAUUUAUCGGCCAUUUGCAAAGAUAUUUCAAUAGGUGUCAACUUAUUCAAUUCAAGUCUACGAUAUAAAGAGAGAGGCAUAACACUAACACUGGCUCCAAGAUCACAUAAAGCAGUUCUAACAUAAUUUCUUUUAAUGGAGCAUGGUAUAGUUGGUACACCCGGAUCUCCAAGUUUCUUUGGUAUUCCACCCUUAAAAGUGUAAUUAGCAAGCAUGGUGGAAAUUUCAGCUUCCGGCAUCUUUCUUUUAUUUGUAAUGAUAUCCUUGAUAUACUUAGCAUAAGGAUUCACUUUGAGCAUGUUAGUUAAGCGCAUAUGUAAGAAGAUAGGUCUAAUCAUUUCAGCAAAGCGCUCAAAAUCCUCAUCAUCCUUUGUAUUGGAUGGUUUAGGAGGAAAGGGCAUGGGUUUCUGAACCCAUGAUUCUCUUUCUCUACCGUGCUUCCUAGCAACAAAAUCUCUCUUAUCAUAAUGUUGAUUCUUUGAUUGUGGGUUAUAGAUCAACAGCAGGUUCAAUCUCUACUUCAUUGUUUUUGCUAGGUUGAGCAUCAACAUGAACAUUAUCAUUAACAUUAUCACUAGGUUCAUGUUCAUCACCUGAUUGUGUUUCAGCAUCAGAAAUAGAAAUAUUAUUGGGAUUCUCGGGUGUGUCUACAGUAGGUUCACUAGAAGCAUGUGAAGUCCUAUCAUUUUUCUUUUUCUUCUUUUUAGAAGAACUAGGUGCCUCUAAAUUGUUUCUCUGAGAAUUUUGCUCGAUUCUCUAGGGUGGCCUUCAGGAUACAAAGGUUCCGGAGUCAUUCUACCAGUUCUAGUAGCCACUCUGACAGCAAAAUCAGGUUUAUUAUUUAAUUCAUCAAGCAGAUCAUUUUGAGCUUUAAGUACUUGCUCAGGUUGAAUAGCAACCAUAGAAGCAUAUUUGCUAACGAGUUUGAGUUCACCUUUAACUCUAGCCAUGUUAUCGCUCACGCGACCUAUCUCGAAAGCAUUAUUCUUUAACUCUCUACCAACAUAAGCAUUAAAACUUUCUUGUCUAGCCAUAAAGUCAUCAAAUUCAUCUAAGCAUGGGCUAUGAAAUUUAGUAGAGGGGAUUUCAACUUUAUCAUAUCUAUGGAGAGAAUUUACCUUUACUACCUGUGUCGGGUUAUCAAGACAAUGUGGUUCUUCAAUAGGCGGUAUAUUAAGACCAUGUAUUUCUUCAAUAGGAGGUAAAUUCUUAACAUCUUCAGCUUUAAUACCUUUUUCUUUCAUUGAUUUCUUUGCCUCUUGCAUAUCUCCAGGACUGAGAAAUAAAACACCUCUCUUCUUCGGAGUGGGUUUAGGAAUAGGCUCAGGAAUUGGCUCAAUUGGUUCAGGAAUUGCCUCAGGAAUUGGCUCAGGAAGAGUCCAAUUAUUUUCAUUAGUCAACAUAUUAUUCAAUAGUAAUUCAGCUUCAUCGACUGUUCUUUCCCUGAAAACACAACCAGCACAACUAUCCAAGUAGUCCUUGGAAGCAUCGGUUAGUCCAUUAUAAAAGAUAUCAAGUAUUUCAUUUUUCUUGAGAGGAUGAUCAGGCAAAGCAUUAAGUAAUCGGAGAAGCCUGCCCCAAGCUUGUGGGAGACUCUCUUCUUCGAUUUGCACAAAAUUGUAUAUUUCCCGCAAGGCAGCUUGUUUCUUAUGAGCAGGGAAAUAUUUAGCAGAGAAGUAAUAAAUCAUAUCCUGGGGACUACGCACACAACCAGGAGCGAGAGAAUUAUACCAAGUCUUAGCAUCACCCUUUAAUGAGAACGGAAAUAUCUUAAGGAUAUAAAAAUAGCGAGAUUUAUCAUCAUGAGUGAACAGGGUAGCUAUAUCAUUCAACUUGGUAAGAUGUGCCACAACAGUUUCAGAUUCAAGGCCAUAAAAAGGAUCAGAUUCAACUAAAGUAAUAAUUUCAGGAUCAACAGAGAAUUCAUAAUCCUUAUCAGUAACACAGAUAGGUGAAGUAGUAGCAGGGUCAGGUUUCAUUCUAGCAUUAAGAGACUGCUGCUUCCAUUUAGCUAAUAAUUUCUUAAGAUCAUAUCUAUCAUUGCAAGCAAAGAUAGCUCUAGCAGCUUCUUCAUUCAUAACAUAACCCUCAGGAACAACAGUCAAUUCAUAAUCAUUGGGAGAAUUUUCAUCAUCACUAUCAUCAAUAAUAGCAUCUUCAAUAAUUUCAUUCCCCCUAACUCUAGCAAGUUGUUCAUCAAGAAAUUCACCUAAUGGCAAAGUAGUAUCACGCACAGAAGUAGUUUCAUCAUGCAUAGCAGAAGUGGCAUCAUCAAUAACAUGCGACAUAUCAGAAUUCAUAAUAGUAGCAGGUUUAGGUGUCGCAAGCUUACUAAUAACUGAAGGAGAAUCUAGUGCAGAGCUAGAUGGCAGUUCCUUACCUUCCCUCGUAGUUGAGGGCAAAAUCUUGGUUCUGCCGUCUUUCAAGUUCUUCAUAGUGAUCAACAGAUAUAAAUCCCAAGUGACUCAGAGAAUAGAGCUAUGCUCCCCAGCAACAGCGCCAGAAAUUAGUCUUGAUAACCAACAAGUGUAGGGGAUCACAAUAGCUUUCGAGGGUAAAUUAUUCAACCCAAAUUUAUUGAUUCGACACAAGGGGAGCCAAAGAAUAUUCUUGAGUAUUAGCAGUUGAGUUGUCAAUUCAACCACACCUGGAUAACUUAGUAUCUGCAGCAAAGUAUUUAGUAGCAAAGUAGUAUGAUAAUAAAGGUAACGGUAGCAAAAGUAAUGUUUUUGGGGUUCUGUAGUGAUUGUAACAGUAGCAACAGAAAAGUAAAUAAGUGAAGAACAAUAUGUGAAAAGCUCGUAGGCAAUGGAUCAGUGAUGGAUAAUUAUGCCGGAUGCGAUUCCUCAUGUGAUAGCUAUAACAUAGGGUGACAUAGAACUAGCUCCAAUUCAUCAAUGUAAUGUAGGCAUGUAUUCUGUAAAUAGUCAUACGUGCUUAUGGAAAAGAACUUGCAUGACAUCUUUUGUCCUACCCUCCCGUGGCAGCGAGGUCCUAGCGGAAACUAAGGGAUAUUAAGGCCUCCUUUUAAUAGAGAACCGGAACAAAGCAUUAGCACAUAGUGAAUACAUGAACUCCUCAAACUACGGUCAUCACCGAGAAUUAUCCUGAUCAUUGUCACUUCGGGGUUGUCGGAUCAUAACACAUAAUAGGUGACUAUAGACUGGCAAGAUAGGAUCAAAAACACAAAUAUAUUCAUGAAAACAUAAUAGGUUCAGAUCUGAAAUCAUGGCACUCGGGCCCUAGUGACAAGCAUUAAGAAUAGCAAAGUCAUAGCAACAUCAAUCUCAGAACAUGUGGAUACUAGGUAUCAAACCCUAACAAAACUAACUUGAUUACAUGGUAAAUCUCAUCCAACCCAUCACCGUCCAGCAAGCCUAUGAUGGAAUUACUCACGCACGGCGGUGAGCAUCAUGAAAUUGGUGAUGGAGGAUGGUUGAUGAUGACGACAGCGACGAAUCCACCUCUCCGAAGCCUCGAACGGACUCCAGAUCAGCCCUCCCGAGAGAGAUUAGGGCUUGGCGGCGGCUCCGUGUCGUACAACGCGAUGAAACUUUCUCUCCGAUUUUUUUCUCCCUGAACGUGAAUAUAUGGAGUUGGAGUUGAGGUCGGUGGAGGUCCAGGGGGCCCACGACAUAGGGAGGCGCAACCAGGAGGAGGGGGCGCGCCCCCUGUCUCAUGGACAGGGUGUGGGCCCCCUGGUCUUGAUUCUUUCGCCAGUAUUUUUUAUAUUUUCCAAAAAGUGCCUCCGUGGAUUUUCAGGACAUUUCGAGAACUUUUCUUUUCUACACAUAAAACAACAUCAUGGCAGUUCUGCUGAAAACAGCGUCAGCCCGGGUUAGUUUCAUUCAAAUCAUGCAAGUUAGAGUCCAAAAAAAGGGCAAAAGUGUUUGGAAAAGUAGAUACGUUGGAGACGUAUCAUGUACAUAUUUUGAUAAUGUAUAUAUUAUGAUCAAUAUAAUAAAACCGGCAUCCCUGAUAAAGCAGGGCCUCUAUCGUUUUAUCGUUAAUGAAUCAUAAGUUUCUUUUUUAUCAUUACUAAAUGGGUCACUUGGGGGCUUCCCAUUCAAACAUAGGUGUAAACACCAAAGAGAACAUAGCGUUACUACCCUCUUGAUCCGGUGCAAUAUUACAAAUCACUUGGGGGCUCCUGUUCAAACAUAGGUGUAUUCACCAAAGAGAACAUAGCGUUACUACCCUCUUGAUCCGGCUUUCAAGCCCUCUGGUUACCUUGGUAAUUCGGCUAUCAAGCCAAUAUGAGGAUUUCAUAAGAGCACAGCUCUCGUCACCUUGGUAAUUCGGCUAUCAAGCCAAUAUGAGAAUUUCAUAAGAGCACAGCUCUGGUCACCUUGGUAAUUCGGCUAUCAAAGCCAAUAUGAUAAUUUCAUGAGAGCACAACUCUGAUCACCUUAGUGAUUCGGCUAUCAAGCCAAUAUGAAAAUUUCAUGAGAGCACAGCUCUGAUUACCUUGGUGAUUCGGCUAUCAAGCAAAGAUGGAAAUUUCAUGAGAGCACAGCUCUGAUUACCUUAGUGAUUCGGCUAUCAAGCCAAUAUGAUAUUUUCAUGAGAGCAUAGCUCUGAUUACCUUGGGAUUUCGGCUCUUAUAACUUGGAGGAUUAAUGACUGGGUUACACAGACCAAAGAGAGUCUGAUUGCAUAGCACAACUCAAACAUGGAUUUAUGGUGACCCGGCAGCAUAUGAUGGUAUUCAGUACUUGGAAUUAUUAUUAUCUUCUCCAAUUUUGGGUCAUCACCCCUACUGCAUUGGCAUGAUAAGCCGGCAGUUUUAAACACAUCACAGGUAUGAUAUUUUUGCAUAUAUUCAAUUAUGAUUAAGCCGGCCCUGGUUAUGAACUGUUCUUAGUCGCCAGUGGUUUUAUAUUAGGCAUUAUGACCCGUCAUGCGGUAAACCGCCAGGACACUUGUGAUGUGUUUAUAUGCAGAAACAGAUUCCCAUUGUUAAGUCAUAAACACAAGUGGUAGAUAUUAAAUUGAUGGAUCAACAAUGUCAUGCAAAGCAAAAUAUGCAUGAUGGCAUAGUCAAUCAAGAGUUUAAGCUAGCCUAUUACAAGGCAUCUGAUGGCCCAACGAGACUAAGCAUUCAUCGAAGGUAUUAGUACAGAAAAGUAUUCUGCUAAGUACACCGGCUUAUGAUCAUUGGUGGGUUGAGGCCUCAGGGUCUUCUUGUACCUCUUCUUCAUCUUCAACUCCUUGCAUAUCCAUCGGUUGGAAGUCAAGCAUAGCCCAGUUGAUACCGGUCAACGCUCUAAAUACAGCUUCAUCACCAAUAAGAUUGGAUGGAUCAAUGUCAGGGGCAAAGGUGUGCUUAUGAAUCGGAGGAGUAAGAUCUGUUGGUUCAUGAACUGGCGCGCCAAUCUUCUUGUUCUCAGCAUCAUAAGCCGCCUGGUAUGAGGAUAAGCUGGUUUCGUCAGCCAGCUUGCUGGCUAGUGGAUGCAUCGCUCUUGCUAUUUCUGCGAAGUCAUCUGCACUGAAGUCCGAUCCAUCUUCUUUAACACUGGGGCAGCCAUUGGCCAAAUCUUCUGGGUCAAGAUCGGCCUGCCAUGCUUUGGCCCAGCUUAAAGCAGUUAAAGCACUAGCCCUGGCAACUCCCCGUUUCAAGUCAUCAAUUCUUUUGGGCAGCAUUGAUAAUUUCUUCACGGUGUCUUGGAUAAGUGUUGAGGGAGUUUUCUUAUGCAUUGUAGCAGCGAUGGUUCGUUGGGCACAAGAGUGUAGACAGCUUUAAGCCGGAGGCACAUGUUUGAACCGAACUUGGCGCUCCGAGAACCUAUAUCAAUAAAAUCAUGGAUAAGUCGGCAGACGUUUCUAGUAUGAUUCUUACAAGUACAAGGGGGGUAUGUUCUUACCAAAGAUGGCUGAUGACAUAAUGUUAAUCUGCUGCUUUAGGCCAGAUAACUCCUCAGUUACCGAUUUAAGCGCGGCUUCAACAUCCUCCGCUCUCUUCAGCAGGGUUGACCUCUCUGUAUCCCAAUUUGCCUCUUUAGCUUUAAAGCUUUCCUUCAAUUUUUCCAUCGCUGCUAAAGCAUUGAUCACUUCAUCCUUGGCCUUGGUGGUUUCUGCUUGUUGAGACUUGAUAUUUUCUCGGAGGUCGGCAAUUUGGGUUUCUCUACUGGUCAGCUCAGCCUGCAAAAGGUAAACAAUUCAUGAGAUGGCAAUGAAUUUAUACAAAGUCCCAAUCACAAUACAAGUAUUAUAUUCGGCACUUGGGGGCUAAUGUCUAUUGCUUCUUCAAAUACUGCGGAACUCCCAAGCACAAUACAAAUAUUGUCCUUAGCACUUGGGGGCUAAUGCAUACUGCUCUGAUCAAAAGAUAAGCAUAUUGGUUGACCCGGACAAAGGGUAGUAAUCCGGCUUGUGAGAACUAUGUACAGUGUUAUUCAGUUUUUUACAAAAUAAGUUUUGACUUAACAUAAUUGUUAAGACGACCCUUGGGAGCUACACAUGCAGAGUUGAAGUUUUGUUAUCAUAAAUCCCGGUUCAUAUUCAUAAUAUAAACCGACCCUUGGGGGCUACACAUGCAGAGUUGAAGUUUUGUUAUCAUAAGACUUGGUUCAUAUUCAUAAUAUAAACCGGCCCUUGGGGGCUACUGGUUUUCAUCUAUGCAGCUAUUGAAAGUUUACAGCACAUUCUAUCCUAUCAUGUCCAAUAAACUUGGCGGCUAAUGGAAAUAUAUUUCUAUGAAAGGAAGUGACAGCGUUUACCUCAUAGCGAUCCUUCAUCAAGUUCACUAAGUCGGCUUCAAAAUCACGGCUGGUGUAUAAACGGUUCAAGUAGCCAGAAUGGAUAUCUUGGGCGCUGAACUGGGUGUAGCGCUCUAAGUCCACCUUCCACUUGCCUUUAUCCUCAGUGGAAAUUUCUUCUUUGGUACUAUGCCUGGAUAAGGCCGUAGGACGACCCAGGGUUGUGAAGCCAUGACCAGUAAUGGUAACAUCAUCAUCCUUUUCUGUCGGCUUAACAGGACUGGCUAUUCUGAUAGGGCUUGACGGAUUGAUAUCAGUCGGGUUAACAUUCAUCGGGUGAAGGUCGACAUGUUGGUCUUCUGAUGGCAAGUCAUCAGCAAUAUUGUUGGCAAUUGGGUGAGAAGAUUCUGGUUGUUGUCUUUCCGGCUCAGACAGGUUCGGGUCAUUGGCCGGCUUAUUUAGCUUUGCCUUUUUUACUGGGUUUAGCUUGGCCCCUGAAAAGCAAGAAACAAAAAAGAAAGUCAAGGUGGUGAUCAAGCACAAACAUUGGGAUAAUGGAAAAUAGUCUUACCCAGGUACAGUCUUGAAAGCUGGGAUUUGUGUUCCUGUUGGCUCACCGGAGGAGGAAUGAGAAGUCCCCUAAUAAUUUGAAUCAGAUGGGUAAGGGGUUGUUGAAAAUAACCCACGUUGGGGUGAACUAUGUCAGAAAUAUUUAAGACCUCUGGACGGCGUUUGCGAAGAGGAGUGUUUGGUAAACCGGAAGAAGUAAUCACGUUGUCGCUAUGUCGGGUCGUGCGGCGAGCUUCAUGUUGUUGUUUCUUCAAAAGAAAGUUUGGAUCCAAGUAAGCUAGAGGGUGAGAAAAUCUUACUUUCCGGCUUGCUUGUCGGGUUUUCCGUGUUGGGAGAGGUUUUGAGCCGGAGGAAAGAAUAAUUACCUCUGCGUCACCUGCACGGCUAGCUUCUACGUCGUCCUCAUAACAAUCUUUAUCAAUGAGAUGAAUGAAAAAGGAGCCAAGUGAAUCAAGUUCUACCUCUGACUCAUGAUUAUCGUCGUCAUCAUCAAGAUUUAACUCGACAGACUCGGCGGUUUUCUUUUUGCGGGCUUCUUGUUGGCCUUGGUUUUGACACGAGUUGUCUUGGCCAGCUUAUCCUACGGUUUCCUCUUCCAGAAUGGAUCAUCAGCCUGUUAAGAUUAAAAAGAUCAUAAGGGAAUAUUAAGAAUAUGGAUUAAGCAGGAGUUGGGCAAUUCUUACAACUGGCGGUUUGUUUGAAGCGCAGAAAGGACUAAGUCCUGUUUUGCUACACUCGCCACCAAUUCAUUCAACAUUUUCUUGACGGCUUCAGUAGCUUCUGUGUCGGUUAGCUGAAUAACAAUGUGGCGUUGGGGGUCUUUCAUGUCCCUUGUGUAUUCACACAUUAAACCGGGCGACGGCUUAAGGGCAAAAUACUCCAAGACACCCAGCAACGGAUAAAAUCAACGCCUGUUAAACCAUUUGCCACAAAAGCUCUGAGUUUUGAAAGCUGUGAUGCAUACUUGGCCCGUUCCUUUGCACCGAGUCUUUGGGGGAGUGGAUGUGUGCUGGUAAGCCAGUGGGUACGGUAACCCGGCAGAGGAUUUUCGCCAGCUGGAGAUGUAUCUCGUUAAUAGAACCAAGUCUGAUCUAAUCUUUGGGGUGGCUAUGAUGAUUAGCGUGAGGGAAGCUGACAUAUUUUCUCUUUUGGAUUGAAACCCCGCCAAGUUUAGUAUUGGGCUCGUCCACAAAUUCCGUACGGCAGUUUAAAUAGUAGAAAUCUCUGAACAGGUCAAUUGUGGGCACCUCUUGAAGGUAAGCUUCACAGAACACUUGAAAAUUGCAAAUGUUGGACACGGAGUUAGAUCCAAUAUCUUGAGGGUGAAGUUGGGGGAAAUGAAACACAUCACGAAAAAAGUUUGAUCCGGGAGGGCUGAACCCUCGACUCAGAUGGUCAACAAAAACGAUCACUUCCCCAUCCUUGGGUUCAGGAGGAUUUUCUAAACUGGGGGCCCUCCAGUGGAUGUCUUCCUUUUGGCUAAAGCGCCAGUAGUGACACACCCGUUCAGAUCUUCCUCUGUAAUCUGGGAUUGAACCUAGUUAUAGGAAUAAAAGAACUUGGCCAUUUGUCAGAGGACCUGAAAGAAAAUUUGUGUCGGUUUAAGGUUCAUGAUUAAUCCGCUGGAGGACAAGGGGCAGAUAGUGAUGAAGCAUGUAUAAGUGUUAAACCGGAGAUUAACGUUAUCAAAUCACAGAGAUGAACUAUUGGCGGUUUAAGAGGGCACUAAUGGUACCUGGCGGGUUAUUAUUUUUUGAGUUAAACCGCCUGUACAGACAUUGAAAGUAUAGAUCUGAAGAUGUAAAAUUGUUAAGUUAUGAAAAACAUGUCUCGCGGAUUGAUAUCACAAUUUUGGAUCUACCACAUGUCAGGAAAUGAAAAUAUAUUCAGACCUAAAUAUUGGUGCUUGAGUAGUUCAUAAGGUCCAAAUUGGAUUUUCUAUUCAAAAAGAGACGCUCUGAUCAGGAAAAAGGAACUAUGGCUAUUGCCGCACAGGAAAAGUAUCAAGUUUGAAUUGAGUAUUUGUGCUACAGCGAAGAACAGCGACAAGCUUCCAUGAACUCAUGUAACCCUAAUGAGAUCUACGGAGGGGGAAGAGGAAGAGCUUACCGAGGUUGUUGGGCGGCAAAGGCGCACGAGCGGAAUCUAGACCAGUCAGGUUGAUGCAGCGGCCGACGUUGAAGCAGAGGUGAAGAUCGACGACGACGGUUGGGCUCAGGCACAGGAUAUCGCAAGGUGGAAAAUGAAGACGAAGAGGCCGAGGGGGAAAAGUGAAAGGGACACCUGGCCCUCUUUAUAAGGGAAAGGAUGAAUGACAGGCCCGAAAAUUGAGGAGGCCGAAAAGUGGGCAUCUAAUAUUAUGACUGCCUUGAUUGUCGGGUUUCCAUUAAAAAGAAAGGUAUGUAUAAAGAUUUGGAUCCAGUGCAGAUUUAAUUACAGAUGACGUCACGGUGAAUUUGAAGGAAAUAUGCCCUAGAGCCAAUAAUAAAGUUAGUAUUUAUUUCCUUAUUUCAUGAUAAAUGUUUAUUAUUCAUGCUAGAAUUGUAUUAACUAGAAACAUAAUACAUGUGUGAAUACAUAGACAAACAGAGUGUCACUAGUAUGACUCUACUUGACUAGCUUGUUGAAUCAAAGAUGGUUAAGUUUCCUAACCAUAGACAUGAGUUGUCAUUUGAUUAACGAGAUCACAUCAUUAGGAGAAUGAUGUGAUUGACUUGACCCAUUCCGUUAGCUUAGCACUUGAUCGUUUAGUAUGUUGCUAUUGCUUUCUUCAUGACUUAUACAUGUUCCUAUGACUAUGAGAUUAUGCAACUCCCGUUUACCGGAGGAAUACUUUGUGUGCUACCAAACGUCACAACGUAACUGGGUGAUUAUAAAGGAGCUCUACAGGUGUCUCCGAAGGUACAUGUUGAGUUGGCGUAUUUCGAGAUUAGGAUUUGUCACUCCGAUUGUCGGAGAGGUAUCUCUGGGCCCUCUUAGUAAUGCACAUCACUAUAAGCCUUGCAAGCAAUGUGACUAAUUAGUUAGUUGCGGGAUGAUGCAUUACAUAACGAGUAAGGAGACUUGCCGGUAACGAGAUUGAACUAGGUAUUGAGAUACCGACGAUCGAAUCUCGGGCAAGUAACAUAGCGAUAACAAAGGGAACAACGUAUGUUGUUAUGCGGUUUGAUCGAUAAAGAUCUUUGUAGAAUAUGUGGGAGCCAAUAUGAGCAUCCAGGUUCCGCUAUUGGUUAUUGACCGGAGACGUGUCUCGGUCAUGUCUACAUAGUUCUCGAACCCGUAGGAUCCGCGCGCUUAAAGUUCGAUGACGGUUAUAUUAUGAGUUUAUGUGUUUUGAUGUACCGAAGGAGUUCGGAGUCCCGGAUGAGAUCGGGGACAUGACGAGGAGUCUCGAAAUGGUCAAGACGUAAAGAUCAAUGUAUUGGACGACUAUAUUCGGACAUCGGAAAGGUUCUGAGUGAUUCGGGUAUUUUUUGGAGUACCGGAGAGUUACGGGAAUUCGUAUUGGGCCUUAAUGGGCCAUACGGGAAAGGAGAGGAAGGCCUCAAAGGGUGGCCGCACCCCUCCCCAUGGACUAGUCUGAAUUGGACUAGGGAGGGGGGCGCCCCCUUCCUUCUCCUUUUUCCUUCCCUUCUCCUACUCCUACAAGGAAAGGAGGAGUCCUACUCCCGGUGGGAGUAGGACUCCCCCCUUGGCGCGCCCUCCUCUUGGCCGGCCGCCUCCCCCCUUGCUCCUUUAUAUAUGGGGGCAGGGGGCACCUCUAGACACAAAAGUUGAUAUGUUGAUCUCUCCCAGCCGUGUGCGGUGCCCCCCUCCACCAUAUUCUACCUCUGUAAUAUCUAGGCGAAGCCCUGCGUCGGUAGCAUCAUCAACACCGUCAUCACGCCGUCGUGCUGACGGAACUCUCCCGCAAAGCUCUGCUGGAUCAGAGUUCGUGGGACGUCAUCGAGCUGAAUGUGUGCUGAACUCGGAGGUGCCGUACGUUCGGUACUUGGAUCGGUCGGAUCAUGAAGACGUACGACUACAUCAACCGCGUUGUGCUAACGCUUCUGCUUUCGGUCUAUGAGGGUAUGUGGACAACACUCUCCCCUCUCGUUGCUAUGCAUCACCAUGAUCUUGCCUGUGCAUAGGAUUUUUUUUGAAAUUACUACGUUCCCCAACAGUGGCAUCCGAGCCAGGUUUUAUGCGUAGAUGUUAUAUGCACGAGUAGAACACAAGUGAGUUGUGGGCGAUACAAGUCAUACUGCUUACCAGCAUGUCAUACUUUGGUUCAGCGGUAUUGUUGGAUGAAGCGGCCCGGACCGACAUUACGCAUACGCUUACGCGAGACUGGUUCUACCGACGUGCUUUGCACACAGGUGGCUGACGGGUGUCAGUUUCUCCAACUUUAGUUGAACCGAGUGUGGCUACGCCCGGUCCUUGAGAAGGUUAAAACAGCACUAACUUGACGAACUAUCAUUAUGGUUUUGAUGCUUAAGUAAGAACGGUUCUUGCUCAGCCUAUAGCAGCCACGUAAAACUUGCAACAACAAAGUAGAGGACGUCUAACUAGUUUUUGUAGUGCAUGUUGUGAUGUGAUAUGGUCAAGACGUGAUGAGAUAUAAGUUGUUGUAUGAGAUGAUCAUGUUUUGUUAAAGUUAUCGGCAACUGGCAGAAGCCUUAUGGUUGUCUCUUUAUUGCAUAAGAUGUAAGCGCCAAAUAAUUGCUUUACUUUAUCGUUAUGCGAUAGCAAUAGUUGCAAGAGCAAUAAUUGGCGAGACAACCAUGUGAUGACACAUUGAUAUAGAUCAAGAUGAUGGAGAUCAUGGUGUCGUGCCGGUGACAAUAGAGAUCAUGACAGUACCUUGGAGAUGGAGAUCAAAGGCGCAAGAUGAUCAUGGCCAUAUCAUGUCACAUAUUUUGAUUGCAUAUGAUGUUUAUCUUUUAUACAUCUUAUUUUGCUUAGUUCGACAGUAGCUUUAUAAGAUGAUCUCUCACUAAAUUUCAAGGUAUAAGUGUUCUCCCUGAGUAUGCACCGUUGCAAAAGUUCUUCGUGCUGAGACACCACGUGAUGAUCGGGUGUGAUAGGCUCUACGUUCAAAUACAACGGGUGCAAAACAGUUGCACACGCGGAAUACUCAGGUUAAACUUGACGAGCGUAGCAUAUACAAAUAUGGCCUCAGAACACUAAGACCGAAAGGUCGAGCGUGAAUCAUAUAGUAGAUAUGAUCAACAUAGUGAUGUUCACCAUUGAAAACUACUCCAUCUCACGUGAUGAUCGGACAUGGUUUAGUUGAUUUGGAUCACGUGAUCACUUAUAUGAUUAGAGGGAUGUCUAUCUAAGUGGGAGUUCUUAAGUAAUAUGAUUAAUUAAACUUUAAUUUAUCAUGAACUUAGUCCUGAUAGUAUUUUGCAAAUUAUGUUGUAGAUCAAUAGCUCACGUUGUUGCUUCCCGAUGUUUAUUUUUGAUAUGUUCCUAGAGAAAAACUAUGUUGAAAGAUAUUAGUAGCAAUGAUGCUGAUUAGAUCCAUGAUCUGAGGUUUAUCCUCAUUGCUGCACAGAAGAAUUAUGUCCUUGAUGCACCGCUAGGUGACAGACCUAUUGCAGGAGCAGAUGCAGAUGUUAUGAACGUUUGGCUAGCUCAAUAUGAUGACUACUUGAUAGUUUAGUGCACCAUGCUUAACGGCUUAGAAUCGGGACUUCAAAGAUGUUUUGAACUUCAUGGACCAUAUGAGAUGUUCCAGGAGUUGAAGUUAAUAUUUCAAGCAAAUACCCGAGUUGAGAGAUAUGAAGUCUCCAACAAGUUCUAUAGCUAAAAGAUGGAGGAGAAUCGCUCAACUAGUGACCAUGUGCUCAUAUUGUCUGGGUACUACAAUCGCUUGAAUCAAGUGGGAGUUAAUCUUCCAGAUAAGAUAGUGAUUGACAGAGUUCUCUAGUCACCAUCACCAAGUUACUAGAACUUCGUGAUGAACUAUAGUAUGCAAGGGAUGACGAAAACAAUUCCCGAGCUCUUCGUGAUGUUGAAAUCGAUGAAGUUAGAAAUCAAGAAAGUGCAUCAAGUGUUGAUGAUUGACAAGACCACUAGUUUCAAGAAAAGGGUAAAGGGAAAGAAAGGGAACUUCAAGUAGAAUGGCAAGCAAGUUGUCACUCCCGCGAAGAAGCCCAAAGCCUGAAACUGAGUGCUUCUACUGCAAAGGAAAUGGUCACUGGAAGUGGAAAUGCCCUGAAUAUUUGGUAGAUAAGAAGGAUGGCAAAGUGAACAAGGGUAUAUUUGAUAUACAGGUUAUUGAUGUGUACCUUACUAGUGUUUAUAGUAACCCCUGGGUAUUUGAUACUUGUUCAGUUGCUAACAUUAGUAACUCGAAACAGGAGUUACAGAAUAAACAGAGACUAGUUGAGAGUGAAGUGACGAUGUGUGUUGGAAGUGGUUCCAAGAUUGAUAUCAUCAUCAUCGCACACUCCCUAUAUUUUCUAGAUUAGUGUUAAACCUAAAUAAAUGUUAUUUGGCGUUUGCGUUGAGCAUGAAUAUGAUUUGAUCAUGUUUAUUGCAAUACGGUUAUUCAUUUAAAGCCAGAGAAUAAUUGUUGUUCUAUUUACAUGAAUAAAACCUUCGAUGGUCAUACACCCAGUGAAAAUAGUUUGUUGGAUCUCGAUCGUAGUGAUACACAUAUACAUAAUAUUGAUCCAAAAGAUGCAAAGUUGAUAAUGAUAGUGCAACUUAUUUGUGGCACUGCCGUUUGGGUCAUAUCGAUGCAAAGCACAUGAAGAAACUCCAUAAAGAUGGACUUUUGGAAUCACUUGGUUAUGAAUCAUUUGAUGCUUGCGAAUCGUGCCUUUUGGGCAGAUGACUAAAACUCUGUUCUUCGGAACAAUGGAACGAGCAACAAACUUGUUGGAAAUAAUACAUACUGAUGUAUGCAGACCAAUGAGUAUUAAGGCUCGUGGCGGGUAUCGUUAUUUUCUGACCUUCACAGAUGAUUUGAGCAGAUAUGGGUAUAUCUACUUGAUGAAACAUAAGUCUGAAAUAGUUGAAAGGUUCAAAGAAUUUCAGAGUGAAGUGUAAAAUCAUCGUAACAAGAAAAAUAAAGUUUCUGCGAUCUGAUCGUGGAGAUGAAUAUUUGAGUUACGAGUUUGGCCUUCAGUUAAAACAAUAUGGAAUAGUUUCACAAACUCAUGCCACCUAGAACACCACAGCGUAAUGGUGUGUCCGAACUUCAUAACCGAACUUUAUUUGAUAUGGUGCGAUUAAUGAUGUCUCUUACCAAUUUACCAAUAUCAUUUUGGGUUUAUGCAUUAGAGAUAGCUGCAUUAAUGUUAAAAUAGGGCACCAUCUAAAUCCGUUGAGACGACGCCGUAUGAACUAUGGUUUAGCAAUAAACCUAAAGCUGUCGUUUCUUAAAGUUUGGAGUUGCGAUGCUUAUGUGAAAAAAAGUUUCAACCUGAUAAGCUCGAACCCAAAUCGGAGAAGUGCGUCUUGAUAGAAUACCUAAAGGAAACUGUUGUGUACACCUUCUAUCACAGAUCCGAAGGCAAGAUAUUCGUUGCUAAGAUGGAUCCUUUCUAGAGAAGGAGUUUCUCUCGAAAGAAGUGAGUGGGAGGAAAGUAGAACUUGAUGAGGUAAUUGUACCUUCUCACGAAUUGGAAAGUAGUUCAUCACAGAAAUCAGUUCUAGUGAUUCCUACACCAAUUAGUGAGGAAGUUAAUGAUGAUGAUCAUGAAACUUUAGAUUAAGUUACUAUAGAACCUCGUAGGUCUUCCAGAGUAAGAUCCGCACCAGAGUGGUACGGUAAUACUAUUCUGGAGGUCAUGUUACUUGACCGUGGCGAACCUACAAACUAUGAGGAAGCGAUGAUGAGCCCAGAUUCCGCGAAAUGGCUUGAGGCCAUGAAAUCCGAGAUUGGAUCCAUGUAUGAGAACAAAGUGUGGACUUUGGUGGACUUGCCCGAUGAUCGGAAAGCCAUAGAAAAUAAAUGGAUCUUUAAGAGGAAGAUGGACGCUGAUAGUAGUGUUACUAUCUACAAAGCUCGACUUGUCGCAAAAGGUUUUUCGACAAGUUCAAGGUGUUGAAUACGAUGAGAUUUUCUCACUCGUAUCGAUGCUUAAGUCUGUCCGAAUCAUGUUAGCAAUUGCCACAUUUUAUGAAAUCUGGAAAAUGGAUGUCAAAACUGCAUUCCUUAAUGGAUUUAUUAAAGAAAAGUUGUAUAUGAUGCAACCAGAAGGUUUUGUCAAUCCUAAAGGUGCUAACAAAAUGUGCAAGCUCUAGUGAUCCAUCUAUUGUAACGCCCUCGAUGCGGCUAUAUCUCCCACGUGUCGAAGCACGACUUAGAGGCAUAACCGCAUUGAAAGCAAUGUCGCAAGUGAGGUAAUCUUCACACGACCCAUGUAAUAUAAUAAGGGGAAAAGAUACAUAGUUGGCUUACAAUCGCCACUUCACCCAAUUACAUGAAUAAAGCAUUACAUCAAUCAGAUACAAUCAAGGUCCGACUACGGAACCAAAAUAAAAGAAGAACCCCAAAUGCGACAAAGGUCCCCGAUCGACCCCAACUGGGCUCCACUACUGAUCAACUAGAACGAAACAACACAAAGGGCAAGAUCUUCAUCGAGCUCCUCCUUGAGCUUGGUUGCGUCACCUGCACGGUAACAUAGGCACCUGCAAACUGGUUUGGAAGUAUCUGUGAGCCACGGGGACUCAGCAAUCUCGCACCCGCGAGAUCAAGACUAUUUAAGCUUAUAGGAAGGAUGGAGUAAUGAGGUGGAGCUGCAGCAAGCGACUAGCAUAUAUGGUGGCUAACAUACGCAAAUGAGAGCGAGAAGAGAAGGCAAAGCACGGUCGACAAAGGUAUGAUCAAGAAGUGAUCCUGGACUACCUACGUCAAGCAUAACUCCAACACCGUGUUCACUUCCCGGACUCCGCCGGAAAGAGACCAUCACGGUUACACACACGGUUGAUGUAUUUUAAUUAAGGUCAACUUCGGGUUUUCUACAACCGGACGUUAACAAAUUCCCAUCUGCCCAUAACCGCGGGCACGGCUUUCGAAAGUUCAAAUCCCUGCAGGGGUGUCCCAACUUAGCCCAUGACAAGCUCUCACGGUCAACGAAGGAAUAGACCUCCACCCGAGACGUUCCGAUCAGACUCGGUAUCCCGGUACAACAAGACAUUUCGACAGGGUAAAACUAAACCAGCAACACCGCCCGAAUGUGCCGACAAAUCCCGAUAGGAGCUGCACAUAUCUCUUUCUCAGGGCACACUCAGAUUGUCCUAGGUGCGGGUAGGCCAACCCAGAGUUGCCCCUGGUGGCCACCGGCAGCUGACAGGUUGGACCAACACUCAGAGGAGCACUGGCCCGGGGGGGUAAAAUAAUGAUGACCCUUGGGCGCGCGACCCCCAAGGGAAAAAAAGCUAGGUGGCAAAUGGUAAAACCAAUGUUGGGCAUUGCUGGAGAAGCUUUACUUAAGGCGAACUGUCAAGGGGUUCCCAUAAUAGCCCAACCGCGUAAGGGACGCAAAAUCCGGGAACAUAACACCGAUAUGACGGAAACUAGGGCGGCAAGAGUGGAACAAAACACCAGGCAUAAGGCCGAGCCUUCCACCCUUUACCAAGUAUAUAGAUGCAUUAAUUAAAUAGAUAUAUUGUGAUAUCCCAACAAGUAUAUAAAGGUUCCAACAAGGAACGGCUCCAAUCUUCACCUGCAACUAACAACGCUAUAAGAAGGGCUGAGCAAAGCGGUAACAUAGCCAAUCAACGGUUUGCUAGGACAAUGGUGGGUUAGAGGUUCAACAUGGCAAUUGGGAGGCUGACAAGCAAAAGGUAGGCAUCGUAGCAGUGGCAAAGCAAAAGAGCGAGCAAACUAGCAUAGCAAAGAUAGUAGUGAUUUCGAGGGUAUGAUCAUCUUGCCUGAGAUCCCGCAAGGAAGAAGAACGAAUCCAAGAAGAAGACAAACGGUCGUAGACGAACAAAUCCUCACAACUUCGGAACGAAACCGAAGCUAACGAGAGAAGCAACCCGGAAAGAAACAAACAACAUAGUAAACACACAAGCAUAAACAAGUCAUGAUGCACAAACAAGUAUGAUACAUGUCCGGUUUAAUGAGGCAUGGCAUGGCAAAGUGCAACAAACAAUACUACAAGUUAAGUGGAGCUCAAUAUGCAACGAGUUGCAUAUUGACGAAACACCACAUCAAUUAUUUAGUUUGAUCUCAUUUAUGUACUCAACAAUAUUAAAUGUUGGUUAACAUGGCAAGAGGUGAAACAUAACAAAACUAUACCAUUUAAACAAUUUAAAUGGGGCCGGAUAUAACAAACAACAAAUCUGGUAAAUCCCCAUAUGCCUUAGUAAUUUAAUGCAAUAACAAUUUAAAUAUUUUAAUAGUUGUUAUCAUGAUGCAGAUGACAUGAACAAGUUUGUGCAAUUUUUAUUAAAACUUGACAAGAGCAUUAUUAUGAAGCAUUUGGUCACCAUGGCGGAACAAAAAGGGUGCCACGGCGGCGAAACAAAAAUGGUGCCACGGCAACAUAUCGGUUCCGGUAGCUCACGGAGAUACCGGUGCAAAAGGAGGCGUGCGGAUGCGUGCAUGGAUGGUGGGGUGAUCCCGGCUUCCGGGUUCCCACGGGACGGUGGCACGGCAAAAGAGGGGCAUCGCAAGGAUGAUUCGAUCACGGUGCAAAACUCGAGCAUCUCAUUCAACACAUGCAUUCGGUCCACGGACGGCGUCUCGGGGUUAUACCUUUGAAGUGUGCAUUCGGGGCGGAACGCGUUCGUAGAGGGAAGUAGACGUUCACGGGCGUCGUGGAAGUAGUGGUACACGUUCGUUUUUCGGAGAGGUACUUGACGAAUCCAACAUCUUCGGGGCGACGGUAGUGGUACACGUGGUAGAUGAACUUGGCGAUCCGAAGGGUACUUUUAAGCCCACGUAGUCGUACACGUUUUGUAGACGUCCGAUGCGUCCGUAGAUGUACUUGGCGAAAUCCGCGAAGGCGUCCUUGGGCUUCCCUGGUUGCCGAGUCUUGGCAAAACGAAGGGGAUCUCAGCGUCGAAGCGAGGAUGAAGACCGCGAUGCGAGGAGGUGGCUUGGGGUCAAAAGACCAAGGCAAAGUGGCGCAGGAAGGUGAGGCUGCCGCAGGAGCUUGAGGGCGCGAGUGGCCAUGGCGCUGAGCGACGAGCUGCUGCUGCUCGAAGCGGACAGAGGCAACUAGGGGGCACGGACGAGGCCGGGAAGACGGGGAUGAACGCCCAGGUCGCAGGGGAGGCGGACGACGGAGCACGAGGUGCACGGAGCGGCGUCGGCGAGAGGAUGCAGCAGCAGAAGCUGCUGCCGGCGGCGAGGCCGAGGCGGUGCGGUUCCAGGGGCGGCGAGGAGGAGGUCGAGCACGGCGCUCGCGCGCAGAGGCGACGGAGCUCAGCGGAGGGAGGAGGCAGUGGCGACGAGCUCAAGGAGCGGCUCCCCUUGAGCGCUCGGGCGAUGGGGACGGAUGGCGCCGGUGGAGGGAGGAGGCGGCGAGGGGAAACGGAGAGGGGAUCGCGCGAGGUGGAUCGGGAGGAGCGGGGCUCUCCCUGGCGAUGCGAGCAUGCGCGCGAUGGGGAUUGAGUGCGGCGCUGAGGGAGGACGAGGAGGAGAUGGGAUCGGGCAGGGGAUGUUUGGACCGGUCGGGCUAGGGUUAGGAGGGGCGCGGCUGGGCCAUGAUGCAAAUGGGCCGGCCUGGCUGCAGGUUGCACUCUCUCUGGCUAAUCCCUUAUUUCCUUAAAACAGAGAAAAAGAAGGAAAGGGAAGAAAAGAAAGAGAGGUUAGGGGAAAGAUUUGCGCAUGGGGAUAAUUUUCCCGGACUCGCAAAAAUAUGCUCGUUCCAAGAAAAAUAGAAAGAGGCAUGAUUGAAAGAUUUAAAUUCAAACUCAUUUGAAAUUCAAAUGGGUUUGAACUAGGACUUGAUGAAAGGAAGGUCCAAAAAUGUUCGGAUUUUUGGUGGAGCUCCGGAAAAUGAUGAAAUAAAUACGGGCAAGGUUGGAGAACAAGAAUUGAGACAACAAAGGCAUGGAGAAUUAUUUGCAAGUGUGUUAUGGUGAUUUCCGAAACAAUGGAAUAUUUAAUAUAGCUCCCUAAUAUUGGAGGAUAUGUUAUAAAGAGAAGUCACCAUGUGAGUCCCUCGAUUUAAAUGGAUCGAAAAAUCCAUACAAUUUAUUUAGUUGAGGUUUUAAAAAUUAAUGAUAUGAUGGCAUGAUGACAUGAUGCAAUGCACAUGAUGCAAGGAUGAAUGCAACAAAUAAAACAAAUCACACGACGAAACUCGGAAUAGCUGGAAGUCUUCUGGAGCGUCGGUCUCGGGGCGUUACAACACUCCACCACUACGAGAGGAUCUCGUCCCGAGAUCUAGAAUGGCACCGGAGGGACAACGGAAGAGAAAGAGAGGAGAGUUAAAACUAAGUUGCUCCUUUGACGAAUGAGUGAAACCAAAGAACCUUGCGAGGUUGAACUAAUUCGAGAAAAGAAUAGAACGAAGGAGAACAAAGUCGAAAACACUCCGUUAGAAACUAGGGACAAAGAGCAUUGCGAAACCUUGAGGUUGAAGGGAAGAUAUAUAUUGAAAACGCGCCGGUUAAGGAAGGGGAUCAAGGAAGACCAAAUUCGAACAGCACUCCGGUUGAAAAGUGAUACAAGACUAAAUAAGAUGAAAAGAACUUGAGCAGAGGACACGACACUCUGGUUAAAUGGAUAAGCACAAAAAGAACAUGAUCUUUGACAAACGAGAUAAUGGGUUGAAAAGAGCAACCUCACAAUGACUCCGGAACGAAGGGAAACAAGAUCUUGAGAGAUCACAGAUACAACAAAUGCUAGAAUGGAGUUGUUGAAAACCAACAACGAAAAGAAUAAUCUUGAUAUGGUCUUAUGAAAUACAUCUCAAAUUAUAAGAUGACAACCUGCCACUCACGGGAAGAAGAAUUGGAUUGAUAUGAACGAGGAGACGAGAAACUUAUAUCACCGGGAGGAUAAAUGAAGUACUUGGAUCAUUUAUAAGCACCAAAAUUAGCAACAUUCCUUAGGGAAGGCUUUAGGUGAAAUCUAUACCAAGAUAACUCCAAUGAAGAGAUUGACGGUUGAAAAGAUCUCUUGAACAAAGAGAAAAAAAUGGAUUUAAAUAUGUCACUCUUGAAAACUUGUGAAUCACAAAGCAACGAAGGGGAAUUAUCAAGAAGGACAUAAUACCACCUCCAAUGAUAUGGUAGAAAGGAAAUGCACUCCGGAUAGCAAGAUGAAGAAUACUUGAGUUUCUUAGAAAAGAAUCUCGAUGAACACUUCGAGAAGAAAUAUAAAUCCUUGAUGAACCAUCAUGUAGAACUUCCAUGAAGAACUCCGGUAACAAAAAGAUGAUCCAAUGGAAGGAAAAAGAAGUUGAAAACACAAGGUGAAUCCUUGCAAUGAUUUAGAUAGAGAACUCCGGGAAAGAAAAGAUGAGCAACUCGAACUGAGAAUGUGAUACGAUGAACCACUCCGGAAAAGAAAUUGAAUAAACUUGAUGAAACAAGAAUAAGAAUUAUGUUAUGUCUAUCCUUCACCAAUUAAAUUGAUGACAAUCAACGGAUUUGACAUAUUACUUAUUCUCGUAGAAAAGAUUAAGAGAGAUAUAACAUAAACUUGAGAAGGUCUUCAAUGAACCACCGGUAGGAUUUGGAAAGAACGAAUGAAUUGAUAUGAUAACAAAGAAAGAGAACUCUUGAACGAACCACCGUAAGAAUUGAAAUUGAACGUAGCAAAUGCACAAAUCACCGGGAAGAAUUGCAAAAUGAAUGAAGAUACUUUAGGGUAUUUAGAUACAUGAGAACGAAGAGAGCACGAGCCGAUUAAAGAUCACUUGAACAAGGCACCGGUAAGAUCGGAGAAUGAUAACUGCAAACUGAGAAUGAAUAAAUCUGAAUUGAUGGACUCCGGAUGACAAACUGAGAAGACUCUUGAAUAUCUCCUGAUGGGUGAAAAAGAUUCUCACAAUCGAAAACAAUUAUGAGAGGAUGGCAACAAGCUAGCACCACGAAUCUUGAAGAGAAUAGAGCAAGAUUAAAGAGAAACUCUUCUUCGGUCUUCAAAUGAUGAGAAUGACAACGAGAAACACCACCAAGAAUUAUUGAGGCACACCGAAAGAAUCAAAAUGAAGAGGUUGAGCCAACUAUGAAAAGAAUUUGAAAGAUCUUGGAGAAAAGCAUUUAACUGAUGAUAACUCAUUCUUACGUCAAACUUAGAGAAGAAUUUAGGAUAGCUCUGGGAAAAUAGAAGAGUCAGGUAAGAUCCUGGGAAAAGACCUGUGGGUUAGGGCCCACUCAAAAGAACACCGUUGAAAAGAUUUAAAAGAGAUGUUGCACCGGUUGAAUUAAAUGACUUGAAUGAUAUACCAAUCUCGAAAGAGCUUGAACGAAUGCAGAGUGGAAACACGAAUCUUCGAGAUAUCUUGAGUACUCCGGAAUAACAAGUAGCGAGAAGUAGAAUUAUAAUGAGGUGCACCAGUAUGAGAAGACAUUUGAGACGAGAAAAAGGGGAUAUAAUCGACAAAUCUUGACUUGAAUCCACCGGAGAAGAGAAAGGAAUGAGGAAUGACGAACUUGAAGCUCCAUUAGAAUCUUCAUGAGAAUCACUGGAUAAGAACAUUGACGGAAAGAAUGGAGAAACUUCCCAUCAAUAAAAUGGAUACUCGAUUAAGAAAUCUGAGUCCUUGAAGAAAAAAAAAGGGGUGGGAGGGCGGGAAAACAAAAACAAGUUGGGACGGAUGAAACAAACACCGUUGAGAGAACUGAGAGGUGAUCUUGCGAAUGUUGAAAUGAUCGGAUCCACUUGAAGAGAAAGACGCUGGUUGAAAAGGAUUGACAUGACAAUCUCGAUUGUCGAGAAGGAUUGGUAUUCACAUCGGAGUAUGAGAACACCAUUUCGGAAAGGUAUGGAAUCAACACUUGACAUUGAAGCAACUCGAAUACCACAACUCAAAACAAAAACAAAGGACUGGCUUGCAGAAUAAGCCGGAACAAACAUAUGAUAGAGAUUCCGUUCGAAGUUUUCGUGGUGGGGCCCACACGGGCUCGAGUGUAUAGCACCAUCAUGUACAAGGCAGUGCACAUGACAUACGAAGCGUCCCCGAGUCGGCAUAGCCAAGGACUCUUUAAGACACAACGAGACCACUGUAAAAUCGACCGUGAAUAGGCGGACCACUAGACAUCGAACCCCAAUUUCAUAUCAUACAUCUGUCAAAAAGAUAUCCUAAGAGCUACUUGAAUUCCCACCUAUGAAACUCCCGAAAUUUUCAGGUUAUGCAAUCAGGUGUUGGGGAUACAGGGGAAGCAUAAUAUCUCACCCAAACUAGCAAAUCCUACAUCCAGCUGUAUCCAUCCUUCAACACAUAACCAAGAAACCUUCAGAAAUCAUCUACCUCAACCUUCGAAAAGCAUCCGUUAUACAAGUUAUGGCGAUACUCCCGUACUCACCUCAGUACUGGGUUAUCGGGGUUAUCUCACCAACAACUGCAUAAAAGAGAUUUUCGAUGUCGACGUACUAAACUCAGGUAUUCCAGAACUGCAACGAUAAAAUUAUGAUGACAACACCUCAGAGCUCAACUCCCCGGGACACUUCCACAAAACCCCUGACAGGAGGCACCAAGACAAUGUUCUCAUCAUAAAACCAUCGGAAUGAUUCCAAGAUACCCGCGUGAUCCUAAAAAAAAUUUAGUGAAAUUUGAGAAGAGAAAAGUCAAAACUCUACGUCAGGAUGCCUUACCAGAGCGAUGAAGAGACUGGGGAGUAAAAAGAAUUCCUAACUCUCCGAUAUAUAAUUCCUAAAUGACUCAAAACAUUUUUCUAGACACAACUCGGCCGCUAAAAACGAUCAAGCAAUGGGGCUCCUAAGGUCGGGGAAGGCUCUGAUACCAACUUGUAACGCCCUCGAUGCGGCUAUAUCUCCCACGUGUCGAAGCACGACUUAGAGGCAUAACCGCAUUGAAAGCAAUGUCGCAAGUGAGGUAAUCUUCACACAACCCAUGUAAUAUAAUAAGGGGAAAAGAUACAUAGUUGGCUUACAAUCGCCACUUCACCCAAUUACAUGAAUAAAGCAUUACAUCAAUCAGAUACAAUCAAGGUCCGACUACGGAACCAAAAUAAAAGAAGAACCCCAAAUGCGACAAAGGUCCCCGAUCGACCCCAACUGGGCUCCACUACUGAUCAACUAGAACGAAACAACACAAAGGGCAAGAUCUUCAUCGAGCUCCUCCUUGAGCUUGGUUGCGUCACCUGCACGGUAACAUAGGCACCUGCAAACUGGUUUGGAAGUAUCUGUGAGCCACGGGGACUCAGCAAUCUCGCACCCGCGAGAUCAAGACUAUUUAAGCUUAUAGGAAGGAUGGAGUAAUGAGGUGGAGCUGCAGCAAGCGACUAGCAUAUAUGGUGGCUAACAUACGCAAAUGAGAGCGAGAAGAGAAGGCAAAGCACGGUCGACAAAGGUAUGAUCAAGAAGUGAUCCUGGACUACCUACGUCAAGCAUAACUCCAACACCGUGUUCACUUCCCGGACUCCGCCGGAAAGAGACCAUCACGGUUACACACACGGUUGAUGUAUUUUAAUUAAGGUCAACUUUGGGUUUUCUACAACCGGACGUUAACAAAUUCCCAUCUGCCCAUAACCGCGGGCACGGCUUUCGAAAGUUCAAAUCCCUGCAGGGGUGUCCCAACUUAGCCCAUGACAAGCUCUCACGGUCAACGAAGGAAUAGACCUCCACCCGAGACGUUCCGAUCAGACUCGGUAUCCCGGUACAACAAGACAUUUCGACAGGGUAAAACUAAACCAGCAACACCGCCCGAAUGUGCCGACAAAUCCCGAUAGGAGCUGCACAUAUCUCUUUCUCAGGGCACACUCAGAUUGUCCUAGGUGCGGGUAGGCCAACCCAGAGUUGCCCCUGGUGGCCACCGGCAGCUGACAGGUUGGACCAACACUCAGAGGAGCACUGGCCCGGGGGGGUAAAAUAAUGAUGACCCUUGGGCGCGCGACCCCCAAGGGAAAAAAAAGCUAGGUCGCAAAUGGUAAAACCAAUGUUGGGCAUUGCUGGAGAAGCUUUACUUAAGGCGAACUGUCAAGGGGUUCCCAUAAUAGCCCAACCGCGUAAGGGACGCAAAAUCCGGGAACAUAACACCGAUAUGACGGAAACUAGGGCGGCAAGAGUGGAACAAAACACCAGGCAUAAGGCCGAGCCUUCCACCCUUUACCAAGUAUAUAGAUGCAUUAAUUAAAUAGAUAUAUUGUGAUAUCCCAACAAGUAUAUAAAGGUUCCAACAAGGAACGGCUCCAAUCUUCACCUGCAACUAACAACGCUAUAAGAAGGGCUGAGCAAAGCGGUAACAUAGCCAAUCAACGGUUUGCUAGGACAAUGGUGGGUUAGAGGUUCAACAUGGCAAUUGGGAGGCUGACAAGCAAAAGGUAGGCAUCGUAGCAGUGGCAAAGCAAAAGAGCGAGCAAACUAGCAUAGCAAAGAUAGUAGUGAUUUCGAGGGUAUGAUCAUCUUGCCUGAGAUCCCGCAAGGAAGAAGAACGAAUCCAAGAAGAAGACAAACGGUCGUAGACGAACAAAUCCUCACAACUCCGGAACGAAACCGAAGCUAACGAGAGAAGCAACCCGGAAAGAAACAAACAACAUAGUAAACACACAAGCAUAAACAAGUCAUGAUGCACAAACAAGUAUGAUACAUGUCCGGUUUAAUGAGGCAUGGCAUGGCAAAGUGCAACAAACAAUACUACAAGUUAAGUGGAGCUCAAUAUGCAACGAGUUGCAUAUUGACGAAACACCACAUCAAUUAUUUAGUUUGAUCUCGUUUAUGUACUCAACAAUAUUAAAUGUUGGUUAACAUGGCAAGAGGUGAAACAUAACAAAACUAUACCAUUUAAACAAUUUAAAUGGGGCCGGAUAUAACAAACAACAAAUCUGGUAAAUCCCCAUAUGCCUUAGUAAUUUAAUGCAAUAACAAUUUAAAUAUUUUAAUAGUUGUUAUCAUGAUGCAGAUGACAUGAACAAGUUUGUGCAAUUUUUAUUAAAACUUGACAAGAGCAUUAUUAUGAAGCAUUUGGUCACCAUGGCGGAACAAAAAGGGUGCCACGGCGGCGAAACAAAAAUGGUGCCACGGCAACAUAUCGGUUCCGGUAGCUCACGGAGAUACCGGUGCAAAAGGAGGCGUGCGGAUGCGUGCAUGGAUGGUGGGGUGAUCCCGGCUUCCGGGUUCCCACGGGACGGUGGCACGGCAAAAGAGGGGCAUCGCAAGGAUGAUUCGAUCACGGUGCAAAACUCGAGCAUCUCAUUCAACACAUGCAUUCGGUCCACGGACGGCGUCUCGGGAUUAUACCUUUGAAGCGUGCAUUCGAGGCGGAAUGCGUUCGUAGAGGGAAGUAGAUGUUCACGGGCGUCGUGGAAGUAGUGGUACACGUUCAUUUUUCGGAGAGGUACUUGACGAAUCCAACAUCUUCGGGGCGACGGUAGUGGUACACGUGGUAGAUGAACUUGGCGAUCCGAAGGGUACUUUUAAGCCCACGUAGUCGUACACGUUUUGUAGACGUCCGGUGCGUCCGUAGAUGUACUUGGCGAAAUCCGCGAAGGCGUCCUUGGGCUUCCCUGGUUGCCGAGUCUUGGCAAAACGAAGGGGAUCUCGGCGUCCAAGCGAGGAUGAAGACCGCGAUGCGAGGAGGUGGCUUGGGGUCAAAAGACCAAGGCAAAGUGGCGCAGGAAGGUGAGGCUGCCGCAGGAGCUUGAGGGCGCGAGUGGCCAUGGCGCUGAGCGACGAGCUGCUGCUGCUCGAAGCGGACAGAGGCAACUAGGGGGCACGGACGAGGCCGGGAAGACGGGGAUGAACGCCCAGGUCGCAGGGGAGGCGGACGACGGAGCACGAGGUGCACGGAGCGGCGUCGGCGAGAGGAUGCAGCAGCAGAAGCUGCUGCCGGCGGCGAGGCCGAGGCGGUGCGGUUCCAGGGGCGGCGAGGAGGAGGUCGAGCACGGCGCUCGCGCGCAGAGGCGACGGAGCUCAGCGGAGGGAGGAGGCAGUGGCGACGAGCUCAAGGAGCGGCUCCCCUUGAGCGCUCGGGCGAUGGGGACGGAUGGCGCCGGUGGAGGGAGGAGGCGGCGAGGGGAAACGGAGAGGGGAUCGCGUGAGGUGGAUCGGGAGGAGCGGGGCUCUCCCUGGCGAUGCGAGCAUGCGCGCGAUGGGGAUCGAGUGCGGCGCUGAGGGAGGACGAGGAGGAGAUGGGAUCGGGCAGGGGAUGUUUGGACCGGUCGGGCUAGGGUUAGGAGGGGCGCGGCUGGGCCAUGAUGCAAAUGGGCCGGCCUGGCUGCAGGUUGCACUCUCUCUGGCUAAUCCCUUAUUUCCUUAAAACAGAGAAAAAGAAGGAAAGGGAAGAAAAGAAAGAGAGGUUAGGGGAAAGAUUUGCGCAUGGGGAUAAUUUUCCCGGACUCGCAAAAAUAUGCUCGUUCCAAGAAAAAUAGAAAGAGGCAUGAUUGAAAGAUUUAAAUUCAAACUCAUUUGAAAUUCAAAUGGGUUUGAACUAGGACUUGAUGAAAGGAAGGUCCAAAAAUGUUCGGAUUUUUGGUGGAGCUCCGGAAAAUGAUGAAAUAAAUACGGGCAAGGUUGGAGAACAAGAAUUGAGACAACAAAGGCAUGGAGAAUUAUUUGCAAGUGUGUUAUGGUGAUUUCCGAAACAAUGGAAUAUUUAAUAUAGCUCCCUAAUAUUGGAGGAUAUGUUAUAAAGAGAAGUCACCAUGUGAGUCCCUCGAUUUAAAUGGAUCGAAAAAUCCAUACAAUUUAUUUAGUUGAGGUUUUAAAAAUUAAUGAUAUGAUGGCAUGAUGACAUGAUGCAAUGCACAUGAUGCAAGGAUGAAUGCAACAAAUAAAACAAAUCACACGACGAAACUCGGAAUAGCUGGAAGUCUUCUGGAGCGUCGGUCUCGGGGCGUUACAUCUAUGGACUAGUGCAAGCAUCUCAGAGUUGAAAUAUAUGAUUUGAUGAGUUGAUCAAAGCAUAUAGUUUUAUACAGACUUGCGGUGAAGCCUGUAUUUACAAGAAAGUGAGUGGGAGCACUGCAGCAUUUCUAAUAAGUAUAUGUGAAUAACAUAUUGUUGAUCGGAAAUAAUGUAGAAUUUUCUGGAAAGCAUAACGGAGUAUUUGAAAAGAGUUUUUCAAAGAAAGACCCCGGUGAAGCUGCUUACACAUUGAGCAUCAAGAUCUAUAGAAAUAGAUCAAGACGCUUGAUAAGAUUUGUCAAUGAGUACAUACCUUGAUAAGAUUUUGAAGUAAUUCAAAAUGGAACAGUCAAAGAAGGAGUUCUUACCUAUGUUGCAAGGUGUGAAGUUGAGUAAGACUCAAAACCCCGACCAUGGCAGAAAAUAGAAAAGAAUGAAAAGUCAUUCCCUAUGCCUCAGUCAUAGGUUCUAUAAAGUAUGCUAUGUUGUGUACCAGACCUAUUGUAUACCUUGCUCUGAGUUUGGUAAGGGAGUACAAUUUUGAUCUAGGAGUAGAUCACUGGACAGUGGUCAAGAAUAUCCUUAGUGAGGACUAAGGAAAUAUUUCUCGAUUAUGGAGGUGAUAAAAGAGCCCGUUCUAAAGAGUUACAUCGGUGCAAGCUUUUACACCGAUCUAGAUGACUCUAAGUCUCAAUCUGGAUACAUAUUGAAAGUGGGAGUAAUUAGCUAGAGUAGCUCCUUGCAGAGCAUUGUAGACAUAGAAUAUUUGCAAAAUACAUACGGCUCUGAAUGUGACAGACCCGUUGACUAAACUUCUCUCAUGAGCAAAACAUGAUCAUACCUUAGUACUCUUUGGGUGUUAAUCACACAGCGAUGUGAACUAGAUUAUUGACUCUAGUAAACCCUUUGGGUGUUGAUCACAUGACGAUGUGAACUAUGGGUAUUAAUCACAUACACAUGUGAAUAUUGGUGUUAAAUCACAGGACGAUGUGAACUAGAUUAUUGACUCUAGUGCAAGUGGGAGACUGAAGGAAAUAUGCCCUAGAGGCAAUAAUAAAGUUAUUAUUUAUUUCCUUAUUUCAUGAUAAAUGUUUAUUAUUCAUGCUAGAAUUGUAUUAACCAGAAACAUAAUACAUGUGUGAAUACAUAGACAAACAGAGUGUCACUAGUAUGCCUCUACUUGACUAGCUCGUUGAAUCAAAGAUGGUUAGGUUUCCUAACCAUAGACAUGAGUUGUCAUUUAAUUAACGGGAUCACAUCAUUAGGAGAAUGAUGUGAUUGACUUGACCCAUUCCGUUAGCUUAGCACUUGAUAGUUUAGUAUGUUGCUAUUGCUUUCUUCAUGACUUAUACAUAUUCCUAUGACUAUGAGAUUAUGCAACUCCCAUUUACCGGAGGAAUACUUUGUGUGCUACCAAACGUCACAACGUAACUGGGUGAUUAUAAAGGAGCUCUACAGGUGUCUCCGAAGGUACAUGUUGAGUUGGCGUAUUUCGAGAUUAGGAUUUGUCACUCCGAUUGUCGGAGAGGUAUCUCUGGGCCCUCUCGGUAAUGCACAUCACUGUAAGCCUUGCAAGCAAUGAGACUAAUUAGUUAGUUGCGGGAUGAUGCAUUACAUAACGAGUAAAGAGACUUUCCGGUAACGAGAUUGAACUAGGUAUUGAGAUACCGACGAUAGAAUCUCGCGCAAGUAACAUACCGAUGACAAAGGGAACAACAUAUGUUGUUAUGCGGUUUGAUCGAUAAAGAUCUUCGUAGAAUAUGUGGGAGCCAAUAUGAGCAUCCAGGUUCCGCUAAUGGUUAUUGACCGAAGACGUGUCUCGGUCAUGUCUACAUAGUUCUCGAACCCGUAGGGUCCGCACGCUUAAAGUUCGAUGACGGUUAUAUUAUGAGUUUAUGUGUUUUGAUGUACCGAAGGAGUUCAGAGUCCCGGAUGAGAUCGGGGACAUGACGAGGAAUCUCUAAAUGGUCGAGACGUAAAGAUCGAUAUAUUGGAUGACUAUAUUCGGACAUCGGAAAGGUUCCGAGUGAUUCGGGUAUUUUUCGGAGUACCGGAGAGUUAUGGGAAUUCAUAUUGAGCCUUAAUGGACCAUACGGGAAAGGAGAGAAAGGCCUCAAAGGGUGGCCGCACCCCUCCCCAUGGACUAGUCCGAAUUGGACUAGGGAGGGGGGCGUCCCCUUCCUUCCUUCUCCUUUUUCCUUCCCUUCUCCUACUCCUACAAGGAAAGGAGGAGUCCUACUCCCGGUGGAAGUAGGACUCCCCCCUUGCCGCGCCCUCCUCUUGGCCGGCCGCCUCCCCCCUUGCUCCUUUAUAUAUGGGGGCAGGGGGCACCUCUAGACACACAAGUUGAUCUGUUGAUCUCUCCCAACCGUGUGCGGUGCCCGCUCCACCAUAUUCUAUCUCCGUAAUAUCGUAGCGGUGCUUAGGCGAAGCCCUGCGUCGGUAGCAUCAUCAACACCGUCAUCACGCCGUCGUGCUGAUAGAACUCUCCCGCAAAGCUCUGCUGGAUCGAAGUUCGUGGGACGUCAUCGAGUUGAACGUGUGCUGAACUCGGAGGUGCCGUACGUUCGAUACUUGGGUCGGUCGGAUCGUGAAGACGUACGACUACAUCAACCGUGUUGUGCUAACGCUUCCGCUUUCGGUCUACGAGGGUACGUGGACAACACUCUCCCCUCUCGUUGCUAUGCAUCACCAUGAUCUUGCCUGUGCAUAGGAUUUUUUUUUUGAAAUUACUACGUUCCCCAACAGAAUUACCAUGAUCCAAAGUGAUGACGUCAUGGUGAGUUAUAAGGUUUGCAGAGAUAAUGAUUAAGGAUUUUUUAAGAUUGACAUGCACAAGUUCAAACCAACCUGGGGCCUAAUGUUGGGGAUAUAACUAUUGAGUAUAAACAGCCCAGGAGGGGCCGGGUUAUACUCAUGGCGAUUUACCGGUGUUGAAGCCCAUGAAGACACAGAAGAUGGCGACUUACGAAGGAGAUUUACUAAGAAAGCCCAAAGCCCAAAGGUGGGUUAGGGCCCAUAGAUGUAAACCGCCAUAUGUGUGUAUGACUUGUAUUGUAAGGUAUGAAAAAGUAGAUACCGAGUCGGACACGUUUAUGAACCGGCCGGGAUUCUGUGAGCCGCGGGACAUCAACCUAUGUACUCCCUCCGUCCCAAAAUUAUUGUCUUACAUUUGUCUAGAUACGGAUGUAUCUAAUACUAAAACGUGACUUGAUACAUCUAUAUUUGGACAAAUCUAAGACAAGAAUUUUAGGACGAAGGGAGUAUAUAAAGUGACGACUCGGUUGCGGUUUAGGGCAAGAGAGAAGAGAACGAAAGCUAGGUCAAGCGUAUUCGCUCCCUGGUAAUCGAAACAUAAGCAAUACCAACCUCAACUGGAUUAGGCUUUUACCUUCACCGCAAGGGGGCGAACCAGUAUAACUCCUUGUGUCUUUUGUCCCACUUAACCCCUUUAAGCUAAUCUCGUUGCCAUGGCUCCACGACUAAGUCCUUGCACUAGGACAUCUGCUGUGACAACCCCACGAUAAAAUGCCUACAAAUGUUUCCAUGCAAGCAUAUGGGCAAAUGAUAUGCAAAUGAGCACGCAAAGGAUGAACUUGAUGACACAAAAGAGGGCGGCUUGCUAGCAUACCAUGUCUUGCAUCCCGAUGCCGCUCACGGGGCGGGCCUUGACGUUCUCAAGAGUGGCGCAAAACUUGUUGCACUCUUUUUGGAUCACCCUCCAUCACAUGGAAAUGGAGACCCACCCGCGCGUGCUCACAAAUUGGUAAGGCGGAAACUUCUUGCGCUCAUGAAACUCUCGGUGGAAACGAAUCCAAAAGGUUGAAUGCUUUUGCUCGGCGCCGUCUUGUCCAAUGUAUCGCCAACACUCGCAAAGAAGCUUGUCCUCGGCCGCCGUGUAUGCAUUCGUGCGCUUGCUCUUGCGCUUCGGCUUAGGACCGGCGGCUUGGUUGGCGAGCUCGUCCUCGAACAUAGGCUCCACUUCGACGUCGCACCCAUCGUCUUCCUCUAGCCCGUAGUCGUCUGAGAACUCGUGGUCGAGUGAGAAGUCGUCCAGGUCGAUGCCGACCUGAUCACGCAUGAAGGUCGCCUGAUCGGGAUCAUAGCCAGCGGCUGGCGUGAAUGCCCCGCGGCUAUCCUGGCUUGUGUCUUGUCGGGAUCGUAGCCAGCGGUCGGCGCCCCGCCCUUGAAGAUGAGGUUUUGCAUGUAGUCCUCGUCGACGGCGGACGGCAUUCCCUCGAACAGGUUGCGGGCGUCCGGGAGCACGUCGGCCGGCGUCUGCCGCGCGCGUUUCCUCGCGCCACCGGAUGACGAGCCACCGGCCACCGGGGUGGCGUUGAGGUCGAUGGGCGCGGGCGCGGGCGUGGAAGACGCGACCACGCUCACGUCGGGCAAGCACUCCUCGGAGAGAUGCGGGUAGACGUGGAAGCCGGGCAUCGGGUUGCAAGCCGACGCGCGGGGCGAGUCGGGCAGCACCAUCCAAGGAAACGCCGAUGAGCCCGUGCUGGCCGCGACGACGGCGACGUUGAGGAGGCUGUGCUGGCUAGGGUUUAGCCCUAGCAUGUAGAGCGCCUCCCUCAUUAAGGCGGCGACGCGGGCGGUGGUGUCCUCCUGCUGCGCAGAGGCGGCCUCAUCCCUCGCUUCCGCGGCGUGCCUCCGGUCCUUCCUCUUGGCCGACUCCCUUGCCCUUUGUGCAGGCGUCAGCGGCUUCUUUGGCUUGCCCGCGGCGGCGGUCUUGCGCGGGGCACGAGGCUUGCCUUUCCAAGAGAGGCGACGGCGUCGAGGUCGAUGGUGUUGUCCAUGGCGGGUGUGGGGCGGGAGCGCGCGGGUGGGAGGGUUUUUGGGGGAAAUGGUGGUGGCUGCCACCGACCGGCGGGACCGGGGAGAGUAGGUGCGCGCGCGUCUGUCUCGUGUUCGCGCCGAUGCAAACCCGCUCAAAAUGGGCCGGGAAUGGCUCGCCUGCGGACAAAAAACGGAUGCGCGUCCAUUUGGGUCGGCUCGUUGGGCCGCUUUUUGUGUCCACGCCGACCUAAACGGACACCAGCGGACGAAAUGAUCGCCCCAUUGGAGUUGCUCUAAGAAAUUCCGUGAGAAUCAUGAUGGCAACCGUCACCGGACCUCCUAAACUCGUGAUUGUUUCAGAUUGCUCAGUUCAACAUUUCUUUGUAGAUUUGCUGGUGUCUGCACCACAGGUCAUCAUACAUUACAUUCACACUGGUAAGAGAGGUCAAUACAGUCUAGAUGCUCCACAGGGAAUACAGAGUAGACAUGCACCCAACAAAUUGUUUUACUCAUGUAUACUAGGUAUCAGAGGGUAAUACACCUCCAAUCAAAAUAGCUUGGAAGGAAAAUAGUAGCAUUAGAAACAGGGCCCAAGCUUGUGAGUGACAUCAAUAGAGUAAAUAAACCAAUAUGAUACAUGUGAUAUCAACCAGGAAAGAAUUGGAAAACAAGAAUUCAACUAGGCAACUGUACCGAUGGAUGUAACUUACAGCACACAUGGGUAAAAACCACUAAGAGAACUCUGCAUGAUGGAAGGGUGGAGCUUUAGGGAGAAGAGCCCCAACCUGCCGGUAAACGCCAUCUAUCCUGCCGCCGUAAUUCAGGUGCAGCACUACAUGUGCUCCUCGCCUCCUCAGACUCUUAACAAACUGCUCGAUUGCUCCAGCAGCUAGAGCAGAGAUCAGAUAAGCCUCAGCUCAUAUUCACCAGCCAUCGUGAUGUACCUAACCCAAGGGAGGGCCUGGUAUCCACUUUUCUCGAUCACUUUCAGAUAACGAACCUGCAAAGGUAUAACAUGGUAUAUGAGCAGGAUACACGGCUGCCAGAGAAAGUUGUGAGGCAGCUAACUGUUAACAGAUCUACAACAAAAGCUGAUGGAGCACCUGAAUGCCUGAAACAGUAAAAUAUGGUAUCUCAAAUUUCACACGUAUUGGGGCCUUCUUUUCAGGGGUUGCUUCUUCCGAGGUUAUGCUGGGAAGACUAAAUUCUGCUCUACACAUAUAUUCCUGAUAGAUUAAAAGGUCCAGGGAGUUAGAGCAAUAGAGCAAAGAAUAACAUGGAAGCCAAAGUGUUCAUAUGGAACUGUAUCAGGACCUACCUUGCCACCAGGAAAUGAUUUAAUUUUCCAGACCAUUGCGUCUCUCUCGGGUGCAUAUGCCGCAGAACCCAUUGAAGUCCUUAUAUUUGGGUUUGUGGCAUCAUAGGGUACAGGUACUUCAAUUUCUACAUUUGUUCCCGUGCUGGAAAUGAGAAAAACAAAUGCUAUGUAAGUUGGUCAUUCAUGCCACCAGAGGCACAUUAUUAUUGUUAGAAACAGGCACCUUCUUUCCUUGAACUGGCUCCUUGCCUUCACCAUGAUCUCUAUCCGGCUUCUUGAAUGCUUCUCAACUUGUGCUUCUACCCAGAUCAGAGGCUUCACCUGCAGGAGGGACCAAAGCAAGAUGUUUCAUGCACUAAUGUCAAAUGUGUGCCAGGACUUGGCAUCUCAUAUGUCACCAAAUGGUUCCUGGUUGUAAAACACAAAGAACAAACCUGUGUGGUGAGUCGGUAAGUCAUUAGAUCAAAAGCUCCAUCCGGAGGGACGAAUGAUAUAGUCCUAUCAUUCUCAAAUCUGGUCAACCGAACACACCUAAAAAAAGGAUUGGUCAAUAUAAACCCUAAAGUGACUACUAAGAUAAAAUGAAUAUAGUAAUCGUGUGAUCUUACUGAUGAAAUUUGAUAUCAUCCAGAUCUAUUGCUUUUCCUUUAGUUGCUCGGCCUUGAGCUUCCAAAAGAACUCUAUCAUUCAACCCAAGUUUACACUCCGGCAUUCCACUGUUACAAAUACAUGCAUAUCAGCCAUGAUGAAUAUAUCUCACAGGAUAUACAGGGAAAACAUAGUCGGAUAAUAUUUGGACCCGUUAACCCGAAAGACCAGAAGUUGAAACCAGCUGGUUCGAGUCAAAGUUUAAUUAUCAUUUGUAACUUAAAUAAUCCAGUUCAUUUAUCAGGUACAACUUGAUGAUAUUAUCUGUAAGAGAACUAAGUAAAGUCUGCUUGUUCAAGACACACUUGCAAUACGUAUGUUGUAGUUGACAGGGUAUGUAUACACUUUAUUAGUCUUUAUUCCUCACUGUCAAUUUGUUUGAACUGCUACUACACACUCCUAAUUUAAAAGGUUACAGGAAUGUGUUGGAUAAUAUAAUCUAGCUACAUCUUCACAGAGCUACAUGGAUGUGAUUCACAUUAAAUUUAUUACUACAAGCAGCUGACUUAUAAGCAUAGAGUGAAUUUGCAGUAUGACUGUGGGAAUGAUAUCAUGGAGUUACCUCAGAAAUGUCCGCAUCUUCAGCGCGCCGAUGAUGUCAGAUCUCACAAUCUGCCCAUUGCUAUUGACAAGAAUGUUGACACUCUCAACCACAUCCAAGAACACCUGCGAUACACAAGUCAACAAUUUUCCCAUCACACAACCAUCAAAGUGAAGCAGAGUAAACAGGGGCAGGGGUGUAAUGUAUCGCACUUCAUUCUUCUUGUAUCGAAUCCCCUCGCUCCGCCAUGACACGGCAUUCGUCACUGCCAUGGGUGGCCUCUGUGUGACCUCCAUCCUGUAUGCAUCGGUCUUAAUGAACUCACUCAGGAUCGUCGCCUCUGUGUAUUGCGGAUAGCCAAAGUCCAUCAUCUCAUCAAGUAGCUCAUACUGCGCAGAACAAAGGGCGUCCAUAAGCCCCUCCAAUAUCAGUGGCAGCAACUCAAACUGAACCAAACCCAACUCAUGUAACGCAGAAACGCACCACAUACCACGACGACGAAGUUGUCCCUCAGAGAUUCCUCCUCCAACUCCUCAAAGUAGUGCUUGAACACCUGCGCCCACGCACAGAUCACGUGAGCAGAAUGCCCGUUGCUACUACUUGCUCGCAAUGCUAAAGAGAGGCACUGCUCGCUGCAGUGAGAAUGGCGGCGUACGUACAUCGACGAGGCGGUGGAGGAAGAGCAGGAUGCUGGCGGCAUUGCAGUUCUGGCGGGCGGCGGUGAGGAGGAAGACGUUGUUGUGCUGGAUGAAGGUGUAGGAGACGCCGGCGCCGUCGUGGACGACGGGCGAGUGGACCUCCGCGUCGCCCUGGUGACCACGGGAAGCGGAAGCAGGGCAGAGCUCAGACCGCAAUCCGAUGCUGCACAGAUCUGAGAGGAGAAGGAGGACGGGCGCACUGACCUCCUUGUCGAGCAGCUUGGUGAAGAAGCGCUCGGCCUGGAGCGCGGUGACGUCGCCGCGGUAGUCGCGCCAGACGAGGACGCGGCCCUUGAUGUCGAGCAGGAACAGCGCCGACACCGCCCCCGCCAUGCGGGCGGGGCACGCUGGAUCUGGAUCUGCCGGUGUGGUGCCUGGCUGCGUGGUCGGCGGCGGGCGGCGAGCGGCUCGGGCGGCUGCUGGCUUUGGGCCUCGGCCGCUGAGGCCUCCGGAUCCGCCGCGGCUCUGGCUGCUGUGCACGCGCGCGCCGUGUUUGAGCGAGGGAGGGGAGGGGAGAUCGGAGCCGGGACUGACGACGGCGGGGAGGUUGUGCUGAGUGGUUGGAUGGAUCGGAUCCGGGCGGUUCUCUUGCUGUCCCGCUGCACGGUGGGGCCAGUGCUUGGUUCCUGGCUUUGCCAGGAUUAGUUGUUGGUCUUUUUAACAGGAGUAACACAUGUGUGAUUGAUGAUAAAAAAAUACAGGAUCAAGGUAAGAGCAUGUACGGCCCGGUCUCUGACCAAUCAGGAAAAUGUGAUCCAGACUAACGCCUUAAACAGACAUCAAACGUCGAGGCUGACCGGCACCCCUCGUCUACAGCCCAAAUAUGGGGUGGAUAUAGGGCGCUUGGGCGCGUCCGUCACGCCGGACCCGGCCCACGCUUGCCAAUCCGACCCCAUAUAUAUUCCUCCCCAUCCACUCGUCGAACCAUACGUAGCCACUUCAAUCCACUCCCCUCCGUACCCAAGCUCCCGUAGGGCGAUCUCUGGCCAUCUAUGGCAUGGCCGGCAGCGGAUCCGAGUCCUUCACCUUCAGUCGACCCCGAGCUCAUCCCACGUGGCCCCGAUGAGGAGAUGGCCGACCGGCUUGCACUUCGCCGCUCCCAGGAGGAGGCCUGUGCGAGGCAGCGCUCAUACUCCUUCCGUUGGGAAUCCAUUGCGUCCACCAAAAUGACGCAUGGAUCUUACGCUAUAUGUGUCGUCGCUUCCUCAUAGGAGGCGGCGCGGUCCGUCUAGCGCCCGAACACGGUGACAGACGCACAACCCCUCCGUUGGCGUGCCGAGGCCAUGGACGCAUCAUGGGCGUUGUAUGACGUAAACAACAUUAGAUUGUGGAAUUGGCUUACUUACUUGGAACAACAAAGUCUUCAAGGGUACAAGCCAUAACAAUUUUUUGGAUUUUGAAUAACAAAACUUGGCACAAAAUAAAAACUAGAACAAGAAUAAAAAUUGGAACAAAAAACUCUGACAAAAACUCUAGCACAAUGACUAGUGACAUAAUUCCUCCCCGACAACGGCACCGGAAAAAGGUUUGUUGAGUCUCUUUAGUGAUCCGGUAACGAAUAGCAAAAAGGUUCCCGCCUCUUUUCCUUAAGGUGUGCCCUGAGUUAUCGAACCCGUGAGAGGACAUGCACUACACCAAAGGUUGCUAACAAGCUUUUGCAAAUGGAUUAGAUUUCAGUUCUUAUACCGGAUCAAAAUCACCUUUGUUACUAAAGCACUUCUAAUAAAAACACGGCAUGAGGACUUGAUUCUUACAACCAUACAUUUUGUGAUCGGGAUCAUCAUGAUCUUAAUUUGUGCUCUUAAGACACCCAUUAAGAUGUGCUUGCAUCGAGACAUAGUGGGUGUUGUGUCCCAAUUACAUAUUGAUCGAAAUAUGCCAUGCAUAUAUUUACUACCCUUAUAAAAGAACGAAGUGCGGAGAUCCAAGUCCAUCCUAUCCAUCCAUACACCUGAUCGUAUAGCCCAUAAUAAUCUGAUCUUUAGUGCUAAUUGUAAUUACUGCUCCACCUCUUCAAACGCACGCCUGCACAGUCCCGAGUCACCUCUAGUCGGACGGGUCCGUCAAUAAAAAACCGUCCAGUCGCACUCCUCGCUCCUCGCCUCACUCACAUAGUUCUAGUUCCCCUUCCCCGCUCCUCGCCUCCCUUCUCGCACGCGGUGCCGCUCAACACGUCAUCUGCACCGCCCUCGUUGGCGAAAUCCAGUCGGCCCCCUCGCUCCUCGCCGACCUCCAUGAUCCUCGCGGUGACGCCGUUCCUGGUGGAAGGACUUCAAGCCAACACGGCCCCCACCGCCCCUCACCAACGGACUUGCAAACACUCGCCGCUGCCGCCCCUCGCAACUGGGCUUGCGCCAGCACGGACCUGCCAGCCUCACAUAGUCAAGGAUGUUCUGUUGGUUCCCUACCGUUCACUUACCUCGAUCUCCCAAUGGGGACGACAAGACCCAAUGUUCUUGAUCUCAUGCCACUAGUGCAUGCAGUUGAGAGGAAGACAUCCACAGCGCUAUCUCUGAUGUCGUCCGGCACUAAGCUGACCUUGGUCAAUUCUGUUGUGACGUCGAUGUUCAUUUAUGCAAUGUGCACAAUCAAAUUGCACCUAAAGGUGGUUGAACAUCUGGAUAAACUGCGCAAAUAUUGUCUCUGGGCAAAAAAUUCUGACGAUGGAGUCAAAAACAACUCCCUUGCGGCCUGGGAACUUGUCUGCCACCCAAAGCAAUGUGGAGGCCUUGGUGUCAUUGAUAUCAGGACCCAAAAUGUAGCCCUUCUCCUAAAGCAUAUGUUCAAGUUUUAUAAUCAUGAUGAUGUUCCCUGGGUGGAGUUGAUUUGGGACGCUUACUACAGGAACAAAAUCUUGCAUGCAGCUGACGCGGUGGGCUCUUUCUAGUGGAAAGACGUAAUGCAACUCAAUGGGGUUUUUUGGGGGAUCACCAAAGUCAUCCCAGGGGAUGGUUCUAGCUCUUUGUUUUGGAAAUAUGUCUGGUUUGAUAGUGGUAAUGACGCUCCACUCAUGGAAGUGUACCCGCGGGCUUUUCUCCUUCUGCCUGAAUGAGGAUGAUUCCAUUGCUAAGGUUCUUACUGCCACUGACCCGGCCAUGAUCUUCAGCUUACCUCUUUCGAUCCAGGCCAAAGAGGAGGUCAGAGAGAUCCAGCAGGGGUCGAUGCACGUAUGUGUGGCCAAUGACCAUUGUGACAUUUGGGAAUGCACGCUCGGGCGCUUAUCCUCGAAGAAAUACUAUAAUCACUGCUACAAAACAGGUUGUGGCGGAUGAGGCAUUAGGUUGGCUUUGGAAGGCCAAGAGCCCGAUCAAGUUUAAAAUGUUUGGGUGGCUGCUUCUUGUGGAUCGUCUGAAUACCAGAAACANNNNNNNNNNNNNNNNNNNNNNNNNNNNNNNNNNNNNNNNNNNNNNNNNNNNNNNNNNNNNNNNNNNNNNNNNNNNNNNNNNNNNNNNNNNNNNNNNNNNNNNNNNNNNNNNNNNNNNNNNNNNNNNNNNNNNNNNNNNNNNNNNNNNNNNNNNNNNNNNNNNNNNNNNNNNNNNNNNNNNNNNNNNNNNNNNNNNNNNNNNNNNNNNNNNNNNNNNNNNNNNNNNNNNNNNNNNNNNNNNNNNNNNNNNNNNNNNNNNNNNNNNNNNNNNNNNNNNNNNNNNGCAUGCAUGUUCUGUCAAAACCCUCCCGAGGAAAAUGUUGAACACUUAUUCUUUACGUGCCCCUUUAGUCAACAGUGCUGGAGUAGAGUUGGAUUGGCUUGGCCGGUGGGAGACAACAAACUAGCUUUGCUGCAUGGGGGCAAGAAUAACUGACGGCAACCUCUCUUCAUGGAGAUUUUCCUGUUGGCUGCCUGGAGUUUAUGGAUGGAGAGAAACAACCAACACUUCAGAGGGAUCCAACAUUCAUUCAGGGCAUGGCUGGCUAGAUUCAAACAUCUCUUGGAGUUGCUGAUCCAUAAUUGCAGAGAGGAGCUUCAUCCUUUCCUGUCUAGUUACAUUGUAAAUUUGGGACAUUAGUGUUGUAACUACUUAAGUUCACACGGUCGGGGGGCCCCUAAAACCCAUUGUAAAACAUAUGUAACUGUUCCUUUGUGAGUAAUACAAAAGUCAGUGGGAGCCUCUUCCACUGUCGUUCACUUUCAAAAAAAAAGGAAGGAGGUCGCAAGUUCCUAAAAAAUAGGCUCGGCUGUAUGGCUUGUCGAUGUGAACACGAGCAUCCGCCAUCCAGGGAGUGGCCUCCGGCAACACUUCUUUCUCAUCAUACAUCAGGCUUGGUUGUAAGGCUUGUCGACAUAAGGCUUGUCAGAUGCAGAGCUUGAGCCAGACGAACCUCCAGCCUUUGACCCCUCCAUCGCCAUAACGAGAACAUUUGCUCGAGAAAGAAAACUCGGAUCGAGCGAUAAUGGGGGGAAACCUAACUCCAUUCUCAACCCUGAUAGUAGAUCAAGGUCGGACGGUGAUGCGAGGUCACCCUUGGUUCAGCCCGAAUCAAACUAGCGAGGGAGAUCAGGUGAGGGAAGGUGAAAACCUUAACAUCCGCGGGAGUCACCCCCGGGAGAACACUACUGGAGGAUGGUCCUAAUGCGACACAUGUAUCAGAGACUCUUCGUCCAAACUAUGUGCGAUGCAUGAAUCGCAAAACGGUAUGGCUCAAAACGGACAAGCCUGGUCACUGGCGGGACGCAUCUGCAGACAUUUAAGGCCAGAUUUGCUCUGUGGACAAGGGGCGAACUUUUUUUUUAAGUCACGCCAGUUCUUUUUCUUUUCUUUUUUGAGUAACUUGAGUCACGCCAGGUCGUUUCGGCUCGGCUAGACCAGAGAGACCGGUCGGCCCAUCAGGCCCUUCUUCUCCCCGACGAGAGAGAGUUUGCUCCGGGCUCGGCUUCUCUUCUUCCUUCUCGAGCUCCCACGCCGCACGCCCCUCAUCUCCCUCCCCUCCGCCCCCCUGUCCCACGCGCCGCGCCAAUCCCCACCACUCCCAACGUCACCGGCGCCAGGCCAGCUCCACCCAACAUCCAUCACCCGGAACACGAGAUCCGAAAGGCGGGCGGGCGGCGGCGGCGGCGGCGGCGGCUCGGAAGAUGGCGGCCACGCUGCCGCAGCUGGACGACGGCAUCGUCCGCAGCAUGGCCAUCGGCGCGGUCUUCACCGACUACGUGAGUUCCAUUGCCUAACCCCUAUUUGUUCCUUCUGUCCACGCUAAUCUGUCGCGGCGAAUCCGUUGGCAGGCCGGGAAGAUAAGCUGCCUCGAUUUCCACCGCAAGGAGGACCUCCUCGUCACCUCCAGCGAGGACGACUCCAUUCGCCUCUACAACACCACCAGCGCCACGUGAGUCCGCCGCUUGUGUUUUUUACAUCUGCUCUGUUGGUGCUUCUGUCUGUGUUAACUGAACCUCGGUGUGCUAGAGAGGUUACAGCAUCUACUGCAGGAUGGGAAGUGUCUGGCAUCUACUGCAUCUCGAUUGUUGGCCUAUAGGUAUGAGUGACAGUGUUGGGUUCUGCUGUUUGGGGAUGCUGGUAAUGCGCCACUUUGAUCUUAGUGGUGUCUAGCAGUGAUGCCUCUGUGAGUAUGUUAGUAAUAAAAUUUAUGGUGAUAUGCUUCACAACUAGGAGCACAGCAGCAUUAGGCCAUUGGCUAUUUGUGAUGCAAACCCCUAGUAAUCUGAUGUUGCAUGUGUUAGACAUAAUUCUGUAGAAUUACAUGGUAGGAUCUUUACGCUUAGGCAUUAGAUCACCAAAACAUGAUUAAACAGAGGUAGAUCUGUAAGAGCACAAACGUUGGUUCGUGGCUCCGCCCUUUUACAUCAUGUUAUCCUUCCAUCCCAGCGGGCCGUAGAUCAAUUCCAACAUUCCCCUCCUUGAUUGUUAGUCUCAACAACUUUUGCCCAUUCUCCAUAGGAAUAAUAUACGAAAGUAAGGUGUUACAACAACCAAUGAAAUGUCGUUGAACCUCAAUACUUAUAGUACGCAUCCUAUUUUGAAAUGAAAAACAUAUUACUUGUUGGGAGUUGUUCAUGAUAACGUCCCAUAAUUCCAGGAUCAGAAGGCUUCCGAUAAUCCCAUGCCGGCUACAUGCUCACGAAAAAUAUUAGGUGUUAAGCCUUUAGUGAGCGGAUCCACAAGCAUACUUGUCGUCCUGAUAUGCUUAACAUUAAUAGUUUGAUCAUGGAUUCUAUCUUUCACGACAUGAUAUUGUAUGUCAAUAUGCUUGGCACCAACACUUGACUUGUUGUUACUCGUAUAGAGAACUGCGGGUUUAUUAUCGCAGUAUAAUGUUAGUGGUUUGAAGUGUUGUCUACCACUUCAAGUCCGGGAAUAAAAUUCUGUAGCCAUACUGCCUGCCCAAUGGCCUCAUAACAUGCUAUGAAUUCUGCCUGCAUCAUGGAUUUCUUAGUACCUGCCUUGCAGUAGCUUUUCUAUGAUAUGGCUCCUCUGGCGAGUGUGAAUAUAUAACCUAGCAUGGAUUUCUUACUGUCCCUGCUGGGGCACACACCCGGCAAAAUCAGCGUCUGGAUAACCAACAACUUCCACGUUAUCAGACCUUCUAUACGUAAGCAUGAAAUCUUUAGUGCCUUGCAUGUAACACAAUACUUUCUUUAUGGCCUUUAAAUUUAAUCAAUGUUCAGGAUAUCGGUAACUAUAGAACAUAAACCCGCUUCUCCUCAAGAUCCAUUGCCCUAACCUUUGUGACUCCAUUAUCGUCAAAAACACCGCUUGCCCAGUCUCCACAAACUUGGUGGUAUGACCUGGGCAAUAAAAACAAUAUCCCUUUCCUCUAUGAGCUUACCCAAUGAAAAAAGAACUAAUUGUCUUUGGGCCUAACUUUUAAAUUUGUGGAUUCAUAUUUUAGCUUCAGCAGGGGCAGCCACACACAUGCAAGUAAUUCAAGCUUGGUUUCUUUGGUAAUCUUGAACAGCUAAGCAUGGUUCACACCAUAUCCAUAAGGGUGUGAUUGCGACGCUCAACCACGCCAUUUUGGUGAGGUUCACCAGGCGUUAAAUAAUGAGCAAUGAGUCCAUUCACAGCUCGGGACUUGGUAGUAAGUUCCUAAUCUACCUCUAUGUUUAAUCAUGUUUAGGUGAUCUAAUGUCUAGGCCAAUCGAUUCUAUCACGCUAUCCUAAAGAAUUAUGCCUAACAUUGGUAUCAGAGCGUUCUAUUCCCCCUCAAAAUGUGGCCCAAACGAUGGUGACACAAUUUUGAAGAGUUACUAACGCCUUUCCAUUUCUUCUCAUCUUCCAUUCAUCACUCACAUACGUAAAAAAAUCAUUAAGGAAUAACAACAACAACAACAACAACAAAGCCUUUAGUCCCAAACAAGUUGGGGUAAGCUAGAGGUGAAACCCACAAGAUCUCGCAACCAACUCAUGGCUCUGGCACAUGGAUAGCAAGCUUCCACGCACCCCUGUCCAUAGCUAGUUCUUUGGUGAUACUCCAAUCCUUCAGGUCUCUCUUAAUGGACUCCUCCCAUGUCAAAUUUGGUCUACCCCGACCUCUCUUGACAUUCUCCGCACGCUUUAGCCGACCGUAUGCACUGGAGCUUCUAGAGGCCUGUGCUAAAAAUGCCCAAACCAUCUCGGACGGUGUUGGACAAGCUUCUCUUCAAUAGGUGCUACCCCAACUCUAUCUCGUAUAUCAUCAUUCCGGACUCGAUCCUUCGUCGUGUGGCCACACAUCCAUCUCAACUACGCAUCUCCGCCACACCUAACUGUUGAACAUGUCGCCUUUUAGUUGGCCAACACUCAGCGCCAUACAACAUUGCGGGUCGAACUGCCGUCCUGUAGAACUUGCUUUUUAGCUUUUGUGGGACUCUCUUGUCACAGAGAAUGCCAGAAGCUUGGCGCCACUUUAUCCAUCUGGCUUUGAUUCGAUGGUUCACAUCUUCAUCAAUACCCCCAUCCUCCUGCAACAUUGACCCCAAAUAUCGAAAGGCGUCCUUCUGAGGCACCACCUGCCCAUCAAGGCUUUCCUCCUCCUCACAUUAAGGAAUAACAUGUAUAAUUUGCCUCGUCUGACACCGAGGCCAAACAUGCAUUCAUACAUGUCAUCAUCCACACAAAUUCCUACUUAAUGUAGAUACAUAAAAACCAUAAUUGAAUCAUAUAGCUGGUAUGAAGCUCCAAAUUCCAUUAGCUACCUUAAGUUUUCUUGCCCCUUGAGUUAUAACUUGGGUCGUAACGAAUCCCUACAUGGAGCUAGCAACUAGAGCAGUUGCACCUGAAUCAAUCCACCAUGACAUUUGAGAGAAAUCAACAUAAAGUGUUUCAUCAUCAGAAGUUAUUUCAUCAAUACCUUUUUUGUUAGCCAUUUGAGAAGCCCGGCAAUCCCUCUUAAUAUGUUCUGAGUGUUUGCAAAGGUUGCAAAGUCUCUCUCCAUUAGCAUUCGUAGCCUUAGCAUUAGAGGGAGCUGGAGGACCCGAACGAGAGCAAUUUGCCUCUAUACAUCCCUUAGGCUUUGGGUCAUCUUUCUUGAGGACUUGCUUUUUGUUGGGCUUAUGAUUGUCCUGGUUUCAUGCUCUCUCUUUGCAGUGUUAACAUGAAAAGAUGACCAGGCUUUGGGUCAUCUUUCUUGAGGACUUGCUUUUUGUUGGGCUUAUGAUUGGCCUGGUUUCAUGCUCUCUCUUUGCAGUGUUAACAUGAAAAACAUGGUCCUUUUGUUUGCCUGUUCGAGUUGCUCUUGCUCCGCUCCUCCAGCCCUCUAAUGUUAAUGCUAUGAAUGUUGAUGGAGAGACUUUGCAUCUUUUGCAAACACCCAGGACAAGUUAAGAGGGAUUGUCAAGACUUUCUCAAAUGACUUAACAAAAAAGAUAUCGAUGAAAUCACUUUUGUUGAUAAAGCACUUUAAGUUGAUUUCUCUCGAAUGUCAUGGUGGAUUGAUUCAGGUGCAACUGCUCAUGUUGCUAACUCCUUGUAGGGAUUCGUUACGACCCAAAUAAUAACUCAAGGGGCCAGAAAACUCAAGGUAGCUAAUGGAAUUGAAGUCGAUGUUGGAACCGCAGGAUCUCUCACAUUGGAGUUUCAUACCAGCUAUAUAGGCUUCAAUUAAAUAAUGGUCUUUAUGUAUCUACGUAAAGUAGGAAUUUGGUUUUCGUUUCUUGCUUGGAUGAUGACAUGUAUGAAUGCAUGUUAGGCAACAAACAAUUUGUUUUAAAUAAGUGUAACAAAAAUGUUGGCCUUGGUGUCAGACGAGGCAAAUUAUACAUGUUAUUCCUUAACGUUUUGUUAUGCAUGUGAAUGAUGAAUGCAAAGAUGAGAAGAAAUGAGAAGACAUCAGUAACUCUUUGAAACUGUGGACACUGUCGUUUAGGCCACAUUCGUCGGGGGGUGUUAAGCGUAGACAUUAGAUCACCUAAACAUGAUUGAAUAGAGAGAUGAUUAGGAACUUAGGGCCAGUUCUUUUGGGGCUUAUGGGUGGCUACCAAAAUAAGCUGCCCCCUACCCAGCUUAUUCUGGCAGCCCAACUUAAAAUUUUAUUAUAGAAGCCUACUAAUUAAGAGCUUAUUUUAGCAGCCAUCCAUAAGCCUGAAAAGAACUGGCCCUUAUUGCCAAUGGGUGCAGCAAUUGGCUUAGUGGGGCGAUAUCCUGCGCUUGCUUGAUGCAGGCGUGACACAGGCUCAGUGAAGAU